rnacentral:lncRNA from 1 species
AAAUGAAAAAAGUUUUAUGCAGCUUGAAUUUUCAUUUUCCACCAAAAAACAGCAAAAAAUGAAAACUUCAAUUUUUCCCCAAACCCAUAAAAAUACUUUUUACAAGAAAAUGUUUUAACAUCAAACUAAACGAGCGGAGAUACAUUUUUCUUACUGAAAACAAUUUUUCGGUUAAUUUUACACUGAACCAAAUGCCCCUAGACCAAAUAUCAAAAGGCUAAACCAUUUCAACGCACAAACUAUAUGUAUUUACCAAUUAAAGACUAGGAAUUAGACAAAGAGAGAGUGAAAGUUGUAUUUCGUUUUUCCUUACUUAUUCUCUGUUAUAAAACCAGCAUUAGUAAGAACUAAGAACUGCUACUUAUUUCCAGUGCUAAACGUUAAGUCAAACACUGGUACGAGAAGCACUACAUCAAAAUGCCCCCAACUGCUACUUUCGUUAGCAAAUCGGAGCUUCUGCUUCCAUCAAACGCUAUACUAGUUACCGCUGCUGCUGCCCUAGGAUUACUCCCAGUUGCAGCCUCUAUUAAUAUUACUUAGAAACUAGACGUGUAGCAUAAUCGUGAAAAUGAUAGCAGCAAACCACUUUCCUACGAUCCUACCCACCUAUAAAUCGAUCAAACAGCAAUAAAAUCAUUCGGAAACCAAAAUUAGAGCAUCAUUAGAGAGGUGCUUGGAGUGGCCUCAAAAAUGGCGACCACAUAAAAUGGCGUGGAAACGAAGAGAGAUUGGGAUCGUACCUUUAACGGAGUCCUCGUAUGAGGGAGUAGAGAGGUUCCUCGACCUAGUGAAUGUUGACCAUUAGGGAUAGGGUUUGGUGUGGACGAGGCUUCGUCACAGGUGAAGAAAGAGAGAGACUACUGUUUCUCCUCUCGCUCUCUUCUUCUUUAGGGCGCGUUUGGUUCAAGUUAUGUAAUAUUAUAGGGUAUUUCAACAUAUUCAGGUAUUUUGGAUUUCUAAAUGAGAUUACUAUUGAUACUGCAUUAAAGCGUUUGAUUUAAUACAGUAAUAUAAUGCUGGCAUGCAGUGUUUAUAGCAUUACUAUGUUUGGUUCAGUCUAUAAAAUUUAGUAAUCCUAACAGAAAAGUAUAGUCUUUUCCAAAAUUGCCCUUGGGAUCAUUUGAAUAUUUUUUUUUUACAUAAUCAAAAAUCAUACAAUAACAAAUAAAUUUCAAUUUAGAAACUCAUCUAUAAACAAAAUCAUUAACCAAACAUCACAUAAAGGCACAUUAACAACAUAAUAUUAAAUAUAUAUUUUUCAUUUUUAAUAUCAAAUAGUACUAUUACCAAGUUAAGAAAUUAACAAAGCACCAUAUAGAAUAAAUAUUUCAUAGAGUCGAAACUUCCACACACAUCAUAAUACCAUCCAAAAGUGGAAGCUUAAACACUUACAUUAUAAAAAUUUAAAAGUUCUUGCACUAAAAAAAGGCAAGCCAAAAAAGUCUAAACCCAACUAUCCAACUCUAAUAACACAAUUUCUUCAAUCAUGUCCGCCUAAGAUGCGGAAAAUGUAUUGCUUUCGGUAAUGAUCGGGCAUGCACUAAAAUGUGUGUAAUUCUGUAGAAUCACCCGUUAGGAUUUCAGUGGCAUCCAUUAUUUGCCUGUCCUCAAGUCCCUCGAUCUUUAGUAUCUCUUCAAACAACUUCUUCUUUAUGGUCUCAUUAUUUGCCAUGAAUUGAAAGCAAUUAGCAAGCUGACCUAAGUGCUCGUUGGCAUCGUUAAAUGAAAUUCCAAGUGAACGCAAAGGUUGAACAAAAUUGUUCAUUGAUCAAAUCCUCUCCAAGUGGUGACUUUCGCUUCUUUGAUUUUGUCAAUGUGCCACCAUUCGAAGUGUUUACUCGAGCUAAAAAACAUCUCGACAUCAGGAUCUUAGGUGGAUGCGUGUGUCAUUAACUCUUCCUCUAGGGUUUUUAUUUUUAACUAGGGUUUUUAUUUUUAGGCCAACACAUGAUUAAUUAGGGCACAAAAAACAUAUAAAUUUUUCCCUAACAAUCCAGGAAAAGGGAGAUUUAAAAAAAAAAAAAAAAAAACGAGAUCCAAAACUAGAUUAAUAAGAAUCAAAAAUACCAAAGUGCCUGUUAAGCAUGUCCUGUAGAAAGAUUGCAACUAACUGAAACAAGACAUGGCUUCAGAUCUGACGAAGUUGGCAACAGAUAUAUAAUCAAUAUGUGAAAAAGAGGCAUAAACACUCCUUAAAUCGACGAAAAAAGGAAAAAAAAAAAAAAAAAACCUCCAAAUCGGAUCUAGCUUCAGUUCGAAAAACAUGGGUUUUAGCGAGAGAGGAAAGGUGAUUAAAUAUGUAUGCGAAAAUGGCGAAUGGAGGGUAGGAGAUUGCGAAGAUUACCUGCGAGGACGAAGCAGUGUUUCGUGCGAGAGAGAGUGAGAGCGGCGUGGAACAGAGAGAGGGAGAGGAGGGUAAAAUUGUUAUUUUACAUAUAAUAUGCAACUUUACCUCAGUAAUCCGAGAUACACACCCUACACAACCCCUUCGGUAGUAUUUUCCGGGUAUGUUUGGUUCAAAAUUAACUUGACAGAAUUACUGUUACAAUUACUGUGCGUAGUUUAUUUAGUAUGUAUUCUGAUCAGUAAUCUUGUAUUAUAAAUGGUAUAGGAUUAUACUGAAAAUGUUACUGAGCGGGGGUGGGUAUCUUAUAUUACAGUAUGUUAUUUUGCAUGUAUGUUAAAAUUACAAGUUUGUCCCUCCAAACUGCAACGCUUUCAAUACGUUAUUUUUAAAAUUUAAAUUUAAAUUUUUAAUUUUUAAUUUUUAAUUUUUAAUUUUUAAUGUUCAUAUUUUAAUUUCAACUUUUAAUUUUUAAAUAUUAAAUUUUUAAUUUUUAAUUUUUAAGUGUCAAGUUUCAAGUUCCAAAUUUUAUAUUUUAUAUUUUAUAUUUUAAACUUCAAAUAUAAAUUUUAAAUUUAAAUUUUAUAUUUUAUAUUUAUAUUUUAUAUUUCUAAUUUUAAAAUUUUUAUAAAUUUUAUAUUUAUAUUUUAAAUUAAAAUAUUAAAUUGUAUGUUUUUGUUUAGAUUUAAAAUUUAAAAUUUAAAAUUUAGAAUUAAAAAAUAAAAUAUAAAUUCAAAUAUUAAAUUAUUUAAAAUAAAAUUUAGUAAAAAUUAUUAUUUGUAAAUUGUAAAAAAUAAUUUGCCAAAUAUGACUAAAAAUAAUUUUGGAAUAGAUUACAUUUUAUUGUCAAAAUUACUUAAUUUUAUAAACUGAAUUAAACAUAGUAAUGCUAUUUACACUACAAUCCAACAUUAUAUUACUGUAUUAAACCAAACGCACUAAUACAGCAUCAGUAAUAAUCUCAUUCAAAAAUUCAAGAUACCUGGAUAUGUUGAAAUAACCUAUAAUGUUACAUAACGCGAACCAAACGCGCUAGUGUAAUCUUACGCCUUUUGUAAUGCUGAAAUAUCGAACAAAUUACAUACCAAAUAAACUAAAUACAGUAAUCCUGACAGAAUUGCCUAUAAUCCAGUGCUAAACGUUAAGUCAAGCACGCGUACGAAAAGCAUUACCUCAAAAAUGCCCCAAACUGCUAAUUUCAUUAGCAUAUCGAAGCUUCUAUUUCUAUCAAGUGCUAUACCAGUUAUUGUUGCUGCUGCCUUAGGAUUACUCUCAGUUGCAGCUUCUAUUAAUAUUACUUAGAAACUAAACGUACAGCAUGAUCGUGAAAGUGAUAGAAGCAAACCACUUUCCUAUGAUUCUACCCAUCUCUAAAUCGAUUAAACAGCAAUAACAUCAUUGGGAAACGAAAAAAAAAUUUUUUUUUUUGAGAGAUAGGUAGCACACUACCCGCUUCGUUUAUUUCAUUAAGAAAUAAACUUAGCUGGAAAUGUGAAUCAACUAGGAUUCGAACUUGGGACCUCGGGUACCAACCACCAAGUCCUUUGCCACUUGCUCUAGAGACGGUCGGUUGGGAAACGAAAAUUAGUGCAUCAUUAGAUAGGUGCUUGGAGUGGCCUAAAAAAUGACAAUCACACAAAAUGGCGUGGAAACGAAAAGAGAUUAGGGUCGUGCCUUUAACGGAGUCCUCGUAUGAGGGAGUAGAGAGGCUCCUCGACCUAGUGAAUGUCAACCAUUAGGGUUAGGAUUUGGUGUGGACGAGGCUUCGUCACUGUUUCUCUUCUCGUUGUCUUCUCCUUUAGGGGUGAGUGCCAAAUAGGGAACUUUUAUUUCCUUCCUCUUUUUAUUUUUCGGAAUGGGGGUUGCAAAUAGGGAGAGGCACCAAAAAGGAGAGUAAGUGUACUGUAUAAUACUUAUGUUACAUCAUCAAUAAUCAGCGAACUAAAAACCACUGGGUAAGUCCAGUGGUUCUACCUCUGGGAGAGGAUCUCUGGAGUGGAGGAAUCGAAUCCCCCUUGGUGUGUUUCUCUCUAGGGGGAUUUAUUUUCCCACUCUCCCCGUUGUGGUGUAUGUGCGUACGUGCGUGUGGGUUGGCCAACUUACCGGCUCUCUCUAAUAAAAAAAAUAAUCAAAAAAAAUAAUCAGAUAGGAUAUGUGAACAAUCUAAUUCAUUAGGAACGUUGCAUCAAUCUGAGCUAGCAUCAUACAGUGGGUAGAGUAUGGCUCCUAGUUGACGACUAUUUUUUUUGUGGCAUUAUUUUGGCGGCUCUUAUGAAAAAAAAAUAAAAAUUAAUUAUUGAUGGCACUUUAAAAUAAUUGCCCUUAAUAAAUUAAUUAUUAAACUUAUUUUUUUAGAAGUUGUACCGUCAUAUCAAAAUUCCAAAAAAAAAAUGCUAAACAAAAGGGUCUUUUUUUUCCUCCGCUGUAAUACCGAACAGAUUACAUAUUGGAUGAACCAAACAUAGUAAUCUUGGCAGAAUUACUCGUAAUCCAGUGCUAAACAUUAAGUCAAAUACUAGUACAAGAAACACUACAUCAAAAUGCCCCUAACUGCUACUUUCGUUAGCAAAUUGAAGCUUCUGCGUCCAUCGAACGCUAUACUAGUCACCGCUGCUGCUACCCUAGGAUUACUCCCAGUUGCAGUCUCUAUUAGUAUUACUUAGAAACUAGACGUAUAGCAUGAUCAUGAAAAUAAUAGCAGCAAACUACUCUCCUACGAUCCUACCCACCUCUAAAUCGAUCAAACAAUAAUAACAUCAUUCGGAAACCAAAAUUAGAGCAUUAUUAGAGAGGUGCUUGGAGUGGCCUCAAAAAUGGCAACCACACAAAAUGGCGAGAAAACGAAGAGAGAUUGGGUUCAUACCUUUAACGGAGUCCUCGUAUGAGGGAGUAGAGAGGCUCCUCGACCUAGUGAAUGUCGAUCAUUUAGGUUAGGGUUUGGUGUGGACGAGGCUUUGUCAGAGGUGAAGAGGGAAAGACUAUUGUUUCUCCUCUCGCUCUCUUUUUCUUUAGGCAUGAGUGCCGAAUAGGGAACUUCUUUUUUCCUUCCUCUUUUUAUUUUUUUAGAAGCGGGGUUGCAAAUAGAGAGAGGCACCAAAAAAAAAAGGAAGCGUACAAUAUAACACUUAUGUUACAUCAUUAAUAAUUAGCCAACUAAAAACCACUGGAUGAGUCCGGUGGUUCUACCUCUAGGAGAGGAUCUCUAGAGUGGGGAAAUCGAAUCCCCUGUGGUGCAUUUCUCUCUAGGAGGAUUUAGUCCCUCACUCUCCCCGUUGUGGUGUGUGUGCGUGAUAGUGCGGGUUGGCUUACCGGCUCUCUCUAAUAAUAAAAAUAAUUAAAAAAAAUAAUCAGAUAGGAUGUGUGAACAAUCUAAUUAAUCAUGAAUGUUGCAUUAGUCUGAACUAGCAUCAUACAGCGGGUAGAGUAUGGCUUCUAGUUGAUGACUGUAUUUUUUAUUGCACUAUUUUGAUGGCUCUUACAAAAAAAAUAAAUAAAAAUUAAUUAUUGAUCGCACUUUAAAAUAAUUGUCCUUAAUAAAUUAAUUAUUAAACUUUUUUCUAAGUUAUACCAUCAUAUCAAAAUUUAAAAAAAAUAAAAUCACCGGUGCUAGUCAUGCAACCUUUUCUUUUUCCUUCGUAUGUAAGGAAAAAAAAGCCCUCUUCGAAUUAAAUCUUGGAAAACUUCACGUCACCUUAAUUCCCCAAGAUUUCUUCUCUGGCCUCUCUUUCUUGUUCCUGUACCCCAUCUCUUUCGCCUUCAUCGCCGCUUGCCGAAAUAUUCCCCUUCUCGCCGUUCGCUAUUGCCGCUUUUGUUGCGGUGUGAGAGGAUCAGAUCGUUUGCCCCUUUGCCAAUUCUGCUAACUUUUUUAGAUUUUAUUGUUUGGUUUUUGAAUGGGUUUGGAAUUAUUUUUUUGAAUUAUUUUAUUGAAAAUUCACAAACUAUAUGUUUUGUAAAUUUAUAUUUUGAGUGGUUGUUUGUGAAAUUAUCACAUGAUGAUUUACUACUAUUUUUGAAAUUUCUUGGCAUUGUAGCCUGAGACCAUGAGGAUUGAGUCAUUCAUUUAGUAAUACUAAGAGAGUUGAAAAAUAGUUUUCUUGCUGAGUUAUUCAUUUGCGAUGAUGAUGUUUAUGACCUAUGAUUGCUUCUGUACAUGAAUCAAUAUGUUUGAAAGGUUUCUGUAAAGAUUUGGGCCAAUUAUUAAUACAAAUUAAUUGAAUUAUAUUUUUAUGCACUUAUGGGAGAACAUAUGUUUGAAAGGCCUUUUUUUCUCACGUUCUUUUUCUUAUUCUUUUCGAAGAGGGCGGCAAAGGCGAAGGCGACCCACCUCGCCUCUACUCUGCACUCCCUCGCCCUCGCCAGCACUCACGCACCCUCUCCCGCGCCUGCACACAUGCCGCCCUCCUUGCUUCAGACCUCGCCGAAGCUGCGCUCGUCGUCGCCCUUCGAAACGUCUCGCCUUGCCUCCACCCCAUGCGCCCUCGUUUGCGCCUGCUCAUCCUGCCCUUCUUGUCUCUGACCCUGCUGAGCUUUUGUUUUUUUUCUUUCCGAACCUCCUGCAUCACCUCUGUGACCCCCAACGACGGUAACGAGGACGGCACCGCGUCUUCUUCCUCUGCCUUUGCCCUUCAUCUCCAAUGCAGCAGAUUUUUCACUCACCAAACCCAUUCUGGAAACCCGCGUCCUCACCACCACCACCGAUGACAAAGAGAAAGCACUUCUUAAUGCUGAAAAGUGCACCAGUGAAGGAGGGAGCACGUGGCCCACCACGCCCACCCGGAGUAGGCGAGGAGCGAGGUGGAGAUGGAUAAGAGAACGACGACGGGAGGCGGCAAGCGCGGCCUCAGUGUGGUCGGAGGCAAGGAAAGCAGGGAGUGCACAAGAGCAUCUCUGGUCAAGCACUUCUGUUUGCUUAAAACAAAAAACAAAAACUAAAGGCUAAAAAUUAGAGAAUAAUAAAAAAAGAACUAAAAAAGAAGAAAGAAGAAGAUGAAGUUGCAAUAUUUUAGAAGAACGUUGCACUAUUAUAAAUAUAAAUCGUACCUUUUAAAAUAAAAGUUAUACUCUUUAAAUAAAAAUUGCACUCUUUGGGAGAUAGUUAUACUGUUUUUUGAGAAAUUGUAUAGCCAUUUCUCAAAGAGUGCAAUUUUCGUUUAAAGUGUGUAAUUUUUAUUUUAAAGAAUACAACUUACGUUUAUAACAGUGCAUCGUUCUUCUAAAAUAGUAUAAUUUUAUCUUCUUUUUCCAAUUUCUCUUACUUCUUUUUUAUUUUUUUCUCUCUUUUUUUUCUCACGUUCUUUUUUUUAAAAUAAAUUUUCCUUAAAAAAGGCGACGGGGGCGAAGGCGGCCCCCGCCUGACCUCUGCCCCGUGUGCUCUCCCCCUCACCCUCGCCCUCCUCUACGCUAGGGGUGGCAAUCCAGCUCGCUGCUCGCGAGCCAGGUCGUGUUCGGCUCGAAAAAAGUUCGAAUACAUAUAUUUUAUAUUUAUAUAAUUUAUAUUUAUAUAAAUAAAUAAAUAAUUAUAUAUAUAAUAUAAAUUUUUAUUAUUUAAUUUUUAGUNACUGUUGGCCUAGUCGUUCUCCUCCAACUAUAGUAGAUGGGUCUCUACUAAAUAGAAUUCCUCGUGCGACAUGACGAUGAGGUUUUCCAAGAGACAUUAAUGUCACUUCUUUUCCACCCUAUAUACCAUGUUCAAGCAUUAUAAAUGACAUUUUAUGACAAAUAUGUAAUUAGUUAAACAUAGUUGAAAUGUUGUAAAAAGAUUCAAAAUUAUAACUUACUUCAUCUCGAGAUAUUUCUUAUUGCGAUCUCAUUUUCUUGUAAUGUAUCUAUAAUAUUGAGAGAAUUUAUUCAAAAUUAAGCAUUAGAAUACAUAUUUAUCACAAAUUAAAUCAUCAAAAAUGAAUUUGGAGAGUGUCUACAUAAUUUGCUAUGAAAUAAUCUAAAAACAAACCCUAUGAGUCGGAAUUGCAUGAGUGGAUGAUGACGACGAAGACCAUUCCUCUCUUUCAAGUUUGUUGAUACCGUCUUCAUUUGCAUUGGUAAAGUUCUAUAGAUUUAAUAGUUGAACAAAUUAAACAAAAAAAUUAAAAUUAUAUGUACAAAAUACAUAAGAAAUGGUAAAACUAUACCUGUCUAGUGUUCAUAGAAUUAGAUUGGUGAAAAUCAUUUGGGCUUCGUUGCCAAGCAUCCAUCUUCGCUUCCAUUUUUGCUAAAUUCUUAUAAAUAUAAAAAUAAAAUUAUAUAAAAUUAUAUAUAUAUAUAUAUAUAUAUAUAUAAUUUUAUAUAAUUUUAUUUUUAUAUUUAUAAGAAUUUAGCAAAAAUGGAAGCGAAGAUGGAUGCUUGGCAACGAAGCCCAAAUGAUUUUCACCAAUCUAAUUCUAUGAACACUAGACAGGUAUAGUUUUACCAUUUCUUAUGUAUUUUGUACAUAUAAUUUUAAUUUUUUUGUUUAAUUUGUUCAACUAUUAAAUCUAUAGAACUUUACCAAUGCAAAUGAAGACGGUAUCAACAAACUUGAAAGAGAGGAAUGGUCUUCGUCGUCAUCAUCCACUCAUGCAAUUCCGACUCAUAGGGUUUGUUUUUAGAUUAUUUCAUAGCAAAUUAUGUAGACACUCUCCAAAUUCAUUUUUGAUGAUUUAAUUUGUGAUAAAUAUGUAUUCUAAUGCUUAAUUUUGAAUAAAUUCUCUCAAUAUUAUAGAUACAUUACAAGAAAAUGAGAUCGCAAUAAGAAAUAUCUCGAGAUGAAGUAAGUUAUAAUUUUGAAUCUUUUUACAACAUUUCAACUAUGUUUAACUAAUUACAUAUUUGUCAUAAAAUGUCAUUUAUAAUGCUUGAACAUGGUAUAUAGGGUGGAAAAGAAGUGACAUUAAUGUCUCUUGGAAAACCUCAUCGUCAUGUCGCACGAGGAAUUCUAUUUAGUAGAGACCCAUCUACUAUAGUUGGAGGAGAACGACUAGGCCAACAGUAUUGGGAGGUCUAUGUUGAGGUUGCUAUAAUGCCCAAUGAGAGCCUGAUUCGUAAUUUCCAAAAUUUGAAGACAAUCGGUGAUGCUGCUCGAAAAUCAAUUGCUUGGCCUUCUUUUCUUGUAAGUUUUAUGUUUAUGUUUAUAUAUAUUAAUCAACUAUUCUUUUCAUACAAAAUAUGAACUAGAUAAUUGAAUACUAUCUUUUUUCCAUUGUGAUAGGUUAAAGAAGAUGGAAGAUGAAGAAGCUAUGUGAUCUUAAGAAUGUUUUGGAGAUAGCCGCUUUGAAGCCAAUUGAUUGGCAUGUUAUGCAAACAUUUUUUUUUUGUUUUGAGUGGCUUAUAGAUAUUGUAUUUGUUGUUUCAGACCUUUUGAGUUUCAAACAGUUUAUAUAAAAUUUUUUUUGAAGUCUUUUUUAUUGUAUGGCUCAAUUGUUAAUAGUUUAAAUCAAGUCUUGGCUUAAACUUAUUUUUAAAGUACCUGUGGCCUAUAGAUUAUAAUGUAAAACUUUUUAUAUCAAUGAAAUUUACUUAAUAUAUUGACCUGCUUGCUUCAGUAUAUAAAAUUGAUGAACUUCUAGUAUUGAAUGACUCUUUGACGCUAAAGAGAAAAUUGUGACAUUUAUUGGUGAAUAAUUAAAAAAAUAAAUUCUUUUUGUGAUUUUCUGAACUAGUGGAAAAUACUAUUUGCUAGCAUUUUAGAUUGUUUGAAAUAAUAUUUUUGUUGGUGAUUUUAGCUGUUGCCAAAUAAUAGUUUUGAUGGUAAUUUGGAUUGCCAGGAAAUAAUUAUUUGCUAGUUAUUGAAAAAGCCACCAGUUUCUCAUUUGAUGGCAUAUAAAUUGCCAAGAUAAAUAGUAUUUUUAGCACUUCAAAUUGCCAGUAAUUACUAUUUAUCAGCACUUCAAAUUGCCAGUAAAUAUUGCUUUGCCGGCAAUUUAUUUUUGCCGACAGUUGCAUUACUGGCAAUUUAGAAAAUGCCAAGAUUGAUCUUUAGUAGCAGUUUUGGCUACUUUUGCUGGCAGUUUUGACGGCCAAGAAAUAUGAUAUUUCUUGUAGUGGUCCUAUAGGGCGGCGACGAGUGCAGCCCUAAUGGGGUCGGAGGUGAGGAGGACGCGGGUUGCGAAGGCGCGGGUGAGGGCGAGGGCGCAUGGGGUAGAAGGCGAGGCGGGCCGCCUCCGCCUCCGCCUCCGCUACUUUCUUCGAAGAAAAUAAAAAAAAAAAAUGAGAAAAAAAAGAGAGAGAGAAAGAAAUAAGAAUAUUUUGAUCGAUUUUUUAAAAAUUUGAACCAAAUUUGCAAAAUCCAAAAUGGUGGCCUAAUUUUACAAAAUCUCAAAACUAUUGAAUAUUUUUUUGCAAAUUGGUCAAAAUAAAAUUAAAAUUAAAAUUCAAAUUAAAAUACAAAAUAUAAAAAUAAUUUACAAAUGAGUUUUCACCUCAAAAUAUAAAAUUAAAUUUAUAAUUUAAUUUCAAACUAAAAGUUAAAAUAUUAAAAUAAUAAGGCAAAAUUUUAAAUAUAAUGUUAAAAAAAUUUAAAAUUAGAAAUUUUUGUGAAUUCAAAAAAGCGACCCAUAUUUACAAAGUUGCAAAACUAAUAAUAUUUUUUAAUGCAAAAUCACUAUUUUAGUUUUAAAAUAUUGGCCAACAGAAAAAAAAAAAAAAUUUAAAUUUGGUUAAUUAAAAUUCAUUUUCAAGCUUAAAUUAAUUAAUGAUGAUGAUAAUAAUUACGGGGAAACAAACAUGUGAAUCAUCUGCGACUACGCCCUCGAUCGCGAAAGAGGCACCCAGCAGCAGCCUUCCCUCACUGAGGGACUCGUCCGCCAGUGGAAUGAUCCGGAAGGCGGAGGCAGACGGCGGCGAGGCCUCGGGAUCGGGGCCUCCGCCGGCGGGUGCGGACGGGGAGGAGUCGGCGGCGGCGGCGGCUGCGGCGGUGGGGGAUCUGGUGGCGGCGCUGAGCCGGCGGCGGGUCUACCGGGAGGUGACGCUGGCCCUCCGCUCCGGCCUCCGCGACGCCCAGGCGGACUUCUCCUUCCUCCGCACCCGCGGCCUCCGCCGCCUCCUCAAGUUCCUCCGCUCCUCCGCCGCGGCCGCCGCCUCCGACGAGUCCCUCCGCCUCUUCCGCCACUCCCAGUCCCUCCCCGACCUCCAAGGUUUCUCUCUUCCUCGCCUUUCCUUCUUCCAGUCUAGGGUUUCCAUAGUCCUCUCGAUUUCUCUCGCCCUUCCAAAUUGAUUUGUUAUUGGACCCUUUCAAUGCCCUCAUAGCCGUUUAAGGAUGUUUGCCGAACGAUGUAUGUUCAUGGAUCCUAAUAGGCCCUGGAAGAUUGGCGCGUGUAUUAUUGGGGGUGCCAGUGUGAAAUUCGUACGCCUGGCUGCUAAACAGGCAGAGCGCUUGAUCAGCUGAGACGCCCUGCUUCCCAGAGGGUCACUCAUUCUAAGACUACUCUAACCCUACCAUACUUAACCUUCAUAACUUUUUGGGCCUAGCCAACACUCAAAAUGCUACAACUGGAUUAAGAGGGUUAGUCCUAUUAUAUUUCAUAUAUAGGGCUAUUUAAAAUCCUGGGGGUGUCGCAAUCCUCCUCCUUCUUGUCAGGCUCAAGCAUCAGGCGAAGUGAGACUAAUCUCGUUAGCCUUUAGCCGACCUUAUGGGGAGCCGCGCGCCACCCACAAUGGUUAUCAGCUAGGGAGUCACGCUUUGCCUGUAUAACUCUGGUUCAGCCGAGACUCAUCUCACAUUUCCGGAUGGUGAUUGGUUGUGAUACCAAAUACGACGCCCGCUUCCUAGAGAGUUAUCUUUCUUUUGACUAGCUCUAGCGCGCUUAACCCUCUUAACCUCUUGGGACUAACCACCACCCAAAAUACUAUGGUCUGAUUAAAAUGGUUAGUCCUAUUAUAUCUCAUAAAUAGAACUAGGGUGUCAUAUCAGCGUUGCUGUAUAAGGCAGUAAAUCAAAAGUUGAAGAAGGCUCCAUGGAAUAAUUAUGACGGAUUUUGUGGUCCAGCUAGCGAUCAAUUUAAGAAUGAUUCUCUAGCAUUUUGUGUUGAGUAUAUGACCCCCAGCAAAAGACAUCUCUCCGAUGAACAUUGCAGUUAAAGGAUUGGCUACAGAGUGUUGCUCUAACUUGAAAUGCAUCAUCGGAGGUUAGUAGCUUGAAGCAAUCAUAGCUUUCGCUCAUCAUAACUUUGGAAUCUUCAGCUAGGGAGAUUCUUUGCAUGGGAAGUGUAAUGAGACUUGUGUGAACUGAUUCGAGCUCUGGGGUAUUGUCUUUCAAGGAGGACUCUAAACUAAGAAGGAAGAGAUAUUAGGUAGAUUGUUGUCCCCAUCUGUUUAACUGACCUUGCCCUGGAGAAUUUGUUGAUUAAUAGAAUUUUUUGGGUUAAUCACUUGUGAAGAGUAGUCCCAUAGUUGAAUUGCUUCUAAUGUGGGCUUGGCUUCCUUCUCUCCCUGCCAAUUGGUAUCAAAGCAGGCGGCCUAAAGGUACUCGACUGCUCUAGUAAGUGGUAAUAAUGUGGUAUGGUGCGGCCAAUUGGUGGCUCCUGUGGACAUACCGGCUGUUGGGGUGGAGUCAUGGUAACAACUAAUGUAGCAUAGCCGUAUGAUUUACUCAAUAGAGUAAGGCCCUAGGUUACGGCAUGCGUAUGUUGGUUUGGUGCACCAAAGCGUGAGUUAGGCACAUAGGCCUAGAUGAAUGUGUUUGUGAUGACUUGUGUAGAGCAGUGAUGGGGAUAAAAAGUUGAGUAAGUCGGUACAAAGCUUGGUGAGGAGUAGUGUAUGGGAAUCAGCGGGUAGUUGGCUAAUUCACAUGUUAGCAGGCGAUUAUUGGUGUUUCAUAGGCUAUGUAUCACGACACUUCUAUAAAUCUCGCGUGUCCGUGUCGAAUACGAUGCAGGUCCAUAGCGCAUGUUAUUAAAAAAUGCGUUUUUAUUUUACUUUCUUUUACGCAUAUAUAAUAUAAGAUGAUAAAUAUUUUGGCUUUUUGAUGAAUGCAUACAAUUUUUUUAUCGUGGAGAAUUUCUUUCCUUAAAAUAUAUGAACAAUCAAUGAGAAUUUUAUUAAUUUUCAUUCGUAUGAGAAAUAUAAUAAUAUUUUAGCAAAAUUAGUACUCUAUACAUAAUAAAUAUAUACUAUUAUAUUAAUAACAUUAUAAUUUAUUAGCGGUGUCCAUCCUAUGUUCAUGUCCUAAUUUUUCGGAAGCUGUCGAGUCGUCAUGUUCGAGUCGUGUCAUGUCGCAUGUCCCGUGUCUGUGUUCAUGACAUCUAGUUUAUAGGUGAAGAACAAUCCCAUAUAAAAAGAUGAGAAAACAAUUUAACGUUUGAUACAUUAGUACUGGAUACAUUGAUAUUGGACCCAAAGCUAAUAGCUCAACUUUUCGGUUAAAUAGCUUCUGAUGAUUAUGUAAUAUCAUUAAGUUUAAGUCGGUUUGGUCUUCCUUGUCUGCCUAACAGAAUUUGGUGCCUAACUACUGAGGGGUGUAAAUUUGUUGAGACUCGAGAAAGCAGUCUGUAAUGCUAGUUGGCGAGUAAUUUUUUUUGCUUUUUUGGUUAUGCAUUAUUUUGCCCUGAUUAAGCUGUAGAAUACACCAGUUAUUCUUGAGCUUCGAAGUUUAAUUCUUUAAUUUAGAUUAGCCUGCCUUGGCUGUUUCAGAUGUUACCUGAUGCUUAGCUUUAUACCUGGAAUGCUAGUUUCUCCUAUGAUAGAUUGUCAUAAUGUAUCCUUUUUACUCCUGACUAAGAUCUUUGGAAGAAGUUCUCCUACUAACAAGGUUAUGUUCUGUAACAGUGAUUCCUGUUCUAUUUCAGAAUACUUUGCAUCCGCGCAAAGAGAACCCCGAUGUGACUCUGAAUCACAUAUUUGGAGUGGAGCCGGUGAAGAUUACUAGUCCUCCGACAGACUCUGAAGUUGCACUUGCUCUUAGAGUUUUAGAAGGUUGUUGUCUUUUACAUAGUGGAAGUGCGGCUUUGGCCUACAAAUACAAGGCAGUUAAGGUACAGCUUGCUAGGUGUUAUAUGCUUAAUCCUGAAUGCAAAUGCUAGUAUAUCUCUAUGUCUUUGUUUUCUUUUCUUUUUUCAGAAAUCUAAAGGUCGGUUCACUUCUAGUUAGAGAGUCACGGAAUUAGUUUUAGUAUUGCCAGUUCUGUUGGUGAAGGAUUUUUUUUUUUCAUGUCCUGGUAGUUGAGAAUUUAAAAUUAAUGCUAAUAAUGAGAAUGAGAAACUAAUAUAAAUGAAAAAAAUAUAAGUUUGACAUUAUCAUAGCUUAUUUCAUUUUGUAGUUUGAAGUCUGGCAUACUCGGAAGAAAGAUUUCUAGGGUGAAAAUUCGACCGUGUUCUAGGGAAUGGUCAGUUUGACAAUUGAAAUAUCAGUGGGAAUCUAAAAUCUAGAUCAAACCUUUUGAAAGCUUAAUGAUAAAUUUAACUUAGCUGCAACAGGAUUAGGUGAUCAUGCACAGUGCUGAUGUUUUGACCAAACUAUUGAGAAAGGAAAUUCUUGUAGAUGUUUGACCAAACUAUUGAGAAAAAAAAAUGCUUGCAUGCACUUAUUUUGUCAUAUUAAAGCUUCUAAAUAGCAUUGAUGAAAUCAUGUGAAAUUCUGGACUCGUGCUUAAUUUCCUAUUCUAGUAAGAAGCUAAGAAUGUUCAUCUGGUGCAGGUACUUGUGAAUAUAUUAUCAAACCGAGGAAUACCUGAACAAGAGGCAUGCUUGGAUGCUCUAAUAGCAUUAAUGUUGGAGUCUUCCUCCAAUCAGAUGGUAUGCUACCAUUCUAACACUGUUAAUUAGAGAUUUCUUUUUUGGCUCACUAGUCCUCAGGGCAGACCAAUGUAUAUAUGACAUCCAUCAAGCUACUUUUCAUAGGAAAAGAUUACAGCAUUAUGAUCACAUUCACACAGAUUUUCCCUUCUCUAUCAAUUAGGGGCUGUUUAGUUCUACGGAAAACUGUGGAAUACUUUUUUUCGAAAAUCUCUUUUUAAGUUUUUCGUCCGUUUGGUUUAAAGGAAAACUAGCUUUUUCGGAAAACUUGUUUCCAGAUUUUAUGGAAAACUAGUGUUUUCGUUUUCCAAUUUUUUUAGGCCCCAAAAAUACUAGUUUUCCAUAAAAUCUGAAAAAUAAAAGCUUCCCAAAAAAGCUAAUUUUUCUUGGAAUCCAACGGACCGAAAACUGAAAAAGGAAUUGUCCACAGAAAACCUUUUUUAGAGGAACUUUUUCCAUACUUUUUUGAGGAACCAAACAGCGCCUUACUGCAAAUGAGGUGGUAGAUGCAACACCUUUCGAAGCAGAUUUGCUUGUUACCUUAAAAUGAAUGAGACGUGUGUGCAAAAAACAUUGAUUGAUUCUAAUUAUAACAUUUGCAGUUAUCAUUUUGAUAUUUCUUACUGGAUAAUCAUGUUUCAUUUUUUAUGUUUUGAUAUUUAAGCGGUUGUUUCUAAAGUGUAAUCCCUAUCCUAUCUUGUUACUUUGUAGUCAGUUGUGGUGAUAAACAUGUCCUAGCCUGUUCUAUAUGCUCGUGAUGAUCAAGCUUUUGAUGGACGAUUUAAUAUUCUUCCUUAUUGCUAACAAUUACACCCCUCCCAUCUUUUUAGAUUAUUUGCAACAUGGUUGGGCCUUAUUAACUUUCAAUUUAACAAAAGGUUUCUUGGUGGUAUAAUUAUCUCAUGGCGCUCGUACUAGGCAAUUUGAUUUGUCUUCUCAUGCUCUCAAAGAUAGGUGAUUAUUUGUGCCACCAAUAUGUAAACUGAAACUGGCUGAGUGGACAUAAUUGUUAAAUUCAACAAAAAAUGGUCGACUUUUUAGUUGACGUGCAUAAAAACCUAACAGAUGGAGCUUCUGAAAGUUUAGUAGUUUGCUUAUGAAACAAUGCUAAAUUUCCAAAUGGCACAGCCUUGAGAUUACAAGUUGUCUCACAUUUUGCCAAUAUCUGAAGCUGAUUAUAGGUCUCUUCGUUUAGUCUCUGUUAGUUGUCUCCUUUAAUAAGUAUUUCAAGUUGUAUCUUGAGAAAGAAACCCUAAUGGGCCUAUUUGGCACCCAAGAUUGGAUAGGAUAGGAUAAGACAAAUGCAAUCGGAGUGUGAGGUUCUUGUGCCAUGGAGGCAGGGAGAGUCCAGUCGGCUCCAAAGGUGUGCUUGAUUUCAAUCCUGUUCAAUUCCAACUUUUUAGGUGGGUUUUGAUAAUCCCAUCAAACAUUCUUGUUUGACCCUAUCAGAUUCGAUAAUCCGCUCUCAUGAAUGCGGACUUUGAAUCACUAAACCUUUAUUCUUUUUCAACACUGCUCACUCGUUUUAUCCUAUCCAUCUCAUCGUGGUUGACGAAGGAACCAACUAUGACUUAAUUGAUGAAUUAUCUGCCUAUGAGGCUCUACGAUUGAACUAUGCCUGUGAUAGAGGCAAUCUCUCUCUCUCUCUCUCUCUCUCUCUCAUAUUGGUGAAUGAAUUUCAUUUUGUAGGAUUUUGCGGAAUGCCAUGGGGUUGAAAAAAUUGCGGAGCUUAUAAAGGACGAGCAAGCAGACGAAAUUCUAAGGUCAGUUCUGAUUAUCUUUAAGUUAAGUUAUCUUUUUCCUUGUACUAUGUAAAAUCUUGUUUCCUUCUGUCUUCAUAUUUCAUUUUAUUUGUUUUGCCUAGUUGUUUUUGCUAUUGCGAUUAUAUCGAUGUUAAUUGAGAAAGUAUGACUUUUCUUGCCCAUAUAUACUUUCGAAGAAAAGAAGAAAUGAAAAGAAAAGUUUUUAUUUAGUCAGACAGAUCAGGGUCGUGUCCAAUUACAUAAAUAAGGGCAUCUCCUUAUAGUUAGUGCAAUUCAAAGUCGCCUCCUCCUUAUACUAAGUAAAUUUUAGUUUUUCUUUCUGAAAUGCAACUUUGAACUACUAGAAACAUGCAUUUUCAUGUUGCUAAAAAAAAUACUCAUAAGUCAUGAUAUACUUGCAAUUUGAAGGCUUAAAUGAGAGGGUCUAAGACUACAUGCAUCAGGCGAGUUAAUAGCUAGGAAAUGAAUAUUUGGUUCAGUUUGCAUAGUUGAAGAAGUCAAGGAGGUGAUGAAGAUGCGUCCAAAAGGAUGAAACAGAGAAGGAGGAAACAAAUAGAUGAAUAUAAGAAAUGAAAACGGAUGAUAGACAAGGGCAUGCAGAAACACUUCUAUUUUUAUUAAACAUACAUUUGAAAAUUACAGCACAUUAGACUCCAUAUUUGGAUUAAAUAUUCUGGACUCCUAUUAUUUCAUAAAUAUUUUGAGGACUUGCGCUUGGAAAUCGUGAGGAAGAAAGGGAUGACAUAUGGGCAAAAGAAAGACGUGUGGACUGCUCGUCUUAUUUCCAACUCUAUAGUCAUUGCCGUUCAUGGGCCCCACAAAGCGUCAUCUAUUAUUUUAUAUAUGGACUUAAAUGCGCUAGAGCCACUUGAACUUUUGCCCGUUUACACAGUCAUCCAAACUUGAAAAUUUCAGAUUCACUGCCUUUUUUUUUUGCAAAUUAACCACCUAAAUCUAUAACUCAUCAAUUUGAGGAGACUUGGACCAUGUUUGGCCUGGCGGUGCGGCCCGCUCGUGACCGCAUGGCAGAGCUUUCGAGAAAGCUCUGAAAUCGGAGCUUUCUCAAAAAGGCUUGGUCUUGCGGUUGCCUGCCACAAACACGGGCGCAUCUGCAAAGCGAAACAGGCGCUUAUAUUAGCCAAAUGGUGACGAAACAAUAAAGGACACACCUGCAGUUGGUAUAGAUGACUCUUCUUGAUGCCAGAAAUCGUUCAUUUGGAUAAAGUUGACCAUAAUUAUCACUUUGGAUUUUUAACAAAUUAAAUGAUAAAGAGUAAUUUCUUUACUGCAAGAUUAAAGUUUAACGCGAAAAAGACUCUUGCUAUAUUGCUGAUGUGCAUCCAUUGUUGUUUCUUAACCAUUUAGCGAUUGCUCCUCACUUUGAAUUGAUAAAAUACAGACUUAGGCAGCUAAANUACACAUCUUUGCAAAUAUAAAUUUUAUAUUUAUAAAUUUUAUAGGAUUAUUUGAGAAAAAAAAUAAUGAGGGAGCUAAAUGUAAAAAAAAAAAAAAAAAAAAAUUAGUAGUUUUGGUGGCAAAUUACAAAAUUUUUAAAGUUUAGUUGACUAUCUGCGAAUAGGCGCGAGUUCAGAACAAGUUCAGAUUGUUCUGGUGCAUUUAUCCCGUAAAAUAUGGAGAAAGAACCAUAUAUGGUCUCGCGACCCAAAAUUUAUUCGAACAUUUUCUUAUUAAUUUGAGACCUAUUUAUGCUCUCAAAAACAUCUGCGUGUGUCUGGGACCUAGCUUCUAAUUGCCUGUGGUUUUUUUUUUUUUUUUCCCUUUCUCUCGGGUGCAGAUUAAAAUGCGGUGAGUUCCUUUUGCUACUCAUCGGAAAUCUAAAUGGGAAGGAGAACUCUCCCUUGGCGAACAUACAGGAAGAUAUAAGGCGGCUUCUAGGAGAGAAGUGUGCAUCUCUUAUUUGGGCCGCGAGCCAGUUUGGUUCAACCCUAGAUGCAGAGCAGAGGCAGACGGCCCUUCGCAUCCAGGCCCGAAGAGUUGUCGAGUCCUUAGAGCUCUCUUGAUUGUGCGUAUUACCCUUUUCUUCUUUUCUGUAUUUAUAUUUUAAGUUGUUGUUGUUGUGUGGUAUAAUCCUCAUUUAUAGAUAUUAAAAGUUUUUUCCACUGCUUUUAUCUCUACAUGUACUGUUCCAGGGUUUAUAUCUAUAAUCUCCACAUGUACUAAAGAUUAUAGUAUUUUCGCUAUGUGAUUGGGUUUUCAUUUCUCAAUCUUAUUGUCUGCAAUGAACUGCAUAUAACCGGAGCCGUGUGUGCGAAAACAUCAGGAUCAUAGCUGGUCCCCAGCUUUCAUUUCAUCCUACUUUUAUUUUUGGUAUCCAUCUUUUCUUUUUUCUUUUUCUGGUAAUGUUUAUUCGUCGUCGCAAUCAAGUUUCUUUUGUUAAACAAGAUUAUUUGCUUGGACGGCGAAAAAUUGUCUGUGUCAGUAGCAAGCCUUAUCACCAGAUAACGUUGUUGUUCGACUUUAUAAAAUUUCAAUUACAAUUUAGUCCUCUCACAUCAUUCUCCUCAUCAAUGAGGGCCUGUAAUUGCUACUCUCUGUUUUAUGUAUGGCCAUCAAUAGAUUAUCCGGAUUUGCUUGGUUGACAAGAUAUGUAGAGGUCUUUGGACCAGAUCUUUUUUUGGUAAUUUAUUUAUUACGCAUAUUUCAAUUUCUUUCUGAUGCCACACAUUUAUUUUCGAUGAUAAUGGAGCCUUCAAAUCCACGAUCGGCACCGUUGAAUAUGAUUUAUACUAUUUGAAGCUUCUAGAAAUCAAAUUUCAUGCUUUAUCGACAUCGUUCAGUUGGCCAUCAAGUGGACACAAAAAUUAAAGGCUGAAAAUGAACAUCAUCUAAAAAGUGAUAAUAGGAAUCUUGUAAUCAAGAUCGACUUGUUCUAAGUAAUUUUAAAAAUUUUUUAAUCAAAAUUUAAUUGAUUUGGAUAUCUUUACACCGUUAAACAAAAAAACGUUUUAUAUCGAUUAUUAAAAAUUAUAAAUUUUGAAACCUUUUGGGUCAAUGAUGUCGAAAAGAUUUAAAAUUUAGUUUCCAAAUACUUCAAGUGGUAUAGAUCAUAUUCAACAGUGCCGGUCAUCGAUUCGGAGGCUCUAUCAUCGAAAAUAAAUAGGUGGCAACGGAGCUCGAUUGAAAGCCGGGGUGAAAAGGUAAAAAAAUGGGUAUUUAUAAUAAAAUAUUCUGUAUUUUAGUUAAUAUUUUAUUUCGAAGGUAGGUAAUCAUUUCUCUCGCGCGAUCCAGCUAAUCAUCCAUCAGAGCAUUCAUCCGUCAGAUUACCCGACGAUGCGAAACUUAUGUUCAUAAAAGUGCAAAAAAAAAAAAAAAUGAUAAUAAUAAUGCCAAACUAGCUUCUUGUAACAUAAUAAUAAGAUGUAAGUUAAUAAAUGAAGGGAAAACUUCAAAAAACCCCCUUGUGAUUUCGUAGUUUCUCACUUUGCCCCUCCUGUGGUUUAAAAUGUAUCAAUUUGUCUCCCUGUGGUUUCUUUUUUCUCUUUUUCUUAUCAAUUUCAUUAUUUUUUUUCUUAAAUCAGUGAUAAAGUUAAAAUUAAAGAGUACUAAAGUGAAUAUUUGAUAAAUCUAAAUAGGUAUCUGAAAUUUUUUGUAUAUAAUUUAAUGAAAUAUUAAUGAAAAAGCUACCGAAAAGAUAAAAACGAAACCAUAGGGGAACAAAUUGAUACAUUUUAAACUACAGGGGGGCAAACUGAGAAACUACGAAAUCACAGGGGGGGUUUUUGAAGUUUUCCCAUAAAUGAAAUAUAAAUAUGCUGUUCACUUGUAUAUGUAUCAAUCAUCAAAUAGAAGCAGAGCUACUACUCGUCUACUACUACUUUUGGCGAGAUAGUGAUAGCAGGAGUGGUCGGUUGCUUUAAGCCAACACGGGCAUAAUGUAAUUGAGACCCACUUGAAUAGCAACUUGCUUUAAAUAAUAAUUAGCCCUCCUUUGCAAAACAGGACAAAAGGGACACAAAAAAAAAAAAAAAAAAAAAAAUUAUCAGCAGCAGGGCAAAAAGAGAAAUCAAGAACGUCGGAAAGAGACCGGAAAAUUGCACUACAGUUCACCUGAAAAUGACUUCCAUAUUAAAAAAAAUACAAAAAAAAUGGAAUAGUUGCAUGCCACUUUCUAUAAUAAGAAUAUUAAGUAGUAAAUAAGUUUUUAUAAAAUUUAAGUUAUUAAAUUUAUUCUUUCAAAAGUUCUUCCGUAUGUAAAUAUACCUUUCUGUUGUUAUAAUUUAGAUAAUUAUGAAUAAAAAAAAAGCUAAUCACGGUUAGGUAAAUAGUAAAAUGACCUUUUUAUGCUUUAUAUAUAUUUAAUUGUAUUGUAAUAUUGAGACUCGUCAUCUUUUUCAUCCUCUUCUCUUUAUUUGUGGUGAUGCCGAGAUUGGCGGGGAUGGUGGCAUCGAAGGCGAGGCCCGAAGAUGAGGUAUGUUGUGGGCGAUAGCGAAGACAAGGAGAGAGGAGAGAGAAAAAAAGAAAGAUAUGUUUUUUCGGCCAGGAAUAAAUUUGUAACGGUAAAAUAGUUAUUCUACGCACCGAUUAUUAAAAAACUAAUGGCGAAUCAAACAAUACGAACAAAUAUGAAUAUAUCAGAACUUUUGGAGAGAUAUAUUCGCAAAUUAUAGAAUUUUUGGAGGAAUAAAUCUGAAUGCUUAAGCUUUGUAGUGAUUUAUUUGCUAUUCGACACUUUUACAGGGAGUUUUAUGAAAUUAACCCUAUUACCCUAUUAAAAAUGACUUAAGUUGAAUUAAAGUAAUUUAAAAAUAGGGUAAAAUGUACAGAGACCUUCUGAACUUUAGUUCUUUUUUGAGUAGGUCUCUAAACUAUUAAUUUGGACAAUUUCGUCUCAUAAACUUUAUCAAAUAGUUCACUAAGUCCCUCUUCUCAAUUAAAGUUAUUAAUUACACAAUAGUUUUAGUCAAACAUAGUCUUAUAAGGCUUUAAAGUACAAACAGAUAUAUUUUUGUAUUCUUUAUUAUAUAAAAAAUGCGAUAAAAAUUAAGCUUGGCUUAACUUAUUCUUUACUUGUCAUACCAAAUUAUCACAAUUGGAAGAAAUUUUUAUAUAUUAUAUAUACAUAUUUUAAAAUCUUACAGGAUUAUGUACAUGACGUCCAAUUAAAACAACUUGUAAUUAGUAAGUUCACUAAAAAAGUAAGACCUAUUGCACUAUUUGAUAAUGUUUCAGAGAUGUAAUUGUCAAAAUUAAAAGUUUAGGAGCCUACUUGUGAAGAACUAAAGUUCAGACCGUCUUAUAUAUUUUAUUCUUAAAAAUAUGAGUAAUGCUACUGAUAUACUCAAAAGGAGUGUAAAUCUUACACUCUAUUUAUCCAAGGGUCAAAAAUUGGUCAUUGUCUUGUCAACUUUUUUUUUUUUAUAAAUACUAAAAAUCCAAAGAAUAUUAUGAGCCUUAAUUUAAUCCGAACAAAUCUAUUCCGAACAGAUUCAAUUUCCAAUCCAAAAGUUAUUUUUCACCCUUAUUUGUUUGAUGGAAGUUAAUGACUUUGAUGCUAAGGUUUUUUCAAUUUUUUUGUUUGUUUCAUCUCAGUUCUCAUAUUAACAAAUUAACAAAAAGAUGAAAAAAAAAUAUAUAUAUCUUUAUUACUUUUUCAGUAAAAAUUUAUGAAACUUAUUCGAACUAUAAUGUAUUUUGAUUCAACCAUCUAACCUUUUAAAAUUUAAAAUUUGCUAUUUAAUCUUGUAAUUCAUUUUAUUCGUGCCAUUUAAUGACUAAUAUUUCAAAUUUUGAAUUAGUAAUUUACUUAUAGAAAGCUUGAUUAGCAUAUUUUUUAUAUAAUUCAUGCGACUAUAAUUCUAUUCAAAGUAUUUGUAGUAAAAGAAUCAUCAAAUGACUUAAAUUUAAUAAAUUUAACAAUUGGAUGCCAAAAUCAAACUUUUAAAAGAUUGGAUACUCAAAUAAAAAUGGAUGAAAGAAUUUCUUUUUAAUACUUAUAACACAUAAAAUAUAUUCCGAACAAAUCAUAUUGUGCCACGGCGAAUUGUAAAAUAUCUAAUUUGAGCAAUAUAGUAAUUUUGUAUUGAAAAUGUGUUUUAAAGAAUUUGUUUUUAUACUUUUAUGCAACAGAAAGGUAUUUGAUUAGAUACAAUUAUUUUUAUAUAAAAUAUAUAAAUGUGAUAGAAAAGAAUUUUACAUGUAAUUGUUAUUUGAUUCGUCUAUAUAUUUGUACAAUAUGUAUCUACUAAAUAAUUGUCUAACUUCUAAGUAAAAAAUGCCGUAACUCUGUAAAUUAUAAGAAUUAAAAAAUGAAGAUAAAAUACGUGUGCGUUAAACUCCUUAAGGCACCGGGUGCAUGAUAUUGUAUUUUUUUUUUAUCUUUUAAAGUUUAAAAUAAAAUAUGAAAUGACCAACUGAGAAAUCAAAAGUAUAAGGAUCAACAGUGCAAGGAAAAUAUUUAUGAUAUUUUCAUAAAAUGUUCUUAAAUAUUGAGGACUUGUUGGUAAAUUUUCAUAACAUUUUCGUUUGAGUCCAUAAAAGUACAGUAAAGUGACCCCAAUUAUUUAACUUAUUCACAUCCACCGCACAUGCACGAAACUUCGAGUUGCGAAUGAUCUUACGCCUCAUCGUUAUUUGGGAAAAAAAAAAUUCUGAAUAUUAAAGCAUGAUUAUAUUAAAUAAAUAAAUUAUUACAACUAUAUUAAUAUAAGGUCACAAAUAUAUAGGCUAGAAUUAUCAGGUGAUCUAAAAUUCUAAAAGUGGUUCACUUUUAUACUUUCGACUGAUAUUCGUCUCUGAUACUAAAUAUAACGAUGAUCCACUAACAAUAAUAACUUGUUAGAUCCAAACCACUAGACCAAAAUAUUUUAGCUCAUUUAUUAGGCUAAAAUUUUAUGUAUAAGAUAAUUCUAUAUAUAAGAUACAAUUAGGCUAAAAUCCUUAAUUCGACUAUAACAUUUUGGACGAUAGUUAAGCCCAAGAGCUUAACAGAGUUCAGCAUACUAGAAUUAUAGCAGUCGUAGGGUGGUGAUCCCAUAGAAAGUGGGGCGUCACAGUUGGUGUUAAAGUCAAUCAUCAACCGAAAGUGUGAGAUGAGUCGCGGUAGGACGAGUAAUUUUAGGAUGGAUGACUCUCAGGAAAGUGGGGUGUUGAUUAUUAGUAUUGAAUCUGACGAGAACGUCAGGACUUAAAAAAGAAGAGAAUGUGAAACCCCAAUUAAUUAAUUCUAUAUAUAAGAUAUUAUAGAGUUAAAACUCUUAAUCUAGCUAUAACUUUUUAGACAAUAAUUACGCCCAAGAGGGUAAAAGAGUUAAGUAUUUUUAUUUUUUUAUUUUUUUUUUUUGAGAGAGAUAGGUAGCACGUUAUCCGCUUCGUUUAUUUUAUUUAGAAAUAAACUUAGCUGGAAAUGUGAAUCAACUAGGAUUCGAACUUGGAUCUCGGGUACCAACCACCAAGUCUUUUACCACUUGCUCUAGAGACGGUCGGUAAGAGUUAAGUAUAUUAGGAGUAAAAUAGCUAUAAAAUGAAUGAUCUUCUGAAAAUUAAGUUAGGCCCCAUAUAUUGUUAUCAUCUGAUGCGCGACUAAAUUAACCUGAUUCUGUAUAGACGAAUAAGGUUAGGGACAAACGGUGGCUGCAAUAGUAGCAGAAACAGUGGCUCAGCCGAGAGUGAUGAUCCCCAUCUAUCUCUUUAAAUAGAGUUUUGUCCCCAUCUGAAGUAACAGUGUAAUGCAAAUGUAGUAGCUCAAAGUAUCAGUUGAAACUGGAGGAGCUUAAAGCAAAGCGUGGAGUGUGGUGAAGUGUGCCUUUUGCUUCCACCCAAUCAUUUAUUGGUGAACUCUGACUGAUGAGGAGAAAGCUACUACUGUCCACGUACACCAGGUGUGUACCCACACAUUUUACUAAGGAAUGUGGGUGGAUACGGAUAUCCAAAAUUUUUUUCAAAUCUAAAUCCAAAUAAAAUAGAUUUAUAUAAAACGAAACGAAUAUAAUUUUAGAUACAGAUAUAAAAUCGACGAAUUUGGGUCCCGAUACAAAAUUUGAUUGAUGAGAAAUAAUUCGGUACUUUUUUUAAAAAAAAAAUAAAAAAAAUCUUAACCGUUGAUUAAUAGAGGGUAAAAAUGUAACUUUAAUACUUAUCAGAUAAAAGGAUUAUUUUAUUCAAGGUUAGUUUGGUAAUUAAAUAAUACAAUAUUUAAAGAAACUUUUAAUUGAGGUCCUAAAUUUAUGCAUUAAUUAGCACUAAUUUAGGAAAUUAAUGGAUUAACCAAAUUUAUGCAAUUAUUAGGCAUUAAUUUAGGAAUCUACUUUAAAUGUUUUAGUGCUUCUCAAAUUAUGCAUUAAUUUAAAUUAUAGAAAUUUUAGAAAUAAUUUUAUUUCUAAAUACGACGACUUUAAAUUUUAAAAAUUAAAUACUUAAAAUUUAAAAGUGAAAUUUAAAUUAGAGGAAUUUCAUAUUACUAUUUAAAAACUAAAUUUCUACCAAGAUUUAAAGUACAGUUUAUUCACACCAGUUUAAAACGUAAUGCAUAAAAAAUUUAGAGAGUAAGAUUUAUACAACUAGAUUUCUCUAGAGGAAUUUUAUAUUACUAUUUAAAUUUUAAUUCAAUGAUUUAAAAACUAGAUUGAGCCGAUUGAUUUGACUGAUCAGACUUUGACCUAUUGUAUCAAGAAUCUGAUUUUAACCUAUUGAACCGAAACCGGUAAAGAUAAUAAAUAUUUUAAACAGAAUGAUAAUUUAACUGUUAGAGCUAAUAAAUAUUUUAAAUAUAAUUUUAAACAUAUAAAUUAAAAAGAUUAGAAUUAUUGGUCGAGUAAAAAUAAAAUAGUUAGGAAUGUGGAUUUCGAAUCUGACUAACAUCACAAAACUUAUCUUCGAUACGUCGACGGUAUCAAAAAUGCCUAUAUCCUAUAAAUUCAAACUGGACACAAUUUUCGAACUCAACCAAACCUAAACCAGAUAGACUAAAUCACAACAAUUAUUCCUGUUACCAUAUCUUCAAAGUUAGUUUAUAUGAAUACUUAAAUUUUUAAUAUAAGUAAAUUUGAAUAUAAUAUUCAAAUUUAAAAUUUAAAAAGUGAUGAAUUUAUAAUUAGAGGGAUUUUAUAUUACUAUUUACUAAAGUUUGAAUCAAUGAUUAUAUGGAUCUAAAUCAUUUGAAAUUUUCACUUAUAUGAAAUACCAAAUUAUGAAAAGUAAUAGAGAGAGAAAAAAAGAAUAAAGAAAAAAUAAAAAUUCUUCAAAAAUAAUAGUAAGACUGUAAAAUGACUAAAUGGCCCAUUGUUAUUAAAUAGACAAAAUAUUUAUUUUUUUUGAGGUACGGUGUGAACACUAUAGUCGCUUCUCCACUAUAAGUGACUCUGGUGACUUAUUGCAGUCACAAUUUUAAAAAAAUUUAUAAUUUUGAGCCGGUUGAAUACACAUCAAUUGCAACGGUAAAAAAAAAAAAACAAGUAUAGAAGCAUUUACUCUUGAUUGAUAUACAUAUAGAAUGAGGUUACUAUACUAUCUAUAAUACCGAGACUCCGGUACUAUAUUCUUAUUUUCGAUCUUAGGGUGCUCAAAUCAAUGAUCCACAUUAUUAAAUAUAAUUUAGAGUAUAUAAAGUUGUUAGAAAUAAAAUUUUAAUUUUUUUCGAUAUCGUUGACUUAAUAAGUAAAUUAAGGCAAAUUGAAUGGUGGAAAUUGAACGAUCUUUAAAAUUUAAGAAUAGGACUUUUGAAUUCAAGAUCAAAGAUGAUGCCCUUGAUUUAGAUAAUUUAAAGUAUUUUCUAUCAAAAUUUGAAUAAAUUUAUAUUUUUCUAUACCGUUAAAUUACAAACUCACCAUAGCAACCAUUGAAAAUUAACGGUUUUGAAAUUGUUUGAUCAUAAAGUAACCUAUAUUGAAAAAGUAUAAAAUUUGUUUUCUAAAAAUUUUAAAUACUCUAGAUCAGUUUUAACGGUAUGGAUUGUUGAUUUGAACACUCUAAGAUCAAAAAUAAGAAUAUAGUACCGGAGUCCCGGUAUUUUAUAGAUAUUAUAGGAGCAUAGCUUAUAUUUAUAUGCUUGAAGUUACAUUUAAAUUUGUAUUUUAAAAUUAUAGAUUUAAUGUAAUAUAUUUUGAAAUAUGGCAAAGAAAAAUAAUUGUUUCGGUUAGGUUUUCAAGUUAGGGUUUCAGGUUUUUGGUUGGGUUCAGGCUUGGAUAUGGAUAUUUAAAACUCAUCAGAUUCGAGUUCAGAUUCAGAUUUUGAAUUGAGAGUACCGUUCGGUUUUGGAAAAUCCGCGCCAAAUUCGAUCCACUGACAUCCCUAUUUUUUACUCACCAUGAUUGGUAUAUGAUGAUGUUCAGUUACUGACCUGACCCAAUAUACAAACAUGAUCGUAAAAAGUUAUUACUUAGAUAUCAAGUAGUUCUAAAAUUAUCUGCACAGAAAAAAGUUUUAGGUUGAUUUAUAAGAAAUAGGCAUUUGAAAUUUAUAUUUUAGAUCAUAGAGCACAUUUUAGUUAUCACAUUCAGAUUUGUAGGGUCUGUGUUGUAGAGGAAGUUUUUUUUGAUGUUUUGUGUUAAAAAAAAAGAAGAAAAUCUGUAAAUGGAACAAUCUUAGCAUGCAAUUAAAGCAUUCAAAACUUCAAAUCCUACUUCGCUCAUAAUCUCUCAUUUAAUCUCCUCUCAAUUUACUCGUGUCCAAGCCUUGGACGGACCGUUAAAAAGUAUCUUAGUAGUUUCGAGUUCAGACUUGAUAAAUAUUUAGCAAUACGUGUUGUCUGUAGUAAAAUUUUAUGUAGUUAUUAAAACUCAGAAAUAAGAAUUUAAGUGUCGUGGCAUGGGUUCGUACCGGAAACUUACUAGCACGAUACGGUACGGUGCAUGCCGGACCGUACCGAUGCGUGCUGGUGACAUAAAAUUCGUGUGUGCCAAUACAUAAUAAUAUGAAAUAUUUAUCUUCUUUAGCAGCAAAAUAUUUUAACUAUUUAUUAUUUAUUUUUAUCAAAUCUUUUGAAUUUUAUUGAGAAAAUUAUUUAUUAAUUAAAUAAUAGAGAAUUUUGAGCUGUACCAUCGGCACGAGGUCUGUAUCGUGCCGAUAUUUUAUUGGCACGAUACGACAUGGUAGAUACGAUCCGUGUCGAUGGACACUUAAAUUCUUGCUUAGAAAUUUAAUUUUUCACUCUAUAAAAAUCUUGGCAAUAUAUAAUUUAAUUAAAUAACAUAUUUAAUAUAUUAGAUAAUUUAUUUUAUUCUAAAAAAAAACCUAACAAGAUGAUGAUGAUAGAUAUUAAUUACACAUGCCGAUAGAAUACUUAUAUAUUUUUUAAAACAGUAAUUGCAUAUAUAUCUCUCAAAACUUCAAAAAUAUCUAAUUUAUUCAUAUCUUUUUUUUAGUUUCAAAUAUACCCUUAUAUGUUCCUCCAUUAUUCUAAAAUUUUCUUGCAGUUAUUAUUCGUUAAGUUAUCUCGGAUUAAAUGUGAGUUGAAUAUUUACAAGAGUUAAAAAAAAAAAUCAAAAUACAUCUUUUGCCCUUAACUUAAGGGUAAAUAAGAAAAGUGGGCGAUAAUAAAAAGGUAUAUUUAAAAGGACAAAAAAGCAAAAUAUUUUUUUUGUUCUUAACUUAAGGACAAAUAAGAAAAAUUGGUAAAGUAGAAGAAUAUAUUUAAAAGGAUAAAAUAGUAAUUUUACAGAAAUAACGAUCGUAGCUAAUAAUAUACUAACAGAAUUUAACUCUACGAAUAUACUUAGAAAUAAUUUGAAACGUUAAAAGAAUAUUUUUAAUAUUAACUUUCUUAAAAGGGUAAAUCAAAAAUCAAAAAUCAAAAUUUCUUUUAGGGAUAUACAAGUAAUUACAUUUUUUUUUUUUUAAUUUAAAAGAUAUAUAUAUAGAGUAAAAUGCUCAUAUGUCCAAAUAGGGUCUCCAGGGUACACUUUGGCAUGUAAUAAUUUCUCCACAGGAGUCCAAGUAUAUGUAUAUCCCCCUUUUUACUUUUCUUCACCCUCUCUCUCUCUCUCUCUCUCUCUCUCUCUCUAAAGCGGAGGCCUCUUCUCUCUCCUCUUUCCCUUUCUCUCUCUCUCUCUCUCUCUCUCUCUCUCUCUCUCCUCCAGUUUCCAUGGUGGUAGUGUAGGUGAAGGAGAGGAGCGAGGCGAGAGCUUCUUCUAUUGUGGACUCUUUCUCGCUCUACAUCCAUCGAUCUCACUUGGGUAUGAAUCCGUUCGCUUCUUUCCUCCUCAUUUGAUCGUUUCGAGCACUAAAACUCGCUCCUUUGUGCGCUAAUCUCAAUCUUUUCCGCCUAUUUCGGCUUUUUUUUGAAGCUAUUUGAGUGCCUUUUUCUUGGGUUUCUCACUCUCUCUUUUGAUAGACCAUGGGUUCAUUAAAAAAAAUUGGUGAAUUGUGGUGUAAUGGUGUUNCAUAUCUUUUUUUUAGUUUCAAAUAUACCCUUAUAUGUUCCUCCAUUAUUCUAAAAUUUUCUUGCAGUUAUUAUUCGUUAAGUUAUCUCGGAUUAAAAGUGAGUUGAAUAUUUACAAGAGUUAAAAAAAAAAAUCAAAAUAUAUAUUUUGCCCUUAACUUAAGGAUAAAUAAGAAAAGUGGGCGAUAAUAAAAAGGUAUAUUUAAAAAGAUAAAAAAGCAAAAUAUUUUUUUUGUUCUUAACUUAAAGACAAAUAAAAAAAAUUGGUAAAGUAGAAGAAUGUAUUUAAAAGGAUAAAAUAAUAAUUUCACAGAAAUAACGAUCGUAGUUAAUAGUAUGCUAACAAAAUUUAACUCUACAAAUAUAUUUGAAAUAAUUUGAUACGUUAAAAGAAUAUUUUUAAUAUUAACUUUCUUAAAAGGGUAAAUCAAAAAUCAAAAAUCAAAAAUCAAAAUUUUUUUUAGGGAUAUACAAGUAAUUACAUUUUUUUUUAAAUUAAAAAGAUAUAUGUAUAGAGUAAAAUGCUCAUAUGUCCAAAUAGGGUCUCCAGGGUACACUUUGGCAUGUAAUAAUUUCUCCACAGGAGUCCAAGUAUAUGUAUAUCCCCCUUUUUACUUUUCUUCACCCUUCUCUCUCUCUCUCUCUCUCUCUCUCUCUAGAGCGGAGGCCUCUUCUCUCUCCUCUUUCCCUUUCUCUCUCUCUCUCUCUCUCUCUCUCUCUCUCUCUCUCUCUCUCUCUCUCUCUCUCUCCUCCAGUUUCCAUGGUGGUAGUGUAGGUGAAGGAGAGGAGCGAGGCGAGAGCUUCUUCUAUUGUGGACUCUUUCUCGCUCUACAUCCAUCGAUCUCACUUGGGUAUGAAUCCGUUCGCAUCUUUCCUCCUCAUUUGAUCGUUUCGAGCACUAAAACUCGCUCCUUUGUGCGCUAAUCUCAAUCUUUUCCGCCUAUUUCGGCUUUUUUUUGAAGCUAUUUGAGUGCCUUUUUCUUGGGUUUCUCACUCUCUCUUUUGAUAGAUCAUGGGUUCAUUAAAAAAAAUUGGUGAAUUGUGGUGUAAUGGUGUUUUUUUUUUAGGUAAAUUGCGCAGUGGGAGUCAUUUGAGCCUACUUUUGGGUAUUUGGUGAGAUUGUUUAGAGAUUCUUGUAGUAUUUUGAGCCUACUUUUGCCUACUUUAUAGUCAAAGCAGUAAUUCUUGCUCAAGAAAGGAAAAUAGUCUAAUUGUUGGAUUGAGUGUAGUAGAUCAAAUAACUUUGUUUUGGGCUGAGCUUGCUAAUAUUGUUGAUUGUUAUUUGUUGAAUAUGGACAAUCAAUCAAUGCGAAUAUCAUCGGUUAUUAUAAAAGCUUGUUGAAUUUCUCUACCAAAAUGAUGGUCCUCUUUAAGAGGUCCAUAAGCUAAGGAAAUGGAAAUUGUGGAUUGGUUACAAUGCCUCUACUUGCAAACUUUCAUUUUGUUGGAGAAAAAGAAGUUAGAAUAAUUGUUAGUUUGGCAAGUAAUAAGAGGCGCAAGAUUUCUUGUAUGAAAACUUUUAAAACCAUGUGAUCUAACUCAAGAAAGAUGAUCCAUUUUUGUCCAAAUCAUAAUAAUAUCGUAUACAAGGUUCUUUGGUGACAAUGAUCGACUCCAUAUACUUGGACCCUCACUAUUCAGCCCUUUAAGGUCUUUAAACUCCUUUUGUUAUACCCCAUAAUGGAUCUAAUUUACUCUUCUAGCUUUACCUUAAACACUUGUCAUUUUGUGUUGUGUGUGAACUGACUAUGUGGUACAAUUGGGAAUAAUUUGGUGUAGAGCUAAUAGUUCAUGAGCAAAACGAACAAUUCGACGCUCUUUGGUAUGGAAUUCGCAGAUUGAUGCAAAACAUGUUGGAAGAUAUUAUUUUCAUUGAUAGUUUGUUAGAGAUAAGAUUUAUCCACGUAAUUGACGUUAUGUAGAGUUUGUAAUAUUUAAGGAUUUAAUAGUGAUAGGAUUCAAAGUCUUCGAAGUAGACUCCGGGUGUAGCAGAGAAAUUACUAUAACGAAUAAAGUUUAGUUUUCCUCCUCUAAUAUUUUCUUCUCCAUUUUGCUUAGUAAAUUAUUGAUGGGUUACAUAACUUGUAUAAAUGUAAAGCCGGUUCGAUAAAUUGAUAUCAGAGUGAUAUCCAUUCCAACAAAAUGGAUUGGUUAGGAGAGAGUCGGACCAGUUGGUGCUGAUGGGUUGAUGGAAUUGACUUCGAGUUGGUAGGAUAAAGAUGUGUUGUUUCUGGUCUAGGUUUAGAACUUCGAAAGGAAUAUGGUAGUCUUUCAUAAUUCAAAUUAAAGCUAGGGUUUGUGGAUCAUGAAAGAGAGCAGAGGAGUGCCGUCAUGAGAGAGUCAAGGAAGUGCUCUUAGAAGAGAAAUAGCACCUUGAUGGAGACGACAAGGAAAAGCACCUACAGGGACGUAUAUAGAGGGUGAGAGUGAUCUAGAUCGGAGCAGUGCAGUAGGAGUAGAAAUAGAGUGGGAAGAAGAAGAUUAGGGGAAAAGCCUUCUAGUUUAGGCAACGGAGAGAGAAGUCAUAGGGAACUUCCUAAUAACAUAAAUGAUUUUCAUACAAUCAUGAGCUGACUGCAAAGUACCCCGCUUAGGCUUGUUUAAAGAUUUUGGAAAGUAAUACUGCCUAGAAAGUUAGUUAUUGUUAUUGUAGAACGCAGCGAAAGAUUGGAUCAUCCUCUUUGGUGAAAGCUAAUUGUGUUGCUCUUUCUUCGCAUACGAUUGGUUCCAAUCAUAGAGGUUGAUUCGCGCGUCCUUUGAUUAUCCAUGAAGGUCCUCCAACAUUCAAAACCUGCGGUAGACUAAGCUGCUAAUGAGCUAAGUCUAUAUUUGACUAUUCAAGACCCUAUAGACUCAAUGAGUUAAUGGAGGAACUGGUUUUUCUUUCUCUCAAAAGGUCACGGGCACGCGAAUUUCACACUAAUUUCUCUUGAUUUUCAAAUUAUUUUUCUACUGUAAUUUACCAGAGAAAAGCACGUAUUUGUUUGUUACCUUAAUAUAAUUAGAAAAAUGAGAUAAAGGUAAUCCUAGUCCAAUUGGAUAACCAUUGGAUAGAGACUGACCAUGGGCGCGCUUAAUUUGGUCCAGCCGAAUGCCAACAGUUAUCUAUACGCUAACAACGAUUUUCAAAAUUUAAAAGUUCAAAGUAAGUCAUAGCUGUUAACAAGCUAAUUUAAAAUUCCAAAAUUCAAAAACUUAAAAUUAAAAAUUAAUUUUUAAUCUCAAAAUUCAAACAUAAGAAGACCUAAUCUAAUGCAAGUUACAUUAUAGAGUGAUUCAAAAGAAGGUUUGGACUUGAAGCUGCUUCUGGAAGAAGAGAACCCAAGUGUAUUCUUGCCUUGGUCAGUGAAUAUUUCCUCUCCAAUCUUGUAGUUUUUCUUCGUUCUUUAGUUUGCUUGCAUCGCUCUACACAAAGCUCCUUCCUUCCUCUGCCGUCUUUGAGGGAAAAGCCAUCCCAAUCUACAACCCUGUCAGUUUCCUCAACCCCAAGUGAUCCCUUUCGGCGCAUGUUUUCAUCUAUCAAGAAACUACAUAUUCGGUAAAGCUUACUUAGAGAGCCUGCCCUAAGCCUAUUGAUUUGACUGUCUUUGAAUAUAUAUAUAUAUAGAAGAAAAANUAUAUAUAUAUAUAUAUAUAUAUAUAUAUAGAAGAAAAACUGAGAGAUUAGAUUCAAGAGUCACCAAAAAUUGCAAUCAAUCGUUACCUUUUAUAGUUUGAGAAUCAGAAAUUGGCACAAUUUCAGGAGGGCAAUCAUCUCAUGAUGACAAUAUUUCAUCUUGUGAGAAAUGUAAUGCAAACAAACUGAACAUAAAAGGUUUUUUCUUCGUGUGUAGAAGCUUAAAAAAUGCACCUUAUUAUCCAAAAAGAAAUGGCAAAUUAAUGGGCAUAAAUUCAGAGCAUGGCAGCCAAGAGAACCAUCUCUGAUGGUAUAGAAGACUAUAUGUGAUAGAACAGAAGCAAUCUAGUAUUUACACAAGAGUCUCCUUAAGGGGAUUUUUCAGAUUAUUCAAGUGUAUUGCAAGAUUUUUAGACUUUCAAAUCUUUGUCUUUGUUAUUUCUAGUUAGAGAAGUGGAGUAUGGCAUUAGUGCUUGGCAUAUAGUUCUACUUCUCAUCCUAUUUCAACUAGGAAUUCUCCUCUUUGUUUGUUAAUUAAAACCUACGAAUGCCUCUCAUUAAAUUCAUCUAAGUUUCAGACUUUGUUGUCUUAUAAAUUCUCCUUUGCAGCCAUGCUAUAUGUUUUUAGGCAGUUGUGUAUGCACAAGACAAGAGAACAGAACUUCAUUGGGGAGCUCCCCAGUGGGGAGGGCAGGUGUGAAUUGUUGGAUUAUAUUUUUGUGAAUCUCAAAGCAAAUUAAAGAAGCAAUUUUCCCUUUGUACUGUUGUUUACUAAUGCAGUCCAAUUUUUAGUGUAUUUAUUGACAAGUAUUAUUCAUUCCUUUUAUCUGAAGAGGCAUAAUGUUAAAAUCACUUGCUAGUUCAAUACUUCAACAUUAAAUAUACCUAGUAAUUUUUGCCUAAACCACUAUUAUUGUGAUGCACUUUCCGAAAUGAUGUGCUUUGAUGUCCUUCUUGAAUCUAAAUGAAGUAGUCGUUGUUCCAGGAACUGCAGCAUAGAGGGAUAAUAUGUUCCCGGAAACUUUUAAAUUUGUUGGUGCACGGACGAGAUCUUUGUUUGAGCAUGAGAAAAGUAUUAGUAGUUACAUAUACAUCGCGUUCAAAUCUGCAGUCGAAAAUUGUUUUUUCCUUUGCAGAGAUGUAGCAUUUUGUGGAGCAUUCCCUGGAGUUCACCAGGAAUGAACUUAGAUAUUCUAUCCAGCUAUGGACCAGGCAAGUGUUUCUGAGGCAUAUAUAUUUGGUGACCAGGCUACGAGUGACAUCACUAUUUGCUUACAAAACAAAGAUGAUCGGCCAGAAUGGUUCCACUGCCACUCACCUAUUUUGAUAAAAAAGAGCAGGUUUUUCUCCGAUCAGCUUGUUAACCACAAUAACACUUCCCUUACUCUCGAAUUUAAUAGAUGCAUUGAAGUUCAGUGCCCAAAAUCUGAUUAUGACCACUAUGUCAAGCUCUUGAACCUUCUCUAUCUCUCAGAAGAAUCACUUCUAGGCUCAUUUGAUUCAGUCAAAUCCACACUUGGUAUUCUCCGAGCCUCAAUUUCCCUUCAGUGUGAAUCAAUCAUCCAAAACUGCAUCGAGUACUUGGAAGCUGUGCCUUGGGAUGAAAAAGAGGAGGAAGAUAUAUUAAGUUUAGUUCCAUCCCUCGGCCCACGGGCCUUCCCUAUUUUGGCUCGCGUCAAUCCCGUUAAUAACAAUUCUGUGAAGAAUGUUUUCCUCUCCGCUAUUCGCUUCGCCACGAAUAUGGAAAGCCCACCCCCUCCCUUCUUAGAAGAACUCAAGACUUCGGCUCAAGAACAAAUAGAGUAUAUGCUUCUAGAAGAUGAAGACACUCCUUUGGUUGUUACAGAUGAAGAUGUGAAGUCUGAGGUGCAAGCGGGCCUAGAGAAGAUGUUCACCACUUUCAAGAACGGGCUCGAGUCACUGCCUUUUGAGUUCGAUCGGUCGCCCGAGCAAGCCGAACAGAGAGUCCUGUAUGACCUAGCCGACCUCGAGUGGAUAUCUAAUGUGCUUCCCAAGAUUGAAAUGAUGAAGGAUUUUGUUUCGAGUUGGAUCGAGAUCUCUCAAUAUGUAAUUGCAGUUGUCCAAGGUGAGAAGUAUAAUUCCAACUUGUGGGCCGUGAAAGCCAAGCUGAUAGAAGUGACUGGAAAGGCUCUGGAUGCUGUUGGUUAUGGCUCGGUGGUACUUCCAACUUCUUCUAGGGUUGAAUUCAUUAACACUUGGCUUCCGUAUUUAAGGAAGAUGAAGCCUCUGCUAGAUUCAAAGAGUGAAGAAGAUGAGGGAUUUUGUCAUAAAAUUGAUGGAGAUGUUUGUCAGAAUAUCGAAGGAGCGAUUGUUUCGCUCGUCCUGGCACUGCCGUCGAGCGAUCAAGCAGAAAUUCUUGCUGAGUGGAUGAGCAAGACGGAACAGUUGAAAUAUCCGGAUCUGAGUGAGGCAUUUGAAGUUUGGUGCUAUAGGACCAAAACGGCGAAGAGGAGGUUAAUGGUGGGCCUUGAUGGAGCCGGAAAUAACCCGGUCAGUUUCUAAUUUGCUCACUGCUACGUCUUUUUCUUUUGCUAUUGCUAAGUUAACUUGCGGUGAUUUUGCUAAUUUUCACAUUGUUGUAACCUGUAAUAGAGCCUUUUAACUUUCUAUUCAAGCAAUUUUUCCUACUCUCUCUUCUAAUCUAUUACGUAGUUUUGCAUACACCGUAUAUAAAUUUGAUGGCAGGGUUCUCAUGUUUGGAUUCCAGAUUUUGACUCCGCCAAGUUUUUUCUUUCUUUUUUCUUACAUUUCUUUUCCUUAAGAUGGUCAGUGAUGCUUCUUCGAUGAUUCAAAUGUGUUGUGUUUAGAUGUCUUGUAUGAUCAAGAUGCUCAAAGGCCAUGGCUUGUGGUUUAUCGAAGCACACAAUAUCUUCUUUAAAUUCUGUGUUAAUGUGUUCCCCUUUUGGUUUUCUGCUCUGCUUCAUUCCCUGUUGUUUCAAAUUUUGAUGAUGACAUUUCUGAGUUGGAAAAAAAUGGGAUAUGCAAUGUUUCAAGAACUGGGUGUUAGAUGUUCUCUGCUCCUUAGGAUCCAAAUUGAGUAUGCAAUUUUUAUCCCGGUUUGCCUUUUGGUUUUCAUGCUAUAUAAAUAUAUUACUGUAAGGCUUAAUUACGCUUUUUGGUUCUCAAACUAUGAAGGAAAUGAUACUUUGGCCCUCGAAUUUUAAUUUAUUGUAAUUUCUCCUUUAAAACCUUUUGAAUUAUUGCAGUUAAGUAUUACAAAUCAAUUUAGUUGGCUGAAUGUUUAUGUGUCACUAAUAUAGAAGUAAUAUAGUAAUGGUAUGAUUGGUGACGUGACUAUGAUUAAGAUACUAUAUUACUUUUACAGUAGCGACAUGUCAAUAUUUAAUCAACUAAAUUAUGUUGUGGCACUUAAUUAAAAUAUCAAUUAGUAUUGAAUUUUGUUCUCAACAAUGUGACUACCAUGUGUCUCAUCAAUUAGCUUCAACUCUUUUGUUAAAUUCUCAAGUUCGUUUUAAAUUCAUUAUUUUGAGUAACUAAUAAAGAAUUUUCCUUAAAAUCUCUAAAUCAUGAAAAUUUGUUUUCAAACUAUCAAGCUUAGUUCUAGGCAAAGAGUUUUCUUUCUUCAAAAACAAGUUUUCUAAAGUAAUGUUUCUAUUCUUGAGGAACACUUUUAGAACCCUAACUACUAUUCAAAAUUUUCAUGUUUUUCCUUCUAUUCCCAAAAAGGGUCCUUCUAAACCCCAAAUCCCAUUGGUAAACCUAGGGCUAUGGGGAUAUUUGAAGGAAUUUUUGGAAAUCAAUAGGGGCAAUUUUGGUCAACAGAUAUUUUUGAAGUUUGAACGACAUAUCAGAUAUCAUCCUUCAUUUUGAUUCUCUAAUAAAUUUUCGGUUAUUCCGGAAUAGCAAGAAAUUUGCUAUUCCACUAUUUUGGUGGAAUAGUACUAUUUCAAUGCUUAAUUUCAAACUUAAUUAAAAUUAUAAAUUGAAUUAAAACUAAAUUAUAUAAAUAUAAUAUGUUAUAUAUUAUAAUACAUUAUUUUUAUUAUAAAAUUAUUAAUUGUACUAUAUUAAUACAUAUUAUUUAUAUUUAAAUAUUAUAAUAAAAUUUAUAAUAAAUUAUAUUUAAAUAUUAUAAUAAAUUCUUUUUAUUAAAUUUAAGUUUAAGUAGAAUUUUUAAAAAAUUUAUAAAUUUAUUAUAAUAAAUAGUUUUUAUUAAUUGUUCCCACCCCUAUUCUUAUUUUAAAAAUUUAAAAAUUAAAAAUUUAAUUUUUUAAAAUUUAUAUAUUAUAAUACAUUAUUUUUAUUAUAAAAUUAUUAAUUGUACUAUAUUAAUAAUUAUUAUUUAUAUUUAAAUAUUAUAAUAAAAUUUAUAGUAAAUUAUAUUUAAAUAUUAUAAUAAAUUCUUUUUAUUAAAUUUAAGUUUAAGUAGAAUUUUUAAAAAAAUUAUAAAUUUAUUAUAAUAAAUUAUUUUUAUUAAUUGUUCUCACCGCUAUUCUUAUUUUAAAAAUUUAAAAAUUUAAAUUUAAAUUUUUAAAAUUUAUAAUUUGUAAUCUCAAAAUUAAAGUUUAUAAUUAUAAAUUAUAAAUUAUAAAUUAUAAAUUUUAAUUUUGAUAUUUUAAAUUUUGAAAUUUAAAAUUUGAUAUUUUAUAUUUUUUAAAUUUAAAUUUGAUCUUAAAUUUAAAGUUUGAAAUUUAAAAUUUAAAAUUUUGAAUUUAAAAUUUGAGAUUUUAAAUUUCAAAUUUUGAAAUUUCAAAGUUAAAAUUUUAAAUUUAAAAAUGUAAAUUUAAAAUUUUAAAAAUUCAAAUUCAAAUAUAAUAAGAGGGUAAUAUUAUUAUUUUUUAUUUAUAAAAAUCUACUGUCCUUCUUAUUCCAUCUUACUUAACCAAACGCUAUUUUUUUUAUUCCCAGAAAUAACCUAAUUUUCAUCCAAACGCAAAAUUGAUUUAAUCCCCGCUUAUACCUCAAUUUAUACCUAUCCUUUAUUUAUCCCCGAACCAAACAAUACCAAAUCAUAUAUAUAUAUAUAUAUAUAUAUAUAUAUAUAUAUAUAUCCAUAUCAUAACAUAAUUGGACUAUUUCUAUCCGGAUGCAGAUAAUAUUAGAGAGGAUGCAGAUAUUUUCGGAUAAUUUUCUAUCCGUUUUCACCCAUACUUUUGUGUUAGGUAGAAGUCUAAAUUCUAUUUUCAGCCUCAAACUUUAAUUUGAUGUAAGUUUUGAUUUUCACAGUUUAAUUCAAUUGGUUAAAUAAUAAUAUAUCGUAAAUAUGGCAGUGAGGUAGUAAUACUGUUUUGAUGAUAUGAUAAUUAUUAAGAUGUCACAUCAUUAUCAUAUAAACAAAUUAUUAGUAUCUAUCAAUUGAAUUGGAUUGUAGGGCUUAGUUGUAUAAAAAGUUUGAACAAAAAAAUUAUCAUAAAUUAAAAUUUGAGAACCAAAGUGCUAUGUGUCUUGAAGUUUGAGGACCGAAGUGCAAUUUUCCCUAGUCCUCCUACUGAUGAAAAUAAAGUAUCAGGAUAGCAGAAUAGGGUGAACACAUCUUCGAUUUUUAUUGCUUUUUUUCAAGCACUAAAAUACUAGACAGGAUUUGCUGAUUUUUAGAUCACCACAAGAUCACAUAGAACAAAUAAAUUUAGGGCCAUUGAUGUUAUAACUUUCUAUAAUCUAUGCCAUUUUUAUAAUCCAAAGAGUCGGGAGGUGGAGCUCCAAUUUUAAAUGUCUAUGGAAGGGAUCGAAAUUCCUGGCUGUUAAAACAAGAAAAAUUUUAGAAUGCAUCAGUUAUAUUAAUGACGUGGCGUUUCAAAAAAAAAAAGUUCUUUUUGGAUUCAUCCGUCCCAUCAUAAUUAUAAAAAAGAUAUUUUUGUUGCAUAUUUUUUUUCAUAAGAAGAUAUGUAAUUGACUUAUUAUUGAUGUUGUGGUGCAAGUGUGACAAAGUAAACUUUCUUGUUAAAAUAAUAACAUAGGUAAUAACUACUUUGCACUUUCUUUAAACAUAUAUUAAGCUCCAGUUUCAAGUGCCUAUUUCAAUGGUCAAAAUUUUGAUCUCUUAAGAUAGCAACCUUGGUAACAACCAUUAUGCAAUUACACGAUUGUUUUGAGGUAAAAAUAUACAAAAUUUAUGUGAACUACUGAUUAUUUUGAAUUGGCUAUCCAAUUUUUAGAAAUUUUGAUUUUACUAUCUAGUUUUUCAAUUUAUUUGAUUUAAGUCGGUCAAUGGUUUAACUUCAAAAUUUGAAUGCAUCGUUUAUUUUUUACAUAUCCAGUUAGUAUACUUAAUCCAAUCUACGUUGAUUUUAAAAGAUUAGAAAAUAGAUUCAAAAUGGCCUAUACUUCAGAUAAGUUCUAUACAUUUUUAUCUUGUUUUUUUACCAAAAGUUCACUACUUAACCUCCUAUAUUAUUUGAAGAUUUGCAUCUUAGAACCCUCAAGCACAUCACAUCAGACAUCAUCCAAUUACCUAUUUAGGGUGCCUGCAUUUGGUUCAGCAUAAAACAAACCGAAAAUUUUUUCCGUAUUAAAAAUACGUUUUCGCUUGUUUGGUUUGACGCAGAAACUCCCACAAAAAUGUUUUUACGGAUUUGGAGAAAAAUUGAAGUUUUCAUUUUUUGCUGUUUUCUGGCGAAAAACGAAAACUCAAGCUUCGUAAAGAUUUUUUCAUUCAUUUUUUUCCACCGAACCGAAGAAAUGUGAAUUAUUUUUCUUUCAACCAAACAAAUAUUGAUAGAAAACUUUUUUUUUUUCCAAUAAACUAAACACUAAAAAACAUAAAACAUUUCUUCCAUCAAAUUUUUUUUCUCGGAAAAUUAUUUUUCACGGUUUUACGUUAAACCAAAAGGCCCCUUAAUAUAGGUGGAGUUCAUCACAAAGUGUGCAGUAACAUUUGAUUUGUUUCGAUAGUAAUGCCAUUAGUCAAAUAAUCCACAAUCUUUAAAUCUCAAAAAGAAAAAGGCAUGAUUUGAUAAACACAACAAUUAAAUCAGAUACAACUGGUUAAAGCUAACAAUUGCAUGCUUUGUACAGAUCCCCUUCUUAUUGUAUUAAAUUUCAUCUGGUAUCAAUUUGAAGGCCAUCUCAUUCAACUUCUUUACCUCCUUUACACAUCAAAUUACUUUAAUGCCAUAAAUCACAAAUUAAUUGAAAUGAACAAUCGGUGAAGUUCGAAUACACGAAGCACGAAGAGCAUACAUAUUUCGCCUUAUUGCCGUCGAACUUGGUUAAAUUGAAGACAUAAUCAUAGUGUUUCUUCUUCAGCAUGCUGCAGAGUCCCGACUUCAGCACAACCUUUUUCAGAUGCAUUCUCCUCUUGCGACUCCCGCCAGCAAAGAACCGAAGCCAAAUCCUCCACUGCGACCUUCACGACAUCCUUCCUAACCCCAAUGUCGGUAAUAUAUCUCCCUGCACAGUACAUUCCCGCGGUCACAGUUGCCAUCCCGACAGGGCCCGCCACCAAAAGCUUGAAUGGCGUAGACAAAAGAGCCGCCAACGGUACACCGAUUGCCGAUGACGCCUGACCGCUCCUUCCUAUGCCAGGCUCAUCAAGCGGCAGUAGACCAGUCUUGCAGUACAAUGCAAAGUCCUCGCAGUUAUUCUCAAAUACAUCGUAGUUGCCAAAUCCGUUCUGAAGGAGAUACAUUGCUCUGUUGAUUACUAUUUCCGACGGAUCAGAAUCAGCUGUUGUGCACGUGCCGCCCCGAAUCUUGGCUAGGAAGACGGGCGGCGGGACGCCGUACUCAAAUGAGUAGAGGGAGCCAUUUUGAAGGAAGCAGUCUAAGCAGGAGAGUACGACACCACUGUCGGGCUGUUGGAAUCCACAGUCAGGGAAGGUAGGGCAGCUCAACGGAGAGUCCGAGCUCAGAUUGGACUUGAGUGAGUUAGGCUCGGAAGAUGAGGUUUCUUUCUUUCUUGUGAAAUGCACAACUUUGCUUCCUCCCACGUAGAUACCUAUAAACGAGUUCCCAAAGGCAAAUACAAUGUGAUGGUUCGUAGGAUGGACGAUAUUGAACUUACUUUACAAGAUGAUGUUUGUCAUUCUGUCACUUUUCGAAAAGACGGAAAAAUUUAGGGUUCAACUAUAUAGUUCGAUACUUUUAGGCUUUCAUGUAAUCUACUAUAUUGAAGCAAAAGAUCAGCACUUUUAUAUGAGUAAAAUGAGAAGCACAUAAUUACAAAGAGUUCCCCUUUAAAGCAACAACAUGAGCACAAGUUUGUGAAUAUAGAAACCAACUGAAUAUGCAGACUACGUAAAUAAAAAUUUAAAUGGGCAAUGUUGCACUUCUUGAAAGACUAGAGAACCAAAUUAGGUAGAAGGGGCAUUUAGCAACUAAGAGGUGUCGCGAAGGAAUUGGGGUUGGUGACAUGUUGGGAUCAUUUGAUCCACUCAGAUCUAAUAAUUCUGUUGGGAUGGGGUUAUUGUCUUAUUGAAUACCGCCGUCAUAAAAUUCUAUAGUAUUCCACUGACCUCCUAGUCAUUGUGAACCCCCAAUGCCUCCAAGUCGCUAAAUUCUCCCUCCCUCUCAAUAUUGCUUUUGUCGUUUUGUCCAAUCCAAUCCAAUCCAAUCCAAUCCAAUCCAAUAUUGGAUGCCAAAGGGGUCAAAAAUGUAAAUGCUUAAUUGUAGGAACCAUGGUUAUUGUUGCCAAAGAAGACACAAUUGUAUGAGGAAACCCAAAAAGGCAAAUUGCAAAGCUAGCACGCCACAAUGAAAACAACAAAAAAUUAAAAUGAACCAACCAAGAAGUCAAACACCAAGAAUUAGGUGGGAACCCUUAAAAAAAAAAAGAGCAACCAACUCUAAACAUGCACUUAUUUAAAUAGGAUGAAUACAAGUCCUCUCUAGUCACUAGUAAAGGCAGAAAACACAAAAGGAUAAAGCUAGGGCAACGAACAAAAUAAGUGUUGGAAAGGGUUUGCCAUCACCAUGUUGCUAGCGAACACCUCUCAAGAAACCUCCCGGCAAGGCAAUGAACCGGCAAGGCAAUGAAACUCUUCUGGAGUUUCUGCCAACCCAAUUUCAAAAGCCUCUAGCACGGAAGCAAUAAUAGUCUUUAAUAGCAGCGUCUUCACUAUUCUUCUCCUUUUCUCUAACAAGGAAAAUAGAGCCUCAUUUUUCACUAAUCGUAAGUACUAGCUUUUUUAAGAAACACAAGAUAAACAUAAGAAAGGACAUAAUGUGCUUAGUCACCCAACUUAGCUGACUUGAACCCAAUUCUCUACCAUAGUUAGUUAAUUCGGAUACGGUAAAAAUUUAGUAUGGAUAAAAUACGAAUAAAAUUCGUACCUGGAUUUUUAAAUUCGUUGAAAAAUACGGUUUAAAAAUCGAAUUCGUCAAUAAUUCGUAUACGUGAUUUAUACGAGAAUUUUAUGCUUAUUAUUUAAAAAUUCGGAAUAAAAAUUCGUCUAUUGAAUUAAAAUUUUUCUUUAGAUUUAUGCUAUUAUCAUAAAUAAUUAUAAUUCUUAUAAAUAUAAAAAUAAAAUAAUAUAAAAUACUGUGUAUAUUUAUAUAUAUAUCUAUACAACUAUAUUAAUCCGCAAUGUUUAAGAUGACGUGGCGCUUCCUCCUUAGUUUAGGGCUUUUCUAUUUUUUUUUUCUUUUCUUUCUGUUAUAUUAUAUAAAGUAAUAAACACAAAGGGGGAGUGAGAGGUCCACGGUGGACCUCUCACUCCAAGCAGUCCACGAGGCUGAGUGCAGCCACGUGGACCGCGCCUUUUCCCAAGAAUCCCAACGCGGUGUGCCGCGCCCUCGCCGCUCCUCUUUUCUUCUUCCCUCGCUCCGUCUCCAUGGUUUCUUCAAAAUAGGACAAGCAAAAUUGCUCGACUGCUCGGAAGAGAUGCACGGAUCUGCGGAGCGGCGGUCGCGCGAUGUAGGUCCGAGAAAUUUUAUCUUUCCACGGCCGCCCAAAUCCAAAUUUUUUUGAAAAAUUUUAUCUUCCACUCUGCUCAAUCCGAAUUUUUCGAAAUAUAAUUCAGAAAAACCGUUUUAAUUGCAAAUAUUUUGAGCAAGGAGAAAAAAUGCGUUUUAUUCCGAUUUUUUCGAAAAAAUUCGUAGACGGAGCGUUUUAUACAUUUUUCUAAUUGUUAGCAAAUAAUUCGUGUAUUACACGUGAAUUAACUAACUAAGUUCUCUACUAUAACCCACCAAAAUAGGUUCAAGCUGAGUGCAAUUUUGCACUUAAGCCCCUCAUGAGAAGGGACACCACAAGAAAAAGAGAAUGAGAUGUGGACGGAUAGAUAAUAGGAGUCUGAGAUGACAAAGCUAAUGUAUGUCAUCAAAAUAAGGUGUGCCACCACGCUAGAGGCCUGCACCACCUCCUUAUCAUGUUGUAUAUCUUAAGUCAGUACCUAUAUUGCCCCACUAAAUCCUUUAUCUUUGCCAACUAGCUUUUGUGUAACUGCUUUCUUAUCCCUCUUAUUACUUCCUACUAAAGUGGUUACCUCUCUAUCCCAAAUUCACCCACUACUUCCUUUCCCUCCUCGAUUAUCUCACCGUCCCAGGUUCUCCCACUACGUUCUUUCCCUUCUUUGCCCUCGACCUGGGUUCAAUUUCUCCAAAUUGUUUUUUGAAAGUAUGUAGCAUCCCACCAUCUAGUACCAACGGGACUAGUUCGGCUAGCCAAAUUGACCAAACUGUUUGAUCUGGUCAGAUCGAUCCCGCCAAUGUUAAACGAAUAUUGGCAGGAGUAGAAUACUAUGUCCUUUCAGAAAAGUAAUCGAGAGAAACCGAGCCCAAGUCAAAGGCUAAAUAAGGGAAAGGAGGUGGUAGGCAAACUGGUGACGAUAAAAUAACCGCUUCAUUGAGGAGUGGGAGGAGGUUUAGAUGGGUAAGCAGGUGGUUGAGGAACAAGAGGUCAGUGGAGUUAAAUUGAUUAGACUGAGAACAUUUUAGUCUUUCUUCCCGCUCUCUUUCGUCCAUUAAACAAAAAUGGUAGGAUCUAGAAAAAAAAAGUAGGAACUUUGUUUAUCUAUUUAGAGAAGAGGAUAAGAGAGGUAUAGAAGCAAAAACUAUUGGACGCUAAUAUUGCUUGGAUUGCAUAGGGCUUUUGAAGCUGGGUUGGUGGCAAUGCCAAAGGAACCCGAUUGCAUUACUGUGUGGUUUCUUAGGAGGUGUUUGCAAACACUCAUCUAUUACCGUAGCAUCCUUUAUGUAGUAUCAAACUGAGAUAAUGCCAGAUGAAGCAUAUUUAGAAGAAUAGCAAGAUGAAAAUAUUUAGAAAAGCAUGAAAUACCAAAAGAGAUGAUUUAUAAUUUAAUUUAUACCAAUAAAUCGCCCAGCUUGGUUCCUCCAACAAGAAUCUCCACAAUAAAUGUGAUUACAGAAUUAGCAGGAGCUUUUCAAGGCAUAACUCACAUGCAUAAAGGCACAUAGACAUCAAAAGUAUACCAAAGGGAAAGGGUAGUCAUUAUUAUAACAACCAGUAAAAUGAAGGCAAAGAUGCUCUUCGAAAAGUGAAUUGUAGGCCUUAUGUGACAAAAGUUAAAACAUGAUAUCACAAGUGUAAAAGAGAACAUAGAUUUAGUUCCCCUUUUUCUUUUCCUCUUUAAACAUGAUUGCUUCAACAAAAAAAAAAAAAAAAAAAAAAAAAAAAGAAAAGAAAAAGAAGAUUAGCUCCAAAGUAUUCAGCAAUGCUGAUAUCAGAAAUUGGAAAAAGUACUUCCAAUCUUAACAGUUUCAUGGAUUUUGAUAGGAGAAUAAGGUUCUCACAUAUAUUAUGAACUUAUACUAAAGUAAAAAUAAUAAUUUUUAAAUAAGGAUUAACUAUUUCUUCUUCUUUUUUUUUGUACAAUUGAUCAACUAUUUCUUGUUUUUUCUUAUUGUUAUCUUCCCUGUUAUUUUCUUUAAGUUAUGGCAGCAUGCUUGUUUUUUUCUUUGACAUGAAAAAGAAUUCAAUUAGUACCAAGUAUAGCCAACACACAAAUAUGACUAUAGCCUGUAAGACUUCCCUGAUUUCCUCGAAAGCAGAGAAAAUCACGUUAAUUAUGAUUUCUUACAAUCAUCAACUUUUGAUUACAUUCAAUUAUGCAUUAUCUGAUAAAUAAAGGUGCCAUCAAGAUGCAAUUGCAAUUAUCAAAUAAAGAUUGCUUACAUCAGUGGAUCAGUAACCCAAUGCUGAGUACCAAGAAAAGAAUACUGUGGAUUUAGUAAUACCACAUCAACUGAAGAAACUGGGAUUCCUUGGUCUCCUAGGAGGUUUAUUCCUUCGUCAUAAUGUUGAAUAAGUUAAUCAAAUUUAAAGACAAAGUUGAUUACAGUCAGGUUGGAAUUUACGAAUGAGUUCAACCCAGAAUAAAAGAUUGAAAGGAAGUGGGGAAAAGAAAGAAGGAGCUAAAAUAUGAUCAGGAGAUUUUUUGGUCAUCCUACCUCUCAUUAGAUCAAAUGCAUCUAAGCUAAUCUACAAUUUACAUCCGGACAAAGAACACCUAAUAAAUGGAAAAAUUUUAGAAACAAAAAAUAGAAAAAGAAAAAACCUAUUCAUGGGCACCUCUCCGAAUCGAGGAAUAUGACAUAAUCCACUCCCCAAAACUGAAAUAGGCAUGAAAACGAACUCCAAACAACAAAACCAUUUCCCCGACUCUUAAAGAGCUGCAGAUUCCUAUAACUGAAAUUAGCUAAAGAAGCGCAAAUUUCUCUGCAAAUUCUGAUCUUUUCGAGUUGUGCUAUAACAAUCCAAUCCAAGAACAAAAUUCAAUGCCUGCACAGAUAAGAUUUCGCUACGACGCAUGCAUCAACAGAACCCGACGGAGCUCAGUGAAGCUUCAAUACUACAUUAGGGACUUGAAAUUUGAUACGAAGUUUGGAAAGAGUCUCCGAACAACAAAACCAUUCUCCUAAACUCCCAAAUCCACAGAUUUUCCUGGAAAUUCCGGUUUUUCGAGUCAUUCGACGACCACAAUCCAAUUCAAGAACAGAAUCCAAUGCCAACCCAGAUAAGAAUUCGCUGCAACGCACCCCUCAAUAGAACCCAAGGGAUGUUAAAUUAUAUCAAACAACAACAUCGCAGAACUCGGGACCUCCUGCUCUGAUUCAUAACAUGAAGCUUAAGCUACUAAAGAAAAUGGUGUUUUUAUAUUUUGUAUUCAAUAAGGAAAUUAGAAUAUGACACAAAAUUUGAAGAGUCUCCAAACCAAACAAAAUCAUUUUUUUUUAGCACGCAAAUCUACAAAUCCCUAUUACCCACAAAAAAACAUAACAAUCCAACUCAAGAACAAAAUCCAGCGCCUACCCAGAUGAGAAUUCGCCAUGAUGAACACACCAACCAAAAUCAAAUACCAUUUCUAAAUAGCAUCAAUGCUACAUUAGCAUUAGCAACUCAAAAUUAGUUUAAAAAAAAGAAAAAAAAAAAGUACCGUGGUGGGAGUAUGUGUACACGGCCCUCCAAGUGUAGAUGUGGUCUCCGGGAUUAAUCUCAGAUCUCUCCACCCGGUUUGAGAGAAGCCCCAUUUCUCUCCCCCCCCUCUCUCUCUCUCUCUCCUCUUUCUCUCUUGUUCUUGGUCUUAUAAUUUUGACUCACCACCUCCGAAGCAAUUGCUAAAAACAUAAUAAUAAUAAUAAUAAUAAGAAAAAAAAACUUCAAAUACCACCACUGAGUUUCAUAUUUUUUUAUUUUAGUAUUUUAUAAUUUAAAGUGUAUUAAUUUAAUACUUCGUAAUUUUAUUUUUCUAUUUUUAUUAUGCCAUCCACUAAUUUUUUUCAUUAAAUCAGUAACAAAGUUAAAACUAAAAAUGCUAAAGUGAAUAUUUGAUAAACCUAGAUAGAGUAUUUGAAGUUUUUUUGUAUAUAAUUUAUCAAAAUAUUAAUGGGGGAGUUAACGGAAAGAGAAAUAUAAAAUCAAAGGGUACUAAAUGAAUACACUUUAAACCAUAUGAUACUAAAGUGAGAACGUAUGAAACCACAAGGGUGGUUUUUGAAGCUUACCAUAAUAAUAAUAAUGUAGUUAAGAGUCUAUUGUUGGUAAAAAUGUAUGGAGACACCUCAACUAUAUGAACUUUUGAUAUGCCUCCCUCAAUUUUUUUUUUUUUUGGAUUGAGACUUUUUAAGUUUUUAACUGUUUGAAAUCAAAUAAUCUCAGUGAAAAAAAAGUUAGGAAUUUCGUCAAAUUCAACGGCAAUUACAUCAAAAUUUAAUAACCUUAAAUUACUUUUUAAGAAAUAGGACUAGAGAAAUAGUAAUUAAUAGCUAAUAGAAUAAUCAUUUUUAGUAAGCUUUUAAUUUAUCCGAGUACAAAAAUUCAAGGCUAAAAUACGAAAUUUAUAAAUAUCUGUUUUUUUUCUUUUUUCUCCUGACUUUUAAAAAAUCUAUAUUUUGCCCCUUAAAAUUUUAGAAAUAUUUUUGAAUAUUACGACGUUAAUGGAGAAGAUAAAACAACCAAACUAUCCUUAUUUGUUCUACAAGAAAAAAAAAUAUUUUUUAAUAAUUUUUUUGUUAUUUUCAAGAGUAUUUUCGAUAUAAAGAAGAGGGACUAAAAAUUUUGAGGGGAUAAUUUAUAGAUUUUUAAAAAUUAGAAAGAAAAGGUGAAAAAAAUAGGUGUUUACCCGAAGAUUUUCUACAUUUUAGAAAAAAUUCAAAUUAAAAAAAAAACAAAAGAAUAAGAAAUAAAAGUUGAGGGGGUCUCCAUGCAAUUUUACGUAGUAAUGAUAGUGACGUCACCAUCAUCACGUAUACAUCGGUAGCCGUUACACCUGAUCGUUACAUAAGACUACGUGUAGUACCAUCGUUAAUUAGGAUAAUAAUGAGAAAGAGCCACUUAAUAUUAUAAUAAAGCUAAAUAGAGUUGUGAACUUGUGAUAGAACUAAUACCUUAAUAAGAAAAUAAAUAUAAUACCUUUUUAUUUUAUUAUAAUUUUUCACCUCACAAAACGCAAUUUAUCUUUAUAAUAUUUUUUUAUUUUUAGUUAAAUUAUAAAAAAUUUUCUUAUAAAUAAACACUUUUCACUUUUUUUUCUAUCUUCUAAAAAUUUAUAUUUUUAUCCACUUAACAUUCAAGUUGCUAUAUUUAGUGUGCGUUUGAUUUGAAGUCGAAAUCGGUAUUGGAAACAGAAUGAGAAGAAGGGUGUGUUUGGUUCCUCUCAAAAUCAUGCCGAAAAUUUUUUUUCGGUUGAAAAGUGAAAUUUUCUUUUUUUGGUGGCUUGUAAAAAAAUUUUUUGGAAAUUUUUUUUUUACAGAUUUUUAGGAAAACGAAGGUUUUCGUUUUCCGCCGGUAGAAAACGAAAAUGCGUGCGUGUUGUGCACGUUGUGUGGGAGAAGAAAGGGCGCGGUCCACGAGAUCCGCUCCACCUCGUGGACUAUGUGAGGAGAGGUCCAUGAUGGACCUCGCGCGGCGUUGCACACGUCGCGGGGAGAAAAAAAGGCAUGGUUCACGAGGUCCUCUCCACUUUGUAGACCGCGUGAGGAGAGGUCCACUGUCCCACUUUUAUAUAUAUAUAUAUAUAUAUAUAUAUAUAUAUACUAUGAUGAUAUAUUAUAUACUUAUUUUACAAUAUAUUUUAAAUAUAUUUUAUUUACAAAUAUAAUUAUAAUAUUAAUAUAUGUAAUAUAAUAAUUAUUAUAUAUUAAUAAUAUAUAAUAUAUAAAAUAUAAUAUAUAUAUAUAUAUAAUAAUAAUUUUUUAUUUAUAACUAAUUUUUUCUUUUUUUUUCUUUUCUUUUCAACCAAACAAUCUUAAUGGAAACCUACUUUUCUUUUCCUACAAACAAAAUGCUAAAGCGUAAAAUUUAUUUUCCUCCAAAAAAAUUAUUUUUUUUUUAUCGAAAAUAUUUUUUUUCCGCAGUUCUACGAGGAACCAAACAGCCCCUGAGUUGGAAAAAAUCGGAAUGAGAAUAAGCUGAAAACGGAAUCGUAAUAAUUCAUUACUUCAUUCUGUUUGGUUUACCACCUGAAUCAGAAUCGGAAUGAAUCAUUUCCAUUAUCACCGUUUGGUUCAAAUACAUAUAAAAAACAUAAUCAAAUUAAUAUGCUAAUUUUAUUUAUAAUAUAUUAGUUUAAAUUUAAACUGAAAAUUAAAUAUUAAAAAUUUACAUCAAAAUUUUAAAACGGUGUCAAAAUUUAAAAUAUAUUUUUUUAAUAAAUUAAAAUUUUAAAUUGCAUGAAUAAUUCAAAAUAUAAAACUAAAUUUCGAUUUAUUCAAAUUCAAACAUAAAAUUAUAAUUUUAAUUUCAAUUUGAAUCCAUAAAUUUAAUUUAAAUUUUAAAUAAACUUUUAAUAAAACUUUAGAUUUAGAUUUAAAUUUAAAUUUAUAAAUUAGAUUCGAAAUGCUUGAUUGAAUUUUAAGUUUUAAUUUACAUUCAGAUUAAAAUUAAAAUUUAUAAAUAUAAUUUUUAAACUUAAACUUAUGUUUCAAUUAAAAAAUAAGUUUAAAAAAGUUAAAUUUAAUCCCAACAAAUCCAUUCCGUCCGGAUUCAAUUUUUAAUCUGACCUCCUAAGUCAGAUUGCAAAAAAUAGUAAUUGGAGAGAUUCCCACUCAUCCGAGAAUCGGAAUCGAAAUAAAAAUCUCACAUACUAAAUAAGGACAAACAUAUUUGUUCAGGUUGAAAAAAGGGCGAACCAAAUACGCUCUUAGUUUUCCUCCGUUAGCGUUUAAUUACUAUUCCGUUCAUUUCUUAUAAUUUAUACUAAAAAUAUCCUUUAAAAUAACAAAAAUAUAUUAAAAAUUUAUUUUUUUUUAUAGAAGAAGUAAAAGGCAAUUUGGUCACUCUACCCUCUUCAUUAACGCCGUACUCCUCUGAAAACAUUUCUAAAAUUUUAAAGAGGCAAAAUAUAAAUUUUUUAAAGUCAGAGAAGAAAAGCGAAAAAGCGAAUAUUUAUAGGAGAAUUUUUUGUAAUUUAGCUUUUUUUUUUUUUAUUGUGUUCUCGAACUUUUUAAUUUUUAUACUGGAUGUACGUUAUACAUCCACUCAUUCAAGAAUUCUUAUUUCCUACUCGUAUUAUCAACUUUUUUUUUUUUUGAAAAUUCAUGAAACUUUUUGAGCAUUGGAAUAUAUCGGGAUAAGAUUAACACCUAUUAAUAGUUAUAUAUGUAGUAUUUAUUUUUAACAAUCAGGUUAAUUUCUAACUAAUAUUUUUUUUAUUGCACAUGAUCAUAAUUGCAGCCGGUGUAAAAUUUCUAUUAAAAUUAAUUAAAUCGUUUUACUUAGAAAGACCUUUUAUAUAAAAUUUGGUAUUCGACAUAAAUUUGUAAGAAUAAAUUUAUAGUAUAAAUAAGCAAAAGAAACAUAAAAUGCCUCAAAAUUGUAUUAAAUAUUAUAAAAAAAUGAUUAUACAUAAAAAUAAUAAGUCAAUUACCAUGUAUUGAACAUAAAAUGAUGACACUUAUACAUGCAAAUUAAACUUUAAAAAUUACUAGUGCUUUAAUUGAAGGAAAUAUUAUUUCUCUUUAGAAUAUAAUAAAUAGAUUUAUCAGACAUUAUUUUAGCCAUGUUAAUAAAAGAAGUAAAAGAAAACUUAAUUAUGUUAAAGUGGAAGCAGCUUUUACUUUGUAUAUAAUGUCAAAGCAAUAUGAAAGCAUUUUUUCCUAAUCGCAUAUGAUAAAAUUAAUUAAUUAAUAUAGUCCAUAACAAAAAAAAUGCAAAAGAAAUGCUUCAAAAAAAAUGCAAAAGAAAAAAAAAAGACUAUAUAUAUAUAACUAAUGAUUCAUACAUAGUUGUUGAAACAACAAUUGCAAAAUAAAUGCUCCCAAAUUUUACUCUCUGCAACUUUUAUCAUUAAAGAACAAAUUAUUAUAAAAUGUAAAAGAGAAUGCAAAUUUUACACUUUUUCAUCUAAGGGCUAACUUUUGAACUUUGUCUAGGAAUAACACGUUAACCUAAAAACUUGUGUUGCCGUGGGGACUGACCCUUGUCUAUAGCAAGUUUUUUUCUUAAAAAUAAAGGCAAAAUAUAAAACAUAGAAACUAUACAAAAAAUAUCUACACAUCAAAAAUCUAAGAUUAUGAAAGUAAAAUAACCAAGGCAAACUUUAUAGAGAAAGUAUAAAUAAAAUCUAGUGAAAAAUGAUACAGCCUUUUUGCAUAAAGAAUUCACUAGUUUUGUAUUUUUGCAUAAGCGGGCCAUUUUUUUUUAUUUUUUAAGAUUUUUAUCGAAAUUUUUUCAAUUUGAUCAAAAUACCCUUGGGCCCAUAAUACGUAGACUAUGCAUGUACGUACAAGUAGAGUGCGAUUAUACAUGCAGCUUACGACGUGUGAAAAGCAAACGUACGCCGUGAGUAUUUAUCCUAAUGCACAAAAUAUAAGCCUCUUAUUCACUCUCAUGCUGUUUGCUGUGGGAUAUAUUUUUUCAAAAAUAAUUGCAAUAAAGAUAAAAAAUUAAAUAAUGCAGCACAGAUAAAAUGUUGCAUAAUUUAUACAAAUUUGUAGUAUUAGAGAAAACAAAAAUGGUUGCAAUAUUUGAAAAUAUUGUUGCACUAUAUAUUUGAUAGAGUAUUGCAAAAGUUAAAGUAUGCUGUACAAUUUUAAACUGUAGCGCACAAUUCAUCUUUGCUUAUUAUAUUCAUUUUUUUAUUUUUGUGUUAGAUGAGGAUUCUGGUAUCUUGAUUAAAAGUACAAGCAAUAAUAACUUGUUAGUCAUGCAAUAAUAACUUUGAUUGUCAAUCUUUUAAUUUUUCACAAUAGAUUCCUAACAUUUUUUGCAGUCAUAUCAAUUAAAUUCCUUCUAUUAAAACAACUAUUACUUUUUGUACAACAUUUAUUGGAGUUGAGCUAUGAAAUUAUUAAUAGUCGAUAAUUAAUAUUUACUAUUAAUUUUUUUAGUCUUUGGAUUUAUAAUAGUACUACCGUUAAAUAAUAAAUUCUAUGCAUACAAAUGAUAUAUAAAAAGUAAUUAAAUAUAGCCAACACUAUUUCUCUACUAUUAAUAGUAUUCUAGUUUUUCUCCAUUUAGUACUUGUUUCAAUUAAAUUUCUUUUAUGGAAAGAGAUAACACCAUUUGUUCCUCACCUUUGUCCCUUUUCCUUUGACUCCCUUUUUUUAUUUUCUUUGUUUUCUUUUUUUUUGCUAUUAGAUUCCUAACCUGUAUAUUCUAUUAAUUUCAAUCCAUAAUAUCUUGCUUCUUUAUAUAGAUCACAGUUAUACUCCGAUAGUCACCGAUUAAUCUUAGCCCUAAUUCUCUUUAGUCUCUAAAAUAGCUAGAUAGUACUAUUGGCUCAAUGUUGAGAACGUCGAUACUUCAAAAAAGCCAAUAGGUGUCAUAUGCAAAGUUAAGAUGGUUAUAGGCCUAUAGAAAAAUAUUGAAGAUGAUGAAAUUCGACUUUAACACCGUAGCCAUGCAUAUGGAAGAGAAGUUAGGGGCCAAAGUAAAAAAAAAAGAAAAAAGAAAAGUUUAUGGACCAAUAGUAAAAUUAAUUUUGAAGAUUAAAAAUUCGAUUCAGAGAAUAAAAAGUUGGGGACGAUCGAAGAGUAUAAUGGUUGGGGACCAACAGUGCAAUUAAACCUCGUCAAAAUGACUGCAAAUAUUAAUAUGGAUAGAAAUGCCAUAUUGGGAACUUGAUUGUCAAAACCAAACUAAAAAGCAAAACUUGGAAAAGUUUAUGGACCAAUAGUAGAAUUAAUUCUGAAGAUUAAAAAUCUGAUUCAAAGAUAAAAAUAUGUAAUGGGUGGGGACAAAUGGUGCAAUUAAUCCUUGUCAAAAUGAUCGUAAAUAUUUGGACAGAAAUGUUAUAUCGGCAGCUUGACUAUCAAGACCAAACUAAAAAAAUUUGAAAAAAAAUUAUGGACAACUAGUAAAUUUAAUUCUAAAGAUUAAAAAUCUAAUUGCAAGAAAUAAAAAAGUUGGGGACCAAGAUAAAAAGUAUGUAAUGAUUGGGGACCAUCGGUGCAAUUAACUCUUGUCAAAAUGACCGUAAAUAUUUGGACAAGAAUGUCAUAUUGGCAGCUUGACUAUCAAGACCAAACUAAAAAAAGUUGAAAAAAAAAUUAUGAACCAAUUGUAAAUUUAAUUCGAAAGAUUAAUAAUCUAAUUGCAAGAAAUAAAAAAGUUGAGGACCAAGAUAAAGAGUAUGUAAUGAUUGGGGACCAUCGGUGCAAUUAACCCUUGUCAAAAUGAUCGUAAAUAUUUGGACAGGAAUGCCAUAUCGGCAGCUUGACUAUCAAGACCAAACUAAAAAAAUUUGAAAAAAAAUUAUAAACCAAUAGUAAAUUUAAUUCUAAAGAUUAAAAAUCUAAUUGCAAGAAAUAAAAUAGUUGGGGGCCAAGAUAAAAUGUAUGUAAUGAUUGGGGACCAUAUGUGCAAUUAACCCUUGUCAAAAUGAUCGCAAAUAUUUGGACAUGAAUGUCAUAUCGGCAGCUUGACUAUCAAGACCAAACUAAAAAAAUUUGAAAAAAAAAAUUAUGGACCAAUAGUAAAUUUAAUUCUAAAGAUUAAAAAUCUAGUUGCAAGAAAUAAAAAAGUUGGGGACCAAGAUAAAAAGUAUGUAAUGAUUGGGGACCAUCGGUGCAAUUAACUCUUGUCAAAAUGAUCGUAAAUAUUUGGACAGGAAUGUCAUAUCGGCAGCUUGACUAUCAAGACCAAACUAAAAAAAUUGGAAAAAAAAUUAUGGACCAAUAGGAAAUUUAAUUCUAAAUAUUAAAAAUCUAAUUGCAAGAAAAAAAAUAGUUGGGGACCAAGAUAAAAUGUAUGCAAUGAUUGGGGACCAUCUGUGCAAUUAACCCUUGUCAAAAUGAUCGCAAAUAUUUGGACAUGAAUGUCAUUUCGGCAGCUUGACUAUCAAGACCAAACUAAAAAAAUUUGAAAAAAAAAUUAUGGACCAAUAGUAAAUUUAAUUCUAAAGAUUAAAAAUCUAGUUGCAAGAAAUAAAAAAGUUGGGUAUCAAGAUAAAAAGUAUGUUAUGAUUGGGGACCAUCGGUGCAAUUAACCCUUGUCAAAAUGAUCGUAAAUAUUUGGACAGGAAUGUCAUAUCGGCAGCUUGACUAUCAAGACCAAACUAAAAAAGUUUGAAAAAAAAAUUAUGGACCAAUAGUAAAUUUAAUUCUAAAGAUUAAAAAUCUAGUUGCAAGAAAUAAAAAAGUUGGGGACCAAGAUAAAAAGUAUGUAAUGAUUGGGGACCAUUGGUGCAAUUAACCCUUGUCAAAAUGAUCACAAAUAUUUGGGCAGGAAUGUCAUAUUGGCAGCUUGUCUAUUAAGACCAAACUAAAAAAUUUUGGAAAAGUUUAUGGGCCAAUAGUAAAAUUAAUUCUGAAGAUUAAAAAUGUCACGCUUCGGAUUACAAUGUCUUUCCGGGCACGCCAACAGACCCGUCGUAUACAUAAAAUUUUUUUCUGUAUACGAAAUGAUAGCUGCACCUGUAAACAAAAUCAAGCUACAACCACAAGGUAAAGAGCUGCUAAACUGAAUAUAAACAUAUAUAUAAAAAGCUCGAGGGGUUCCUGUACAUACAAAAUGUCUACAAUCCACCUUGCUCCAGCAACUGCAACGACAACAUCGCAGUAUGUACAAAAAAGCCCAAAACUACCUCUGGAUAGGUGCUCCUCUAGUUGGCAAUCAGGGAAGGGAUGGCUCUAACUCGCGACUCUCUUGCCUUGGUCGAAAUCCACAACAGCAGCAGUCACGGACGAAGGCUCUGCAAAAACGGGUCAACAACUGAGUGUGAGAACUAUUAUAAAACAAGUAGUCCUCAGUGGGUAUCGCCACCGACCUCAAUGGCUUACCCACUAAGUCUACAGAAAUAUGUGUAAGGGAUAGUAAUGCAAAUUGGAAAGAACUGUACAGCUACAUGCUACUAUACUACCGCUAAUCACUACGAGCUAUCUGUAGAUAUAGAAAUACAUCCUCUGACCCAAUCUCACUAGGGACUGCGAUACGCCCAUCCCGCUUGUCGAAACUAUCCUGUACACCACCCCGAGGGUAGCCGGUGGAGAAAAUCUCUCUGGGGACUGCGGUACGUUCGUCCCGCCUGUCUAGGCUACACUGUACACCACCUUGAGAAUAGCCGGUGGAGAAAUCUCUCCAGGGACUGCGAUACGCCCGUCCCGCCUGUCUAGGCUACACCGUACACCACCUCGAGAAUAGCCGGUGGAGAAAACUCUCUAGGGACUGCGAUACGCCCGUCCCGCUUGUCUAGGCUACACCGUACACCACGUCGAGAGUAGCCGGUGGAGAAAACUCUCUAGGGACUGCAAUAUGCCCGUGCCGCCUGUCUAGGCUACACCGUACACCAUCUCGAGAGUAGCCGGUGGAGAAAACUCUCUAGGUACUGCGAUACGCCUGUCCCGCCUGUCUAGGCUAUACCAUACACCAUCUCGAGAGUAGUCUGUCUAAGUAACAGGUUCGACAGGACUGUUGCGACUUAACACACGUCACAACCUCACUGAGGGUAGAGAAUCACUAACUAUCACUGACCCAACCUUACACGGGCUGCCCAAACGGACCCACCCUGCUUGUAUCCAGCUCAAGAACCAUCCAAACAAAAACUGCGACCUCAUCGCAUGAAACCUCAUUCCGGAAUGGCAUUCGUGAGUGCGACCCAACUGAGUUUACAAGUGUCUCUGCCGAGUUCAACCAGGCUCUCACAAACUGUAAUCACUGUAACUGGGUCAAACUAAUCUAUCCACUAGAACUCACGUGCCUUGGUAUAAUCUGAUGCAAAAUACAGAAAUCCGGGUUCACCGUCAACCACGACGGCACCCAACAGUACGAAACAGUCUACACCCUACUGUAAAACAAACUCGGCAUCCCAGCACGAGCAUAAACUCAUCCUACCCUAAUCUGGGUAUCCACCGCAUACGAAUAGCGGCGAUACAAAAGAAUCACAGCUCCUAAAGCUAAAUCUGGUAAUUUUUCAGAAAAAAUGACAGUGAAGGAUUUAGAGUGUUUUCUCUUAAGUCAAUUCCAAGUCCAACAUGUAUACAAACACUAGUUUAACUCCAAAUUCAGAUUUUUUAGGCUCUAACAAACAAAUUCCAUGAAUUCGAGUACUAGCAAAGAAAUAAAACCAAUGAAACAUAUCGAUGAUGCUAGAACUUAGGAGGAAAUUCGACGAUUUCGGUAAACAUUAACCCACCUCGAAAAGCUUGUCCAACAACAACGAGAAAUCAAAAGGAGAGAAUCCACGCGCUCGCCUGGCCUCCAACGGCGCAACCACAAUGCCCACGCGCUCGAACGGCCCUUCGGAUCAACAUCAACAACCUCUCGGGCUCGAGCCGCGACCUCCACCACGAGCACGUCCAAAAACUAGAGAGAGAGUGGGAGCAGCAAACAAACCCUCUUCUCAGAGCUCUAUACAAAUACAUAGAGGCUGAGAAUAAGGUUGAGAUUAUCGACACUUCAAAAGACCAAACUAUCCCUUAUCUACUCAAAAAUUCAGCUGGUGUACCGAUACUCUAUUUGAAUACCGGUACUUAGGCCUUCAGCCCGCAGGUUUGCACACUAGGUACCGGUACCAGCCCGAUACAGUACCGGUACCUGAGCUCGAUACCGGUACUCAAAGACAGGUACCAGUACUCAGCAUCAGCCUCGCGCGAACCCAAGAGCAUCCUAUUUUGUAAUUCCACCGGGGUACUAGUACACCUCUUUGAUACCGGUACUCAACACUAAAAUCCUGCACUUUGCGGAUUUCAGUGUCAGAACUCCACCCUCGCUUCCCGUUGAGUUCGUUUUGCGUCCAUUCCGCGUCAAAACGACUCCGACUUGUCCCGACACUCUCCAGAUGUGUCGACAAGUAUCAGAUGCUAAAAUCUCACAAGCAUCCAAACACCAUGGACACUACAAAAAAAAUCUAAUUGCAAGAAAUAAAAAAGUUGGGGACUAAGAUAAAAGUAUGUAAUGGAUGGGGACCUUCGGUGCAAUUAACUCUUGUCAAAAUGAUCGCAAAUAUUUGAACAGAAAUAUGAUAUCGGCAGCUUGGUUAUCAAAAUUACCCUAUUUAUCCCCUAAGUUUUGCGCAAUAUUUUAAUUUAAUCACAUCCUUUUAAUUUUUACAAUGGCUUUCUAAAAUUUAUUAUUUGUUUCAAUCAAAUCCUUUCUGUCAAAAUAACUAUUAAUUUGAAUCAAAAUUGUCACUUCACUAUAUACCAAUUUUUAUUUAUCAUGUUGGUGCCAAAACCUUUCCACGCGGUGAUAUAAUCUCUGUUACUUUUUGACAAAAAGAUCUUGAUUGAGACAAGUGACUCAAUUAUAAAAAUUGGAAGAUUGAGAUCUGAGGGUGAAAAGAAAAAAAAAUCAAGUAAAAUUUAGGAUUCACUGAUGUAAUUGAUCCUAUAAUUAUUGACAUGGAUGAAUUAACCGAUUGAUCCCUGAAUAUUAGUUAUGCUUUAAUUUUGUCUCUAAAUUUGAUUUGUUGUAUCAGAGUUAUAAAAAAAAUCAAAUAAUUUUGCAUUUAGACCUUUGAUUAUCAAUUUUCAUUGUGUACAGAAAUUUAAUAUGGUUUGUAUAAAUUACUUUUUCGUAGUCCCUAAAUCCAUUAAAAAGAAGAAGAAGAAGAAAAUGGAGCAUUAUGUGUCCUUUUUCACAUGCAUGGUGUGGAAUACUUAGUUGACAUGUGACAUUUUUUUUUUUUUUUUUUGUUUCUUAAGAUGAAAAUCUACAGGUACUUUUAUUGAUCCGUAAAUAAAAAUGUACACGAAAAAAAAUAUAGGAAGGCAAAGUAGAUCGUUAACUAAAUACAUAUAGAAAAGUGUCCUAAAAAAUUAAAGAGAUAUGCAGAGACAAAUGCACGACUCUAUUAACCUCUAAAGAAAAUUCAAUGCAACUAUAACCAAUUAGCGCAAAUCAAAAAUUUAGAUGAGGGAGAAAGAGAAAGGGAAAGGCGGUAUGGUCAAUUAAACUUGGAUUAGAGCAAUUUGCUCAUUUUUCACCCUUGUAAUAUAGCAAAGAUUAAACCUCAAAGUAAAACAUAAAAAAUAGAUUGGGUACCAAUAGUGUGAAUUUAACUAAUUUUUUUUGCCUAAUGGAGCAGUUUAAUUUUGAUAAAUUCUUUAGUUAAACGGGAAAAAGUUAUUCAAAUCAAAUUUCAAAAAAAAAUUGCCAUAAUUUUGGUAAGGGCGGUUUCUAGAGUAAGACCGUUUCAUUUUCAUCAGCUGCUUUCUGUUAUGCAAAUAUCAUGAGUCUCAAUAUUGCGUGAAGAAAUGAAUAAAAAGGGGGGGUCAUAUUGGAUGAGUCCGACUACUGCUAUAUUUUUAUGAGUACGAUCACCUUUAUACUCAUAAGUCAUUUUUAAGAAUAAAGCUUUUGAAUCGACGAUCCAUACCGCUAAACAUUACUAGAGCAUUUAAAACUUUUAGAAAUCAAAUUUUAUAAUUUUUUUAUAUUAUUUUUCUUACGAUCAAAAGUUCUUAAAAUUGACAAUUUUUAAUGGCCGGUACGAAAUACUUGCUAGUUUAACGGCAUAAAAGAAUGAAAAUCGGUUGAAUUUUUGACAAAAAAAUUUAUUGACUAUUUAGAUAAAGAUCAAUAACUUUGAUUUUAAAUUAAAGUAUCCGAUCAUCAAUUUUUAGGAUGUCGUUCAAUUUUGACCAUUUAUUUUAUGCCCGCUAAAAUUUCGAAAAAUUACGAAAUUUAUUUUCUAAAAUUUUUAAAUAAUUUUGAUCAUAUUUAACAGUGUGGAUUAUCGAUUUGGAAGCUUCAUUAUUGAAAACAACUUAUGAGUAUGAAGGAUUUUUUUUUUCAUAAGAGUACAGUAGCCCCACUCCAUAUUGGAAAUCAUCUUCUCCGAAUUUUCUUUUUCAGAUUGCCUUGGGAGUAUUUACCUAUGCUCGGGAGGAAAUAGGUCUAUUCAUGUUCAACAAGUACCUUCUAUUUCAACUUUGUAUGAUCUCAAUUAUUUGAUGGCUCUUUUAUUACAAUAUCAUUUAUUUAAAUAUAACGCUCGUCUUAAUAAGAAUCUAGUUAUAUUAGUCACGUAAGGUACUGUAAUUAAGCCCGUUAAAAUAAACAAACAAUAUAUCCAACUUGCAAAGUGGUUGGAAAAUAAACAAUACUUCAAUUGAGCUGAAACAAGUUCUAAGCUUUUGCAAUGUUGGAGAACUAAAACGAGACUAUAGGCCGGAAAAAGUAGAAGCUCUAAUUUUGCGAUUCUGCUUAUACAUCAAUAGAAAGCUAGUGAGAAGACCUUUUUUUUUUUUUUUUUCAAAUUCAACUUUGAAUACUUUUUUGAACAAUUCUCCUUCAACAGCACUCCUGCAAAGCUCUAAUGGGGGCCAAACAAGUAUACAGACUGUUUCUAUCAAAUUCUACUCAGGUCACCGACCGUCCCUAGUGCAAGUGGUAAAGGGAUUGGUGGUUGGUACCCGAGACCCAAGUUCGAAUCCUAGUUGAUUCACAUUUCCAGCUAAGUUUAUUUUUAAAUGAAAUAAACGAAGCGGGUAGCGUGCUACCUAUCUGUCUCUCAAAAAAAAAAAAAAAAAAAUUUCUACUCAGGUCCAGGCAUACUUUGCUGCUCUCAUUAAACCACUGCCACAAACCCAGGAAUCCCUCUGUACAAAAAGAAAGCAACCAAACACCUGCUCCUGCAUAAGAUCCCACUAGACAAUAAUCCAAAUUCUAUGUGUGGUGUGGAAAAGCAAGAGGACAGUGUUAGUUGGCUUGUGUACUGCAGAAAAAGCCUAUUAUUGUGUGUUCCCACACCCUCUUUUGUCUCUCAUCUUUGGUGGGUCUCCCUUAAUAAUUGGAUUGGGGGUUAACCUACCUUUGCUGAUUCUGCAUUUCAUGUUGCACCAAACCCACCAAACAAUAGAGAUUAAUUUACUGUUCACCAGUUGAUCAUCAUUCACAACCACUAAUGCUUCAAUUGUUUAAUGCAGUGGAUGCUGCAAUGCUGAUCUACAUAUAUUCCCUAGAAAAUGCUUAGUUUUCAUCUUAAAGUAUAUAUCCCUUCAGCAAUUGAGUGACAUUAAAAUGGCUUUUUAAGAUCAUAUUGUUUCCCAUCUAAAUAACCAUUUGCUCUUAAAUAUUCCCAAACCUCUUUUAUGAGAUCAAUAAUUCGAAUUUGUGGAAAAUGGUAGUCCUAUCCUAGCAGAAGUAUUUUAUCCGACCGAAUUCCAGUAUGAUUUUCUUAUUUCAUUCUAUCCGAUCCAUAUCAUACGGACCCUUUAAGGUGCUAAAAACCCAUUUGAAACCCAAGAGAGAAAACAAAAUAAAACUAUCAAAAGCCCAUUUCUCUUCAAGAUGAAGAGCUUACAAUCUUGGAGGUGGUUAUUCAAUAAUCUCAUCCUUGUUGUGGGAUUAUUUUACUUAACUAGAUUCCUCUCACAACUAGGGUGGGCAAUCCAGCUCCUUGUUCACGUUCGACUCGAAAUGAGCUCGAAAUCGGUCGAACCAAACACGAGUUAAAUUUUGUAGCUUGAAAUCUUAACGAGCUGAACAAGAGUUGGUGUCAGUUUGCUAGUGUUCGGCUCGAUAUUUCUCGAAAUCGAUCGAGCCGAACAUGAGUUAAAUUUUUCAACUUGAAAUCUUAAACAAACCGAACAAGAGCUGGAGUCACUUCGCUCGUGUUCGGCUCAAUAUAGCUCGUGUGUGUGUGUGUGUGUGUGUGUGUGUGUAAAGAGAGAGAGAGAGAGAGAGAGAGAGAGUUCGGCUAUUAUACUCUUAUGAAUACGAUCACCUUCGUACUUAUAAAUUAUUUUCGAUGAUAGAGCUUCCGAAUCCACGAUCCAUAUCAUUGAGCAAUAUCUAGAGCAUUUAAAACUUUUAGAAAUUAAAUUUCAUAAUUUUUUGACAUCAUUUAUUUUACGAUCAAAAGAUUUCAAAAUUGACAAUUUUUAAUGAUUGGUAUGAGAUACUUGCUAGUUUAACUGUGUAAAAAAAUCGAAAUUGAUUUAAUUUUUGAUAGAAAAUUCCAUUCACUAUUUAGAAAAAGAUUAAUAACUCCGAUCUUAAAUUGAAGGAUUCGAUCAUCCAUUUUUAGGACGUCGUUCAAUUUUGACCGUUUAUUUUAUGCUUGCUUGAUGGACUUUAUUAUGAUUUCGAAAAAUUACGAAAUUUAUUUUUUAGAAGUUUCAAAUACUCUAGAUCAUAUUUAAUGGUGUGGAUCGUCGAUUUGAAAGUUCUAUCAUAAAAAAUAACUUAUGAGUACGAAAGGCUCUAUAUUUAUAAGAGUAUAGGAGCCCUACCCCCCCGCUCUCUCUCUCUCUCUCUCUCUCUCUCUCUCUCUCUCUCUCUCUCUCUCUCUAUAUAUAUAUAGAGUGAGGCUACUAUGCUAUCGGAAGCACGGAGCCUUCUGUGCUUCCACCUCGUUUUCGAUGUUGCGACUUUCAAAUCGUCGAUCGGCUCCAUUAAACUUGAUCUAGAGUAUUUGAAGUACCUAGAAAAUAAAUUUUAUGAUUUUACGAUAUCAUUUGCCUAGUGAACGAAGGGGCUCAAAAUCAACGGCUGAAAAUAAAAAUCUUACAAAAUGUGAUAAUAUGACAUUAAAAUUUUAAAUCAAAAAUAUUGAUCUUAUUUUAUAUAGUAUGAAGAAUUUUCUAUCAAAAUUUUAUGUGAUUUGGAUAUUUCUACACCGUUAAACUUGCAAACGGCUCACUACGGCCAUUGAAAUUUGUUGAUUUGUGAGCCAUUCCAUUAUAGGCAAAUGACUAUCGAACAAAUCAUAAAACUUGAUUUCUAGGUUAGCUCCAAAAUACUCCUAGAUCUAGUUUAACCGGAACCGAUCGACGAUUCGAAAGUCGCCACAGCGAAACACGACGGUGGAAGGCACGGAAGGCGUCUGCUUCGAUAGCAUGAUAGCGCCUCACCUAUAUACUAUAUAUAAUAUACUGAUAUAGCUUAUAUGAUAGUAUAUAGGCCGAUGGCUAUUAUACUAAUUCUGAGUAUUGGAACCCAUCGUACGUCAUAUAAGUUGUUUCCAUGAUGGAGCUUCCGAAUCGACGAUUUCACUCAUUAAAUAUGAUCUCAGACGUAUUUGAUACCUUCAGAAAAUAAAUUUCGUAUUUUCGAAAUAUAAUAGAUCCUAUCAAGUGGCGUAUAAAAUGAACUGGUCAAAUCGAUACCGUCCUAAAAGAGGACUGAUUCGAUUCCUUCAAUUCAAGAUCGUGAGUUAUUGAUCUAUCUAUAGUAUGAAUAGAAUUUUUCUAUCAAAAUUCAACAAAUUUCGAAUUCUUUUUUUACACGUUAAACUUAGCAAGUAAGUCUCAUAUCGCCGGUUAAAAAUUGUCAAAUUUGUGACCUCUUGAUCUGUAAGAUAGAAUGAUGUCGAAAAAUUAUAAAAUUGAUUUCUAAAAGUUUUAAAUGCUUAAAUAACGUUUAACAGGUGAGAUCGUCAAUUCGGAAGCUCUAUCAUCAGAAACAACAAUUAUGAGUACGAGGGCGAGUCGUACUCAUAAUAGUAUAGUAGCCGGACCUCUAUAUAUAUAUAUAUAUAUAUAUAUAUAUAUAUAUAUAUAUAUAUAUAUAUAUAUAUAUAUAUACUACUUAGAAUUUAAGCCAACUUAAAUAAUUAAGAUUCCAAUUUUCUAAUUUUUUUUUCAACUAUUCACCCAAUAGUAGGCUGACAAUCUACCUUGCUAUUGAUGAGCCAGCUCGUGUUCGGCUUGUUAAUAAAUAAGCCGAGCACGAGCUGAAUUUUUCAACUCGAUAUUUUAACAAGUCAAUUCGUAUUUGGCUCGUUUAAUAAAUAAACGAAUACAAGCCAUUCCCAGCUCGCUCUCGUCUGGUUCGUUGACAGCACUACUCACAACCCUCUCCACCUCUAAGUUUCUAAAAUCCCCUCAUCCCCAAAAAUUACUUGGUCGUCUUUUUCUACACAAUCCAAUUCUCAUUCGCCGAAAUAGGCCUUAAACAGCCCAACCAUGUGCAAUUUGAACAUAUCAUGAGAAAAUAAAAGUUACUGCUCAAUGGAAUAGUAAGGCAAGAGAUCCUGUGCAAUAAUCAAAGUUCUAAGAAAUUGAUUAUUAAUUGAAUGAUGGUGAAAGGUCAAAAUGUAUGCCUUACAGGACUACAUUUCAAAACAAAACUUUGUAAAUAGAAAGAUGGCAGUUAUUCUAGCAAUGCAUUGAAAUGAAUUCUUGGUAGAGUUUUUACUCUUUCACCCUCAAAUACCAAAAUUGGUGAUAAAAAAACAAAACAAAUAACAAGCAACAAAUCUUUUAGUCCUAAACAUUUGAGAAAUCUUUUAGUCCUAAACAUUUGAGACAAACUACAGUGAUCAUACUGGAAAAAUCAUAACAUAGCAGCAAAACCAAAUCAAACUUCAAAAUGAACUUACAAGAAUUAACACUGCUGAAAAUUCACAAAACACUUCACAACAACAAUCAAACCAUCCAUUAAUCAGAGGUCGGAGAGUCUGUCUCUAGCAUCGCAACCGAAAUAAACUUGGGAUUUAAGAACUUUGCAUUAUUCCCUCAACAAUAAAAGCAGAAAUAAUAACAGAAACUAGAAGUCUUAUUUGUCUCCAACAUAUAUUAUGCUUCACCAUUCAGCUCUAUCUAACAACAUUCUACCAAUUUGAAGUGUUAUCCAAGUCUUCUUUUACUUGUAAAAAGAUCGUAAACCCAAAUUUUGUCCUGCUCUUUUUCUUUGGCACUUCCGCAAUCACCCUACAUUAGAUCACUCUUAUGUUCUUGCACAGAAGAGCAGAAAUAAUUAUAUCCAACAGUUGGUAAAUCUUUGAAGAUCAAAUUGUUUAGGUGUCUCCUUGAUAUAAAUAAACUGAGAAGGGAUAACAAGACAUCAACUCGAAAAAUGCCAAAACUGAAGACCAGCAAUUUUACUGAAGAACCAUAACAAAGAACUCAACUAUAGCUAAAGAUUCAUGAAGCACAUUCAUAUUACAGUUCCAUACUUCUCAUGCCAUUUGUUAUUGAAAUUUUAACUAAAUUCGCACAUCAAACGAAAUAAUUGAGUUAUGUAGUGUUUCUACUCCCUUUAAUUUUGACUCUCCCCAUCAGAUACUCGUCUCAUUUUAUCCGCUCUUACUUGUUCAUAGGUAGGAAGCAAGUUUAAGAUCAUUGAGAAUCAGUCUUAAUCUUAAUACUGCAGCCAGCAGAUACAGGUGUUCUUUUUUUGGCAAUUGGCUACACAAACAGCACCUAAGAACACGACUUAGAACAGUAGGACAACUAAUAAGAAGGUCCUCCCUUAUAUGUUUCAACCUCAUGCACCUAGUUAAGAUAAAGAAGUUUGCGUCCAACCAGAAUACGUCAGAAUUUUAAAUAUUCAUAAUUCCAUUGUUGGCCUCGUAGUUUAAAUGGUUAUCAUGAUUUCAUCAACUCAAAUCAGUUCAACAUAAAUGGCCAGUUUCAACGAUGAAAAAUGAGAAAAAUGUUGAAUGCCCAAUUGGCACUCGCCAGCAAUGUCUCUUAAGAAGCUAAUCGAAGCUCGACGUCACUGGCCACUGCUGACAGCUCAUGUUAGACAGACAACAAUGAAGAAUAUAUACCUUUAUAAUGACUCUCAAUGAGUCUCAAGACCAGAAGCAGCUAUACAAACCAAUAUAAUUCUAGCUAUUACCUGCAUAACACAUAUUUGAAUAAUCUUUACACUAUCAUGGCGGCAACAGUCUAAAAGCAGAUAGUAGUUAAAAGGUAAGGGGAGGGGAGAUCAUCAAGUCAAAAUUUCAGAAAGUAUAUAGCAGAGAUACCAAGGGUGAAGCAAUAUUUUAACUCAUUUACUUACUUUGCCUCUGAAGUGUCGGAUUAUAUACUCUACACAGAAGUAGAUGUAGACAAAAUUCAAAAAGGUUCUUUCAAUUCUUGAGCUAUUCGAAAGAAAAUGCUCUACCAUUAUGGACCUCAAAAGCACUGAAUUCAUUAUUUUAUACUCGUAGGUUGAAGAGUAAGAUUUUCUUUUUCCUUUUUGGGAAAUCUUGCUAUGCAUUUUGAUAUUGAAGUGAAGUCAACCAUCUAAAAAUUGAACCUACUAACUACAGAAGCUUCUGAAAAGAGUCUGAACUUUUUGUUGUGGCAGGAACCUCGAAAGAUCUUUCAGGGCCAAAAACAGAAGACGCUCCAAUUUAAAGCUAGUUGAAUUUGUUGGGAGGAUUUUAAGAAACAAGCUUAUGAUGCAGAGAGCUAUGUUUGGUUAUGCAAUAUAACAAUUAAUUCUAUUUAUAUAUACACAAGAUAUUUAUUAAAGAUCUUGGCCAAAGAAUACAGUAUCAAAGAUCAAAGAGUCGUCAAAAUGCACUCCAAGUCAUUUAAAGGACAAUAUACUAGCAUGUUGAAGUACGUAGUUUUAACAAAAUCAUAAGAACAAAAAACACGCCAGAUGAAUUAGAGGAAUCGAAGUGCAACACCAUAAAAUGUUCAGAAGAAACAUAAACUUUCACAGAAUAGAAAUACCAUUACAAAAUUUUGACAGAGUUAAAAAAAAUUAACAAAGCUAACUAAAAUACAAAGAAUGUAACAUGCGUAUGCUAAGAAUGCGUCAUGUGUACAAAAUUUCAAUCUUUGUAAGAAAAUAGUCAUUUCUAAAUUUCACUCCAAGGGAGAUGUCACCGGUAGUACAAAUUAGGCGUAGCCGGUAUCACUUUUUUAAGAAACAGGCAAUCAGUCAAAACUUUUAUUUAAAGAAGAAAAGAGGAGAAAGAAGAAGAACAGGAGACAAUAGUACGCACUGCAAAUAAUAAAAAAUUCAAAGUUGCAAAAAGCUGAGGCAAUAGAUAUUCUCAAGAGGCCCCAAAUCCAACAAACUAAUUGUUACAAAUAAAGGAAGAUUCUAGUUGAGCUUUUUCUUUUGGGUGGAAGAAAAACCAAGAGGAAAAAGAAUCAUAAAAGUCAAUGACUCAAGGAACAAAGAAGCUAAUUUUGAGGGUCAAAACUGUAAUCCUACAAAAAUGUUAUCUUUUGAGUCUCUGGUACAGGAUUAUCUGUUUCCGAAUUUGCCUAUGGGUUCAUAAAAACACAAGCUGCGAGAAAGAACCAACUCUUUGUUCUCAUAAUCAAGGGUUGAAUUUUCUGGUAGUUCCUGCCUACACAGCUAAACACAAGCUUGCAAAAAAAACAUAAAGUUUGGAUAUUUGCUCCAAAUAUCACGAUCAUAGAAUCAAGCAGUACUAUUUACGCAUACCCAAUUAUAGACAAUUGAACAAUAUCCACAAGAUGUAUCUUAUUCACAAAGAAAUCAUCAGUCACCAGUACACCUUUACAAAUAACACGAAAGCAAGAACGUGCAACAGGUCGAGACCAGAACUUACAGUUAAGCUGCUAUCUACAGGAACAGAUGGAUUCAGAACACAACAGAUGGAUUCAGAACACACAGAAGUUUUCAUCACACCAAGUCAUAUUCAUCUGAAUUGAAUUUUCAACACUUGUCUUGGCUACCAGUUCUCCUUCGUGAUCUUCGACUUCUCAAAUAUGAACUUCCCUUCCUUGUACUUCUGGGUCUCCUCGUAAGCCCUUUCAUACUUCCAUCCCAACACCUCGCGGCAAUCGCCGCAAUAUAUAUCGGCGACGGUGUGCAGUCCCGUCAUGAGCUGCCUAUCUUCCUUUGGGCCGACAACUAUGUUCAUCGCAUGUGAAAAUAGAAAGGCACGACCAUGUCUCCCCUACGCCAAAUCAAAAAAAAAAAAAAAAAGGUGCUAUUAUUGAGAGAGUGUUAUUCAUCAAGACAAGGAGCAAGCACUACGAUGCACCCAAGAUGUCCUUUGCUAACAACCAAUUGAAUCUACUUCAUCAGAAUAGGUUCGCCUUUUGUUCUUGUUUGGCCCGGCUACAGGAUAGCUUCUCUAGUAGCUUUCAAAUCUACUCUACUUGGGAAAAACAUAAGAGAUUUUAGAUGACAGGGCUAUUAGUGCUUCCUCGAAUAGCUCUACUCAAACAACAGUUUUGCUGAUACUCCAGCAAGGCCAAACAAGGCCAUACAAAGUACAAACCCAAGUUCAUAUAUACAACGGAAUUUUUACAAAAAUAAAGUUUCAUCGACAGGAUUGAUAAAUUCAGCUUCCAGUUUCCUCUUGAUAUUACUCGAGAAAUAAAAAUUGCAGAUAAACUUAAACUGAAAACAGAACAACUACAAUAUUAGUACCCAAAAUUGGGAAAGCUCUACAAAGUGCUUCACCUGAAAUGCUUUGGAUAUGAUAUCGUCGUGAAGACAGACAUGGUUUCUGCAGUUGUAGCAGCUGUAAAUACGAGGCCCGACGACUUCAGCCAUCAACUCGCCGAAAAUUCCUAAUCCUUACUUGCCCUAAUUAGCAAAAACAAAAAAAAAAAAACAGACACACANAAAAAAAAAAAAAAAAAACACACACACACACACACAAAAUUAAUAAAGAAACCCACCAUAUUACAAAUAAAAGAUCAAAGCAAAAACCCCCAAAUCACAAAACCACAAACCCUUAAGAUCAAACCAAAAAAAAAAAAAAACCCUACUAAAGAAACUCAAAAUAGAAAGGAAUAGAUUAAAAGUCCAUUACAAAUAAUGAAAAAAGUAAAAGGCACUUCUUUUGCCUCCCCCUCCUCCUACACACAACCUUUGAUCCUGGUAACAAAAACUUGUCUCAAAAUAGAGGUUAGAAAUGAUUGAAAUGAAGAAGAAUUAGGCCAUGAAAAAAAUAAUAAAAUAAUUGGAGAAGCAAAGAUUGGGUAAACAAGCAAGAAAAUAAUGAGAAAAAAGAAAACCUGAGGGUGAAAGCGACCGAGGGGUUUGGUAGGAUAGGAUAAUCAAAGACACGAAUUCAGGAAAAAUUUGAUUUUGAUUUCAAACUUGUCAAUGUUUAAAUGGAAAGACCCAAAUUUAGGGCAAAUUUGGAAUCAAAAUCAAAUUUUGAACAAUCCCCAACACAUUUUUUUGGCUCAAUAUUUGGAUGGAAAGGAUGAUCAUUGAGCCAAAGAGGAGGAUGAAGUACUAGUGCUGGGAAUAUCUCUGAUUCCUUGCUUAAACACCACCAUUAAUGGGGAAAAAAAUAAAAUAAAAUAAAACAAUAAGUGGGUAAUUUAAAAAGAGGGGAAUUUUAUAAUAAUUACUUUUCUUUACCUUUUUUUUUAUUUCAUAAAGCAAGGCCUUGGAAUAUUUUUUCCUGGAGAUAUAAUAGAAGAGUAAGGGCUCAGUUGUCUCAAAGAGGAAGAGGAGUGAGGGCUUUGUAGGGCUUUAUUUCUUAUUUCUUAUCAAUUUUCUUAGCAUUUUUUUCUUUUUUAUUUAUUUAUUUAUUUAUUUAUAUUUUAGGAGCUUUUAUAUUUUAGUGACUGUAAGAUGACUAGAGUACAAGCCAAACACAAACAAACCUGUUUGGACAUCAACAUAAAUUAUUGGGUUCAUUUUAUAAGAAGUCCCACCACCAACCAAAAAGUACUUAGAAACUGUUACAACGAACGUAUAAAUAGAAAUAAAAAAUAAUAAUUAUAAAAUAGAUAAUCAUAAAACACUAAAAAAUAGAACAUAAAAAUUUACAUGAAAAGUAAUUUACAGAAAAAAAAAUCACGGGUAAAAAAGAAAUGGUGCAAAAUUUAUAUAUCAACUAGUGCAAUUUUUAUUAAAACAGUACAAAUUUAUUUUAAAACGGUGUAAUCUUAUUUUAAGAAUACAAUUUCAUCAUCUUAUUUCUUCUUAUAUAAUUUUUUAUCUUUAUUUUUUUCUUUUUUCUCUUCUAUAAUUUUUUUUUGUUACGCCUCUCCACCAACGGCCACGGCGCCGGCGACGACGCCACUAAAGACCCUCCGCUCCAAGGCUGCGGCACCGCAGCGACCUCCGCGGCGCCAAUGUCGGCGGAGAGACGUCGUCGUUGGAGGCGGCGGAGGAGACGAAGGAGGAGAGAGAGGGAAAGGGUGAGAAGGGCGAGAGAGGGUGAGAUAGGCGUCGUCGUCGGAGGCGGUGGAGGAGGGUCGGAGAGAAAGAAAAAAAGAACGAGAGAGAAAAAAAUAGGAGAGAGAAAAAGAUAUAAGGGUAUUUUGGUCAAUUUGCUGAAAAAUAGGACCGAAUCUGCAAAAGCGAAAAAGGUGACCGACUUUUGUAAAAGCCCAAAACUAGUGAAUUUUUUAUGCAAAUUGGCCAUAUAGUAUUGAUAUUAACAACAUUAAAAAAGCAUAUGUGGUACCAACCGUCCCUAGAGCAAGUGGCAAAAGACUUAAUGGUUGGUACCUGAGACCCGAGUUCGAAUCCUAGUUGAUUCAUAUUUUCAGCUAAAUUUAUUUCUAAAUAAAAUAAACGAAGCGGGUAGCGUGCUACCGCCUACCUAUCUCUCUCCAAAAAAUAUAUAUAAUCUCUAAUUUAAUUAAUUAAAAUAACUAAAAUCGAAAAAAAUGAAAAGUGUAGUCCAAGUGUAGUCCAAUUUAAACUUGCCCCUAAGUUAUGUAUAUUCACCAACUCGACCAGCGGAGGGACGGCUUUUAUAGCAUGGGGCCCCUUCGACAGCAGCAAGUCAAUUCAACUUGCCAAAGUUAGAAAUGUAAAAGUUUGAAUGUGCCACAAUGUAUACCAUUGAUUCGAGUGUUAUACCAUCAAAAAUAAGAUAACAGUAAAAGUAUCUUUUGUUUCUAAAGGUACUCCAUCUUGAUUCAAACUACAAAGAGUUACCUCUACCUAAUUAUCUUGCUUAUGUUUGGUAAUUCGUGAUGUUACUAAAGAGUGAUUUUUUGUGUUGGCCAAUAAACUUAUGAUUCCAAGUAUUAUUUACUAAUGAAACUUAACCAUAUCUAAUGAAUUUGAUUUUACCUUUUUUCCACAGAAACCAACCGUUUCCAGCACAAUUAGCAAAGAAUUUGACGAUUGGUAUCCGAAAUCUUAAGUUCGAAAUUUGUUUGCUCUACAGUUUUAACUAAAUUUAUACUUUUAAAAAAUAAAUAAAACAGAUAACAUGCUAUUUUUCUCUCUAAACGAAUAUACUUUUAGUGGUAUAAAAAUUCACGUAUCGUAUCCGAAUCUCUCUCUCUUAAAUAUUUUUAUGCUGUAUCAUUUUUCAUUAAUGAAAUAUCACAUUAGCAUGGAUAAAUUUUCCAGGUACAAUUAUAUAAUUGUCAUAAUUACCCUUUGUUAUCUUGUUCAGAUGAAACUGUGCCAAAUAUUUCCAAGGGUCAACAUAAACAAAAAUAAUGAUAUCUUAGUCACAAAUUCAUGGUAAUUCACUUGGUUCAUUGACAAAGAUAGAUGCAAUCAUAUGAUAUGAUGCUUAUAAAUAGUGUGACCAUCUCUCACACUUAUCCAUAUUGGCCCCAUGCAGGAUAAUUCUUCUGUUUACGAAAAUGCGAAGCGGCAUGUCGCAGUAAAAUAUUCAAUAAUAAUUUAUCCAGUAAUACAAAAAUUAUUUAUAUGAUUGAAAAUUAGAAAUUUGAUUUAUACUUCUUAAAAAAUCUCGAGAUCCACAAUUUACAACGAUGGUUAGAAUAGUAGUUCCCAAAUUAUUUUUGCCACAAAAGGAUUUAAGGGAAAAAAAGUGUUACCAAACUUACCCUGUGAACUACUAUUGUUGUGAAAAACUGAAAAUAGGGUAGUUCAAUUACCCCUUUUUUUGGGUAAACUUCAAAUACCACCCUGUGGUUGCGCACUUUCUCAUUUUAGUAUCACGUGGUUUCAUUUUUUUUUCUUGUCGUCAGAUUUUUUUUUCGUUAAAUCAUUGACAAAGUUAAAACUAAAAAAUAUUAAAGUGAAUAUUCCAUGAAUCUAUGUGGGGUAUCUGAAGUUUUUUGUAUAUAAUUUAACUAAAGGAAAAUGAAAUCAAAGGGUACUAAAUUGAUAAACUUUAAACAACAGGGCAUUAAAGUGAGAAAUUGUCAAAGUUUUUUUUUUUUUUUUUUUUUUUUUUUCAAUAGUUCCUGAGGAUGUGCACUACAAUUUGGAGAAUAAAUUUUAGAAGGAAUAUUUCUCUGUCCCCACUACCGCAGAAAAUAAACUCAGGAGGAAAGUUAAUUGGGUUUGCAUUUUACAUCAGAGGAAAUGGCAUAAGAAUAUGUAGGGGACAAACUUUGGUGAAGAGAGAAAGUGCAUGAAAUACUACGACCACAAGCAAUUAUUGAGACCAAAAGCAAUUAUUGAGCGGUCGUAGGUUUUUUUUUCAAGGUCAGAGAUUUGAUACUCUGUUUGUAAUUUCACAAGUUAAGCUUAAAAAUCGUGUAUACUAAUUAUUAGAGGGAUAUAAUUAUAGAUAAAGAAAUGGUAUUGUAAGGUACUGGACUUCUAAAAUUAUGAAGUUACGGUGUGCAUUUGAUUGGAAAGCCAUUUGAAUCGUCCCGGCAAAGUUUGGUGAAGUUCGGAAGCCUUCAGGCGUUUCGGCGCGCGUAGGAGUGGAAACGAAAUCCGAAAGGCUAUAUUGGGCCGUGAGCUAAAAUCGGCAUUAGCGUAGAUGAAAAGAUGAUGAAAAUACGCUCGAAAAUAUGUUUGAAGAGUCUCGGUUCGAUUUGAAAUGAAUCGGAGGUCAAACGAGUGAAAACGGAGCGAAAACGGAUGAAGCUGAAAUUUGACUAAGUCUGGGCUGGAGGUCCCUCUGGGACCGGUCCCUGGCAGUGAGGGACCGGUCCCCGAACGCGAAAAUGCCCAUUUUGGACUGUUUGAGAGGCUAAGAGUUGUGGGGGCUUAUUGCACUUGUUACAUGAGUUGGAGACAAAGAGAGGAGAUGGCUCUCUUCCUUUCUCAUUUCCCCUCAACCGUAGCCCUCUCUCUCUCUAAAACUCUCUCUUUCUCUCUCUAAGAAGUGGAGCAAGGAAGGAGAAGGUGGAGGAGAAGGCUUGAAGAAGGAGUUCUACUUCUUCUUCUUCCUCUUUUGGCCAUUGGAGAGCAAGCUUUGAAGGUAAGCUUUAAGAGCUUUAAUAGCAUAUUUCUGUAGAUUCGGUUUUAAACUCUAAGAAUGGAUUUAGUAGCUUUCCUAAGUGCUAAUUAGAUGGAUUAUGCUUGAAUCCAAAGCUCAAAUGGUGGAUUCUUGCCUAGUUGUAAACCUAGGGCUUGAAAUGGAUUUCUUGGUAGAUCAUGGGUUUUGAUCUCUAGAAAUGGUAUUUUUGGAAUUCUAGGAUGCUAAUAAGAUAACUAGUACCUAAAUCUUGAAUUGAUUUGGAGUAUUUAGCAUCAAUGGCAUCUAGGGCUUCAAAAAUGGGGUUUUUGUAAAUAGUUGGGUUUGAUCUCUAUUAACCCUCUGUAAACCUAAUUGCUAGGUCUCCGAACGCGUUUGUACACUUGGUUUGAGCAUUCGUCGAGUCUACGUGAAGAUAUUGAAGAAACGAACCUUCCGGCAUUCGUUUCCGCUUGGAGGGCCGAGGCGGCGUCCAUAAAUUGUGGGAUCGGAUUCCGAGUGUCGAAACCGAAGACCUAUAAUUUCUGGAUCGCAGAUCGGAGAUCGUUCGGUGGUCGCGCGUGAAUUGGGUCGAGCCGAGCGGCGUGCGCCGCGGGAGGCCGAUUGCGAGUGACGACGAGCAAUCGGAACGCGAUAAAAGGUGGGGGGUGUUCAUCUCGAAGCAACCGAGCUUCUUCCUAUGUCUUAGUGCUUUAUCGAUUUGCAUAUAGCAUAUUGUAUAUUGUUAUGCAUUAUAGGGUGAUGAUACAUGCAUUCCUUCUCCUUGUAUGAUGUCUAUAAUUAAUAUAGUUUUAUGAUAUAGAUACUUGAUGUAAUGGACAUAAGGAUUAGGAGAUGACAUUAGUGGUGUUAAAUGAAAGAGGAACCUAGUAUUGUAUCUAAAGACAUAGUUUACUAGUGGCAUUGGACUUAGUGUGAUAGAAACACAUAUAACUUGAACUUAGUAUUGGAUUGGUUAUUGUACUAGAAACUCUAGUUAACGUUGAUCAAGUUGCAUAUUAGGAUAUUGCAUUAUAGGGUGCUAGAUGGCAAUUGUUAUAUGUCAUGGCAUGCUAGUGAUAGUGUAGUGUUGAUUGUUUAAUACUUGUACCUAGUAUGCAUGAGAUUGGGACAUAGUGUUGUGAAACCCUAUAAUGGCAUGAUUCAUGUGGAUUAAACUCUAGUUGAGUGAUCACCUAGUGAAUAUGUGCAAGUAGUGUAUCGAGAACAUUAAAAUAUGACGAGUGGCAUCUAGUUAAUGUUAACCCAUGACGAGUGGCACAUGAGAAUUGAGUUUAGUUGACACUACGGCAUCGAACAUAGGGAUAGGUGAAUUCCCCAGUUGCGAUUUGGGUAGAGAACCUAAAGUGUGAUAUUGUUAACCCUAGAUGAUAGGGUGUUCCUAGUUGAUGAUACUAUCCUUAGUUGAUAGGAUGUUCCCAGUUUAUGAGGAUUUGGAUCGAACUCACAUAGCUUGUCUGCGCCUGGUGUGGUAACUCCACACAGGUAGUGCACUCCGGAGUUGUCAUCCGAUGAGGGCUAAGAUAUUUGCCCUUGGACUAAAGUAUCUGUCCGUAUGCGGUCUCGGGGGUAGUUGAGCAGUAGGACUCCUCCUCUAUGAGACUUACACGCGUGAGAUUGUGAGAGAGCCUCGAGUUCGCCGAGAGAUUGGGUAAUCUGAUGAGUUACAUUGUUAUUGUGUAUAGUCGCUUGGUAGUUAGCCUGGUGGAUUUGCCUUCAUACCGUGAGUGAACAUACUAUUCCUUUACCUAUGAGAUUUGAGCGGGACAGCCUUGCACCUAGUAGAGCGAGAUUGAGUCGGGCGAGGAGCGGGGUAGCUCUUUGCCUAGGACCUUCGAGAUUGAGUCGGACCUUCGAGAUGUGAGUCGGGCCAGGAGCGGGGUAGCUCUUUGCCUAGGACCUUUGAGAUAUGAGUUAGGCGAGAAAAGAGCGGGGUAGCUCUUCACCUACUGGAUUUGAGAUCUUAGGCAAGUUGGCCUAGUCGAUUGGGUAGUAACAUGAAUAGCAUAAGUGGAUUACAUUCAUACCAUGAUUAGACAUAGUAGACUGCAUAACUAUGUUGUAGUUGUAUUCAUUACACUGUUGAAGCAUACUAGCAUGAUAAUUGGUUAUUGCUAGAUGAUGUUCCAUGCAUUCUUUGAAUUUGAUGGCAUAGUAGAUAUAGUAGCAGUUUAUUUCUAUCUACCUUUUUAUCUAUCUAUCUGUGCCAGCUUAGACCUAGUGGGAAGAUCGGCGGAGUCGGCGGCCGAACCCACUGGAAACUAUAUUUAUAUAGUUCUCACCCCGUGUAAUUUUGGGGUACAGGUACACACGAGAGCGGACCAGCAGAUGAUCGCGGUAAGGGCUUAGCGCCCUAGUUGCAUUAGUCUACUUUCCUAUUUCUGCAUUAGAGUCACCUUUUAUGCUUUGAGAGUAGAUGAUGUAUAGGUUGUGAGGUAUUUUGGAAGAUUGUAAACUCAAAGUUUAUGUUUUGGAUGGAUGUAAAGUUAAUCAAAUGUUCUACGUUGAAUGGAUGUAAUAGCUUAGUAUCUUUCUCUCUCUUUUGUUUCACUUGUAUGUUUAUUACUCGUGACACUUGCUCUUGUAAUGUUCAGUACUGGUUGUGCUCUUGCUAUUGUUGUAUGAUCGUGUAUGUAUUCAAGAUGAUUUUCUGAAGAUUUGUUGUAUAUGAUCUCGUCGCUUUAGCCUGGGGCAGACAGGAAAGGUGCUGUCCAUCCGGCGUCUGUCCGACGUGCCCAAACCGGACCCAAAUGGGUAGCGGUAGUUCGGGGCGUGACAGGUAUUGUUUCCAAGAAUUGACCAAAAUAAUUUAUGAUUUAUGCUUUGUUUAUGAUUUAUGCUUCGGUAAAUUGCACUAUUAGCCAUUAAGAAUUGCUUGAAAUGUUGUUGGUGAUAGCACGCAUUGUAGGUAGAUUGCACGCGAAACAAGACUAAGCGUUCAUUUGGAAUGGUAGGUAGAUAUGUAGCGGGUGUAAAUUUUAAAUUUAUAAUUAUUAUAUUAUAGGUUAUGUAAAAUCACUUAAUAAAAUCAAAUAUAAGUACUAAUAUAUAUAUAAUAUAUAGUUAUAGUAUAUAUAUAUAGUAUAUAUAUAUAUAGUAAUAUAUAUUAUAUAUAUAUCUUAUUUGGAAAGAGAAGAAAAGAGAAUAUUAAAUAAAAAUUAAAGGCAGAAGAGUGAGCACAUCAAACUUUAAAUAUAAUAUAUUUACUCAUAAUAUAAAAAAGUAAAAAGUAAGCAUUUUAAAAAUUAUAUAAUUAUUAAAUUCAAAUUUAAUUUUUUUAAAAAAUAAGACGUGUCUUUUCCUUUGAGAAAGACAGAAAUAAGAGUAUUAAAUUAAAAAUUAAACUGUGAAAGAGAGAGAGAGGGAGAGAGUCCGUAAGAGAGGGAGAGGAGAGAGAAAAUAUAUAAAUAUUAAAUUAAAUAAAAAUUAAAGUAAGAGAGCACAUACACCGUGAGAGAAAAAAAAAAUAUAAGGAAAAAACAUGUCACAUUGAGAGAAUACUUCCUGGAUAGAUCAAAUCAAAAUAGAAUAGGUUCAUGAUCUACACUGCACCGGAUGCACCCAAUAUUUUUAUUGCCCAGUCAUAGUGCAUUGAAUGCAAUUUACAAAUAUUAUACGUGAUACUCCUUAAAAAUUAAUUAUAAACAAUUCAAAAAUUAGGAUUUAAUUUAUUGAGUAUAUGACAUUCGAAUGUAUUAAUAUGCAGUAAGAUAAUAUGAGGAGAGAAUACCCUCUCUUCCUCCAUCUAUAAAAUGGCCUGAUGAAUUUCGCAAUAAAUUAUUUAUGAUAUAUUUUUCACAAUACUACCAAAUGAAGAAGCAUAUUUCUAUAUACUUUCACUCCAACUCCUUUAUGGCAAUAGCUAAAUGUGCCCCCAAAGUAAAAAUAUAUAGAACAGCUAGAUCUGAAACAUAUUGCCUGCAAAUUUGCACACCUAUAUGCUGGGACCAAAUACUACUGAAAGAUUAAGUACCAAUUAAUGGGUCGAAGUAAACAGCUAAACAGAUAAGCAGAAAUUAGCAAUCCGUAUCUGAAAACAAUGAAGCAACCACCAAUUGCAAGCACAGUGGCAGUAACAACUAGGGGUGUAAACGAGCCGAACACGAGCUGGCUCGCAAACAGCGAGCUGGAUUGCCACCCCUAGUAACAACACGGCUGCGCAGGGAAUCACCGAGGACAGAGAAACUGCAACUCCAAAACAAAUCACUCAAAAAAUUCUGAGGCCCAUGAUCGCCAAAAGAGGGAAUAAAAUGAUCGACAGUGGUAAGCUAUUGGAGAGAUUUUAGUGACAAGCAAGUUGAGCUUCAAACAGCUGUUUUUUUUUUUUUUUUUUUUUGGAAGCUCUCGACGGGCCUGACAAGCGAUACGCGUCAGUUCUACGAGUCUGCUGUUGAUGCAGGGUAUGACAAGCAGGGAGAACAAAUGGAAACAGGUCAUGUCAAUGGAGGAUUAAUUUUGGUUUUCAAAAUCAACAAUGACAAUACCGAAUCAAAUUACCAGCUGACACUAGCCUAAAUCAUCACAUAAAAAUGCCAAGGAUGAGUGAACCCAGCAGCUCAAACUAUAAAUGAUGUAGUUAGAUCUGCUCAUUCAAAAGUUAAUGGAGCUAAAGACCACAACACGAGAAAUCCAAAAAUACUACAGCAGACUAAACAAGUAAUUGAAUGCCAAGAAACAAUCUGAAUGUAGGGGGGAUUAGGUUAUUGUGAAGCAAAUUAAAUUUAUAAUAAUAAUAAUAAUAAUAAUAAUAAUAAUAAUAAGGAACUGGAUCUGCACUUGGCCACAGUUAUACAAAUAGAAUACUUUUAUAUCCUCUCGAAUCCAUAAUUUGUAUGACUAAACAAGCAUACAGUGCUAUAAAAUUUAACAAAAAAAGCCACAUAUGUAGAACCAUUUGCUUUACAAUAAGAGAAGUAACAUGGACUUUACACAAAUCACAAGAUAUUUCUCAGGCUUGAAAAACAAUCCAACAAAACCAAAGAGGCCAAUAUCACCAAAUAGGUUAGAUUAAUACCUAGAGGUGAGAAACUAAAACUACAAAACAGUUUAUCCUAGGAACCUCAGAAUCAAAUUAAACCAGCAAGUGCUGAACACCAUUUCAAAAGCAUAGUAAAACAAUCAUAUCUCAUCUUCACCUUACAUGAAUUUACAUAGAGUAAACAGUGAAGAAUGACUAGCCAUAGAAACCAAGAGAUUAGAGCUCUUCAUUACUCUGAGAAAUCUUACUGUCAACAAGAAAAGAUAUGAUUUGAAAUAUGAGAUCAAUGAUUAACCAUGUAGUAAUCCAUCGGCCAUAAAAAUAACAUCAAUAGACUACUCAUGUUCAGAUCAGAUUACUAAUCAACUAGAUAUCUAUUUCAAUGCUUCUUUCAAGCAUCCAUACAUGCAGAAUGUUUAGCACAUUUUUAUAUUAAGAGUUAGCACGAGCAGAAUUUGGUUUAUACAAAAUAGAAAAGAAGGAUAUCACAGUAUCAUUGUGUAUAUUCAAUUUGUUUAUUCAUCUACGAUCAUAAGAUGGCCAUGAAUUAAAUUUCAAUUCUUUUCGACCAAUAAAUAUAUGUUUAUGCAACUACUAUUUGAAAACAUUCAAUUGUUUACCAAAUAGCUGCAGGGGCAGUUACCUUUUUGUGUGUAAAGAAAAACAUUUCCAUACAUUACAAGGAUGUAACUAUGUCCAUCGUCUAAAAGCCUGAAUAAAGAAGCAAGGAUGAAACAGAUAGCUAGGCAGUCGGCAUAGAACUUUUCGAAAGAAAACUAUCAAAAUGGAUGCUGAGAAAAGUAAUACAUACGUAACAAAUAACCUUCAAAUACAUAACAAAUAACCUUCAAAAAAGUAGAAACAAUGGAAAGAAAAAAAUCCAUAUAACCUGUUACAACUCGUUGAAUUAAAGGCUUAGUAGUUGUUGCUGUUAGAUGAUACCAGAGCGGUAUGCAAGGAAACUGCCUACCUACAAUAAGUAAACUAAACCGGCAGGUUUUCCAAGAAUAGUUUAGUUUCAGAUUUGAUACACAAAAUUAAUAUGAUUUGGUCUCAGUACUAUGUACAAAAACAAAUCUUCAAUUGAAGCUAACCAAUCAAUUACUGUUAAGCAUUUGAGUUCUUAUAUUAAUAAUACAUAGAAUAUACGUUUUCAUUUUUUUUUAAAAAAAAAAGAAGAGAUACACGGUUAUAUCUUAAUUGGGUGGACAUGGCGCACCCACAGACUGAACCCAGAUGGACAGAAUUAUGCAAUUUCUGGUCAGCCUUUCUGCCCUAAACAAUUUAGUUUUUGGUUCAUACUUGUGUUGAACCAAUUAAUUCCUUAAGUUUAUCUUCCAAAACUGCUACCAUCCACACCACUAGAAGCAGCAUAUGUUAACCAGAAACAAAAUACCUAACCCAACAAGCAUAAAACCUUACUCAACCCAAGCCAGAUUGACACGAAAAGACAAUGAUCUGGACCUAAAGCAACCUUCAGUGAGAGAACCCCGAAGGACCUAAUUGAUAUUAAAACGUGAAACCGAAACAACGUGAAACCUGAUACAGCCUAAAAGGAAGGAGGCCGGAACGUGAAAUGACCUGAACCAGAUAAUUCAAACCCCAAAGCAACCUAGGACAAUCAAUAGCACCUAAACUCAGAAAAAAAAGAAAAAAGAAAAAAAAACUGUCUUCCUCCUUUAUCUGCUGCUACUCGUGUCCUUAAGGUAGACCUCCAUUCGUCCCCUCCCCCCAAAAAAAAAAAAAAAAAAAAAAAAAAAAAAAAAAAAACUCUAGCCAUAUUUUGGCGAAUUUGAUGUUUUAUACAUCAUGAAUAUAAAUUACUAUAUUUGAUUAGUGGUGUCCUUCGGUCCUUCCCAUGUUCAUGUCCUAGUUUUUAGGGGUGGCCAAGCCUUGCAGUGUCCAUGUCCUGUGUUCAUGUCAAUGUAACCCAAGUCCAAACAGAUCAAAACUAGACAAAACAUAAACGAGUGCUCCAAACUCGAAAUAAUUCAAACCUGCCCCGAACCUGAAAUGAUUUGAUUCGAAUAUGAUUUAACCUACCUGAGUAAGACCUCUCAGCACUGACGGACAAAUCUAAAUGGAAUUGUACAAAUAUGGUCUACAGCAUUGACUGAAGCCAAUAGAAAAGCAGAUUGCUCAAGUGUUUUCAUAACAACUUCAACAAGCCUUCUAAAUGAAAGUCCAUCAUUGUUGACUAAUAAAUGAGAGUUUGGUUGCUUUAGGUAAAGGAAUUAAUUAUAUUUUUACUGCCGGAAAUUUGACGAUAAUUCAAUUCCGUUCUCCUACUUACAGUUUCAGCAAUUUAAUUUCUGACGUUAACACAGUGCUACUUGCGAUAACUUCUGUCGCCAGUCUGCAGUCCCAAAAGACACCACAUCAGUACUGUUGCUAGAAUAUGCUUUGUGCAAAUCAAAAGUCUGAUAGCAAAAUUAAAAGUCGUGGCCAAUUUAAAAUGGCUAGAAUUUGAACUCUAAAAUUUAAAAACCAUGGUCAAGACUGUAUAAGUUAAAACUGUAUAUUUGAAAGCCAACGGAUGAAACUCGGAUCAGGGUCUCCAAAGGAUUAGAUUUGCAAUCAACCCAAAAAAUGAUAGGAUUGAGUAAAAGCCAAAGUAAAUUGCAUAUAAAACUAUUGAGUGCUGUACCCAUUUAAAUGACCUUUACAACUUGCCUUAUUAGUGUAACCUUACAUGCCUUGUAAGCUCUAUACAAGUAUACAACAGAUGACCAUCUACUUUUCUAUAGAUUAAAGCUGGAUAAGAUAUUUCUCAAAGACUACCACAAAGAAAGGCAGUUUAAGUACGUAGUUAUUCAAAAAGGCUGCAAUAAUUGCCCUUAUAAUUAUGGUUACAAGUUCUACUCUUAAAAAAAAGAGGUUGAAAACUUAAGGAUAUCCUCUAUUAUAGAUUAAAUUACCGGGAGUUAACAACUAGCUACAAUCACAAAAUUAACUGGUGCAUCUGGCUACUUGAAGACCAGAAAUCCAACCAGCUGCACAAACAUAGAUCGCAAGAAAGAGCACCUUAAAUUUAGGUAUCACAUUUGGUAUUAAAUCGCCACCUAGAAAGCUAAUGUCACACAUACAUUUUUCGCACACUUAAAACGCGAUCAACUGAAAGCCACGAUGUCUACAUCAUCCAACACUCACUGUUAAUUAGUUAAUACAGUACGAAAUUAUGUCAAGAAAUAGCGGAUACAGCAUUCUGGACUAACUAUAGAGUCCAAAUAUAUGAUUAUGCCUACGAUGAUAGUAAUCUAGCGGAUCGAAUUCCCAGUCGGAUAAUCGGCUACAUCCCCGCAAACUUUUGGCCACAUGAAACGACCGAGCCUACAAGAAAGCGUUCGUCAAUGAUGAUUUAGUGCACUUUACAACUACAACAUGAUGCCUCUAUCCUCAAGUAGAUUUGACAGACAUGUAAAACGCACAGACUUCGCAAAUCACCUGUAAAUGGAAUCGGACCAUUUAACGCCUACCACGGGGCCCACCAGAUGACCUCGGUCCAGGAUGGCGAGCAAACUGCAGCCUCAGAUUGGCUGAUUCACGAUCAUGCUCGUCAAACUUAUAACCUGCAAAAUGAACCGUGACUAUUUACGCGUCGAAUGAGACUGCUUCGUGCGAGGAGCAGCGUACCUUCAAGGAUGACACAGUUACUUACAACGUUACGCAUAUUAAGUAAUCGGCUUACAUCAGGAUGCCAAACAAGGCAGAAGAGGUAAGACAGGAAGGCGUUAUACAGGCCCAAUUCUCAUAUAAACAGUAGCUCUUUGUAAGUUAGAACCUAACAUGUAUUAAUUGGUCAAUCUUCUUGCUCUGGCAGAUCUUCAGGGAAACCCCAUAACUAAUGUUCAGGGACUCUUAUAAUAGUGAUAUAACUGGUCAAAAAGGUCUGCCAAGAAACACCAAGAUAACGUAUAGACAAUAGCUACGCGUACAAGAAAAAAAUAAUCUACUAGCACCUGAAAGUAAUUGAGAAAACAUGAUGAUUUUUCCAUGCACUUACCGUGUCUUGUAGCAGAUAACGUCAUCAGAUAGUAUAAGAUAGUUGUCAGAUUAUUAUUUAAUAUAUAACUUACAAAUGUGAUUUAUUAAUGUUCAUAUGCCUAGAAUACUUUUACGAUAUUCCACAAAAGCUCGUGCCCCACAAUUUAAAACAUUCACCAAUGAUGAAAGUUUGUGAAAAUAAUCUGAAUUUUGUAAUAAAUGUCUACUGAUUUUCUUAGAGAAAAAUUGAAGAUUGAAAGGUAUCAUAAGUUGCAAAAGUAAUUUCUUGACCGACAGAAAUAACACAUACAAGUAGAUUUCCAGAUUACACGCAUAUAUGUUCACGCACCAUAUUUGUAUCACAUCAUGUCCGUACCCGCAUCCAUAUCCAUGGAUCAGAGGUAGAACAUACAGGAAACAUGGAUAGUCUUAUUAAAAGAAAUGCUAAAAGGAAAUAGAAAGAACUAUGGUUUAUAUAAGAAAAUCUAUUUGCUUAGUAAAAGUACAUAUUUCUUGACCUCAAUUGUGUGAAAACAUUUCAAAAGAAGGUUCCCAUUGGCUCUAAAGAUGUUAGAACCCAAAAAUGACACGUUGAACCCGACAUGAUGCGGAACCAGAUUCAAAGAGGAUUCGGUCUGAGUCAUCUUUUAUUUAUUUGAGUCAAUUUUGUAUUAGGGUUAAUUGAGUCGUUUAGGUUUUAAUUAUUUUUUCUAAUUUUCAGAAUUAUUUUGGUUGUUAAUUUGUUUUAGUCGGUUUUAAAGAUUUUUUAGGAUUUAUCAUACAGAAUAAAUCUCUAAAAAUUAAAAUUCGGGAUAUAGUUUAGGUUUUUUUAUAGAUAUAUUUGAAUUAGGAAAGAUCCCUAAAAUAAUAGAAUUUGAAUUAGAUUAGGAUUAUGCUUUGAAGGUUAUAAAUAUAGCCUAUGCAUUGUAAUUUAGGAGAUGAGUCAUCAUGGAAUAAAUUUGGGUUUUUGUUUUCUAAGGAAGUGAAUUCUCGAAAUUCGAGGAUUAGAUUUCGUCUAGAAACGACUAAUUGUCGAGAGUAUAAGCUUCGAAAAACCCGAAGAUAAUUAGAAUGCAUUAAGGGCAUUAAGGAAGAGUCCGCGAGAGCAACAGUGCAAAAUCUGCACUGGAGCAGAAUUUGCUCUCGGGGACCGGUCCCUGGCAGGGAGGGACCGGUCCCAUCAGGCUGGGCUGGCGGGGACCCAUGAGGCAACCAGUCUCUGGCAGGUAAGGACCGGUCCCCGAACGUUAACCCAGCGAGAGAAGCCAAAAUUUGGCUAAGUCUCGGAAAUCCAACUCUCGGGAACCGGUCUCUCGAACAAGGACCGGUCUCCCGGGGACUGGUCUCUCAAGCAAGAACAGGUUCCCGAACGCGAAAUCCCCUCUGCCCGAAUGUGCAGCUCUCGGGGACCGGUCUCCCCGACCUGGGAUAGGUCCCUCACUACGAAAUAAGCCAGUGAAGGCUAUUUAAUAGGUGGAAAGUUGAGGGGCUUAUUUACAAAAUAGCCUAUAUAAGGGCUUGGGGGACCACUCCUCUCCCUCACUCUCUCAUUUCCCUCUCCCACACUCUCACUCUUUCCCUCUCUCUCUCUCUCUAGAAAGAAAAGAAGGAGAAGAAGAAGGAGAGGAAGGAAAAGAAGAGAAAGAGGAAAGAGAAGACUAAUUAGAAGGAGGAGGUCAUCUUCUUCUCUCCCUCCCUCAAGCUUGGAGCUUGGUUUUGAGGUAAGCCCUCAACCCUACCAUGGUGGAUUUCUUGGGUUAGGGUUUUGUUGCUUAGAAAUGGUUCGAGUGGAACCUAUUGAGGUUAAGGAGAUGGCUCGAGCUCGAAAUGGAAGCUCGCGCCACGGAUUUCCUCACCGUUGCUAAUCUAGGGCACGGAUUUGGGAUUUUUGAAAAGUUAGGGUUUUGAUCUCGUUUAAUGGGUCGCAAACCUAAUUGCUAGGUCUCUAAACGCAUAGGCGAAGACGGUUCGUCGAUCCGACGAGCGAGCGCGAAGAUAUCGCCGAAACUGAUACUUGAGGGUUCGCUUUGCCCCGAGAAGUUGAAGCGACGCAAAAGGACCGUGACGUCGAGUUUGCUAACUACGCGGCACUACCAAAAGGUGGGGGAGUGCCAUCCCGAAGCAGUCGAACUGCUUUCUAUGUCUGAGUUCUAUCGUUGAUCAAUUACAUAUUGUAAUAUAGCAUUAUAGGGUGUUAUAUGCAGUUGUUACAUAUUGUGGCAUGCUAGGGCUAGUUUGGUUUCGCGGAUAUAGUGAAUGAGAACCUAGUAUGCAUGAGCUGAAUAUGAGAUAGUUAACCCUGUAUGUGAUGAAUGUGCUAUGUGAAUAUGAACCUAGUAUAUUGCAAACUAGUGUAUUGAGAACGAGUGGCAUCUAGUUAACAAUGAACACAGAACGAGUGGCAUCUAGUUGAUAUGAAAACCUUAGUGUAGGGAACACUAUGAGAUUGAGUACCAGGACACUUGGGUUCUAUGAUGAGAUAUGAGAUCAUCCCAGUUGGUAGGAUGUUUACAGUUCGUGAGAUUGGAACGAGCUCACAUUGCCUGUCUGCGUCUGGUGUGGUAGCUCCACACAGGUAGUGCACUCCAAAGUUGUCACCCGAGGAGGGUUAACGUAUCUACCCUUGGACUAACGUAUCUGUCCGCAAGCGGUUUCAGGGGUAGUUGAGCUUGAGCUCCUCCUCUAUGGAACUUACUUAUGUGAGAUUUCGAGCGACUCUCGAGUUCGCUAAGAGAUUGGGUAACCUGAUGUGUCACAUUGCUGUUGGGCAUAGUAGUUGGUACUUAGCUUUACCCUAUGACACAUGCAUGCAUCAUUUCAGAUUGAGGCAUAGUUAGAUGUUCAUUUUAUAUACUCGCCUGUUAUUAUAGAUGAUUUCAAUUCAGCAAAAUAUCUAUCUAUUUGCAUGUCUAUCUGUGCCUGCUUAGACCUAGUAGGAAGAUCGGCGGAGUCGGCGGCCGAACCCACUGGAAACUAUUCGUAGUUCUCAUCCCACUUUGUUGCAGGUCCGAGUUCGAGCGUCCCCGGUGAGCGCGAGGAUUGUGGCAAGGGCAUAGCGCCCUAGCGGUAUAUGUACAUAGCUAGCCUUACUACCUUUUGCAUUAGCCCUACCCUGUACUUAUGUAUUGAGAGCAGAUGAUGUAUAGGGUGAGGUUUGAGAGUGAUUGUGCUUAUGUUUUGGAAGAUUGUAUGAGAUGAAUUAAUUGUAUAAAGUUAAAUGAGUUUAAUGGUUAAGUAUCUCUCUUUUAGCACUUGUAUACCUAACAUGUGUUGCUUGCUCUUGGUUGAUAUGCAUUGUUUGUGCUUUGUCAUUGCUGUAUGAUCAUGUAUGUAAACAAGUGCAUUUCCUGGGAACUUGUGUACAUGAUCUCGUCGUUGAGGCCUUGGGCGGACAGGGGAGUUGCUGUCCGUUCGGCGGUCCAUUCACCGCGCCCGAACCGGACCAAAUCGGUAGCGGACUCGGGGCGGGGGCGUGACAUAUUUCAACUGCGGUCAUGAUAUUUUCUUCCCUUCCCCUUCUCUGUCCUGUGUGCCGGUAAGAUUCUUCUUUCUAAGAGGUUCUAUCUUCUCUUUCUCUUCUUCUUCUUUUCUCCUUUCCUCUACUUCUCUCUUAUUAUUCUUUUAAAUUUGCUUUCUCUAUUAUCGGCUAUUUUCUUCAAUUUUCUCUUAAUUUUUUUUAAAAAAUACAAAAUAAAAAAAUUAUCGGAACCUUCUUUUUAGAGCGUACUACUUUUGGAUUUUUUUUAAUUACGAAAAUUAAUUUAAAAAUUCAUUAAUUCUUUUAUAAAUUAGAAAAAUAUGUAAAAUAAUCUAAAAUUUCUAGAAAAUUCUAAAUUUGGUUUUAAAUUUAUUUUGGGCUCAUCACUUGCAAGAUAGAUUAGAGUUGUCCUAAUUUGUCCUACAUCACGACAUUAUGACAUUCAUUAGAACAUUGAAUAGCAUUACUUGCACGUUAGCUAAGAGGGACAGAUAGAGUGGAUGCUUAUGACUGAAAUAAAUAUUACUACAAAAACCAAAUAAAGGCACAAGUCAUAUAUCCUAGUCCUACAACUGAGUCAAUGCAAACCAAUGUCAACUGGAAUGGGAUACGAUGCGAUAUGCAAUACAGUCAUGGAGUCAUGGUACGCUGGUUUCUCAGUAAAGCAGAAAGACGGAGCAGGUUUAGUUGGAUGGUUAAUCCAAAACGUGGUUUGAUUCGGAACGGCAAAUAUGGCUUGAUAUACAUGAAAAAUCAAUGGCUUACCUUUUCUUACUAUACAAAUAUUUUUCUGUUGUUAAGAUAUGGUUUUAUAGUCUCCUAAACACCAUUCAAAAGAAAAAAACAAAACAAAACAAAACAGCCUCUCUUUCAUCAUAGUUCUUUUAGGUAACCUAACAAAUUAGGUGUAGAAAAUCUAAGUCCUUUUAUACUAUUUUCAAUUUUAGACUUUUUAUGAGCAAGACUGGAAACCCGCCAUGAAUCAGAACGUGUAAUGUACAUCACAGUUCUGCAGGAUUGUCUACGAUCCCGGCAAUAGUGACAUAGAUACCAACCAUUAAAGUUCGCAAAGGAAAAAACAAUGCCACUUCUCCACCCCUGCAGCUAGUCAGCAGUCAUUUUCUAACAGCUUAUAGAAGCUACUUGUGCACCUAUGAUUUACAUUUUAGGAUAAACUACAAAAGCAACUAAUAAAUGAAAAUACAAGCUUCAUAAGUCAUCUAGUAUCCAUUUUCCAGAGGAGAACAGUCAAUGGCAGAUUCUGAAACUUCUUCAUGUUAAAAUAACAGGAAAAGAAGUGAAGAAAUUCAAUACAGUUAGAGAUAAAAUAUUAGGAGAUAAAAUAUUGACAAUUUCCAAAUAAAGAGACAAAUCAGAUACGUAUAAGAACCAUAAAGUGCAGAUCCAACUACUACCAUUAUUGCCAUGCACUUGCCAAAACAGUGAAUGGCUAAAAGAAUUGGAAAGAAAUUAAAAUGCAAUUUAACAUAUUCAGAGUAAGUUACGAAAAUUGUUGGACAUAUAGUUUUCACCUUGCAAAGCAUCCAAAGCAACAGCAGCUUGUGCAGGGGUGGCAAAAUCAACAAAGCACAGGAUAAGCGGGUCCCCUCCAGGCUGUUGAGAAAGUAAGCAUGAAGCUAAAUGAUGAAGCUAACAAACAGAAAAAGAAAGAAAGUACAAAGCAAAAUAUCCACAAACAACUUAUAAUCAUUGACUUACGUGUCUGGAUUCCUUAUUGACAAGUCUCACCUCACGAAAACCUACAAAAGGACGGAAGAUAUCUGCAGGAGAAAAGUGAAGGAAAUACAUCUAUAUAUAUAUACAUAUAGUAUACAUAUAUAAUAUAAUAAUAUAUAUAUUAUAUAUAUAGAGUCUGGUACUAUGGCUAUAAUAGCACAAAGCAACUUGGUGCACCAUAAUUUUCCCGCCGUUAGAUCUACCUUGUAUCAAUUUAACAGCCGUUAGAUCAUACUAUUCAACCAACCACCCACUCAACCCUAGGGGGCCCACAUCAUCCUAAACCGCACAUCUCUAAUCCAAUGCCAAAAACAUUGGUACACCAGUGACUUGGUGCUAUUAAACAGCAUAUAGCCUAGUUCUCUAUAUAUAUAUAUAUAUUAUAUAUAUAUAGUAUUAUAUAUAUAUAUGAAUGAUGAAAUUACUGCUCAAGCUUCUGCACUUAGGAUUUGAACAGAAACAUGAAGUGGAGACAUCAGGAUACGUGAAACUUCCCUGCGAGUAACAUUCGCAGGGAGACCUUCAACAAACAGAGUAUUUGAGGCAUCAGGAGGAAGAGGAGGCUCUGGCCUAACACCAGCAUAUCCAAGGGUCCUGCUAUCCACACCUCCAGCAACUGCAAUACGCCGAUCAUCAGCUGGGUAACCAGGCAUUGCUCCGAGCACAGGUCUAACAGCUUCAGUGGGACCAAAGGAAGACAUCUACAAAAUAAUUUCCAUGUUGAAGCCACGUGUUAUUGAAGGAAAAAAAAAAAAAAAGAGUCACAAUCAGUACCCCAUUUCGUAAGUAACGAUCAUAAGAAGCUCCUAAGGUAUCGGUGUCUCUGACUACACGAUAACCUGCCCUUUCUUCCUCACGAGGAUAAUAACCAGGCACCUCCGAACCACUAGGCAUAUCUUCAAAAAUCAAAAGGUUUCAGUUGGUAAGGAUGUUUAUUUGCAUAACUUAAAUGUGUUAGUGAUAUAAUACAAUCUCAACAGAGUGGAUGUCCACACACCAAUCAGAACAUUUCUCGAAAGAGAAAAAACAGCUUUUUAGGUCACUUGACAGAUAAAGCACAAGUAUACACAACUCUAGUUCAACAAGCCAGUUAGCCCAUAGGUCAUACGUCAUAGUUCAGCAGGGUUACACAUUUAGUUGUCCGGGAUCAAAAGUUGGCAACAAAUAUUCAAACAGAUAUGAUUAAAUUAAUUUCAAUUAAAUGCAUGCCAAAAAAGAAAAUAUGUAAUAAAUUGCUAAAGCAAGAUCCCUAAGCUACUUUAUCAAGUCUUCUUGUAACGGUAACAAAUUCUUGCUGAUGUUCACGAUUCUCCAAAUAACAGUGAUAUAAGGACAAAGUUAUUGGAGAUUGAGCAUGCAGCUCCAAAAGAGGUAGAUAUUCAUUGGAUCAGGAGAGUCUUCAGGAUAUAAAGACUUAAGAGGAUCUAUUGUAACAGAACACUACAGUAGCGAUAGUAGCAUAUAGCAUCAAAAUUAAAGUGUCAAAGGUAUCUGAGGAAGCCACACAGCGCUGCCCUAUAUUGAGGGCUACUGUUCCUCUAUGCCUAAGUGAGGAUUGCAUAUCAUUAGUAGCCUUUAUUGCAAUCUCAUUCUUCCACAAUCUUCCAAUCUCUCAAGCAACUCCUUUCUCCCACCUCUUCUCCCAACCCAUACUCUCAAAUUUAAAAAUCAAGUAGUAGUUCUCUAUACUUCAAACUUCUCAAUGCAAACCUUCUAAUAAGCUUCGAGUAGAUCUGCUCUUACUUUGUUUGACUAACUGUCUUUAAUGUUUCCAUAGUAUUUAGCAUUCAUUGUUUUAGAUCAUCAAAAAAGCUGGGUCGAAGUUGCUUUUGCAAUUAACUAACUAAUUCCAAUGUAUCAAAUCAUAUCAGCUUAAAACAACAGGACGAUGCCACAUCAUAUUGGUCAAGGCUAAUUUUUCAACCCUACAACACAUGCAUGAAUUACGUGAAUAAUUUGAUCAUAGAUAUGUGCACGUAAAAAUAUUUUUUUCCUCCAGGUAGACAUGAUUGGUAGCUUGAUCUCAUAUGAAAGACAUGAUAGCACAAAAAUAAUAACAAAUUGCACAAUUUCCAUAAACUAAGCCGAUCUUAUAUCAGGUUUUACGCGCAAUAUAUAAAUUCCUGCAUAGCUGAUAGAAAAAGGUAGAAAAAAAUGUCAAUAAGGAUAAAGUAUAGUAUCAAACGAAAUAUUUACUUUAAACAAAAAAAAAAGGAAUUACAUGAAAAAAUCGUUCACAUGAAUUAAACCAUUUGCGAGGUUCUUGAUAAAAGAUGCUUAGCAUCCCAAAAUAUUUCUUAAAACCACUUCGUAUGCGAAAAAGCAGUGAGCACAAUAGCCAAGAGAAGCAAAGCUUUCAAAUCAGCACAGCAAACUAUCCAAUUUUAGACUAAAAUAAAAAAUUUCACCACUGCAGCAGCAAAAAAAAAUCAAAUUUCAUGAGCUAAUAUACCUAGAAAAAUCUCAACUCUAUCCAGAUCAAGCUCAAUACCGAAAAGAUCGUGACAUCACAACGAAUUUACAUCUCACCACAAAUUCUCCCAAAAUCCACAUCUUUUAUUAGAUCAAGCGCAAAAUGUGAACCUAGAUCUACUUCCACAAGAACAAAAACGAGACCAUAACAAAUUUCAAGCACAAAGAACGACGAACAAGGAAACAAACAAGUCUCAAACGGGAUGCUCACACAAGUCCAAAGAAGGAGAGAGGGAGAAGAGAACCAGGGUAAUCUGGGCGGGGCCGUUUAAGCGUCCCGGCGGCGGCGGCUGUGGCGGUGGCGGCGGCGGCGGCGGUGGGGGCGGUGGCGGCGGGGGCCAUCGCCGCCGCCUGGUACCGGGCGUCGCCGUACCUCCAGUAGGCGUCGGCCAUGGCUACGGGAUCUGCAGAGAGAGUGGGAGGAGGAAGGGGGAGCUAGGGUUUUCCGCACGGUGGCGAACGCGUGGGCGCAGGUUAAAGGAGUGGAAACAACCCUAGCUUGAUACCUGACUUGAAAUUAAUUCCGAUUCCAAAAGGCUUAACUUGUGAAAUUAAGUCCAAGCCUAAAUUUAGGAUCAAGCACUUUUUAAAAUCAAUUCGAACUGAGCUUCCGCAAGCCUAAUUUCGAGUCGAGCGGUCACGAGUCCUGAACGAGCCACUUGAAAUUUUUAACACCGCUCAAUCUAUAGUUUAUUUUUUAGAGAACAUUAUCUAAAUUUAAUACAAAAACAUAUCUAAUAGGUUUAACAUAUAAAAUAUAUGCAUGAAUAUGAUAUUACAAUAUUAAGAAAAAUAGUUUAGAAAAAGUAACAAUGCGAGAGAAAGAGUAUAUAAUUAGAGUAAGAUUUUAUUGGUUUGAUUUUAUGGGCCAGCAAAUAUGCCCAAAAACCAAAACUCUUUAUAAAUAUAAUUAAAAUACACAAUAAAUAUUAUUAUGUGUAAUUAAAAUAGGAAAAACUUCAAAUACCCCCCUUGUGAUUUCAUUCUUUCUCAUUUUAGUACCAUGUAGUUUAAAGUGUAACAAGUUAGUACCCUGUGGUUUCGCACUUUCUCACUUUAGUACCCUGUGGUUUAAAAUGUAUCAAGUUAGUACCCUGUGGUUUAAUAUUUUAUUAAGAGAAAAAUAAAACCACAGGGUCCUAACUUUAUACAAAAAUAAAACUAUAGGACACUAACUUGAUACAAAAAUAAAAUCACAGAGUACUAACUUGAUACACUUUAAACCACAGGAUACUAAAGUGAGAAAGCGCGAAACCACAUAGUACUAACUUGAUACACUUUAAACCAUAGGGUACUAAAAUGAAAAAGUUUGAAACCACGGGGGGUUAUUGAAGUUUUCCCAUUAAAAUAUUAUAUAUAUAGAGAGAGAGAGAGUUGAGUUGGAAUGUUGUCGGUAGCAAACGGACUCCGUUGCCACAUAUUUGUUUUUUAUGAUAGAACUUUCAAAUCAACGAUCGGCACCGUUGACCAUGAUCUAUACUACUUAAUGCAUGUAGAAACCAAAUUUCAUAUUUUUUUCGAUAUUGUUGUUUUGUUCAUCAAGUGGACAUAAAAUGAACGGUUGAAAAUAAACAUUCUUAAAAAAGUCAUGAUAGAAAUCUUUAAAAUCGAGAGUAUAGAUCUUAUUCUACAUAGUCUAAAGAAUUUUCUAACCAAAAUUCAAUUGAUUUGGAUAUCUAUACACCAUAAAACGGAAAAACGGCUCACAUCGACCAUUAAAAUUACAAAUUUUGAAACCCAUUGAUCAUUAGGUUAAUGAUGUCGAAAAAAUUUAAAAUUUAGUUUCUAGAUAUUUUAAGUGGUAUAAAUCAUAUUCAACAGUGUCGAUCGUCGAUUUGGAGGCUUCAUCAUCAAAAAUAAAUGGGUGGCAAUGAAACCUGUUUGUUACCGAUAAUAUUCUCUCUAUUUCACUUUGUCUAAUUUAAGUCAAUCAUUAUUGUUUUCCCCCUUCCAUCACUAUUU